GGCAGUGAUGGUAUAUGCCUUCUCUCAAUAUAUGUGAUAUUUGUAGUAUAAGGCAUAGUGACAUUGCCUUCUCUCUCACCCUACUCUAAUAAGGCUUUAAUAUCUGGAGCUCAUAGGUGGGAGAUAAAGUAUACAUACUCACAAGACAUUUAUUGUAUAGUCAAACCAUGGAUCCAAAGAAACAAAUCAUUAAGUCAAAUCAAGAUGUGCAUGUGUGGCGAAUGAAUGGUGUAUGGUGAUGAUGAUGAUAACAAUGGUGAAAGUCUAAUUCUACUUUUGCUCUUUGAGGAAAUACAUACCUUCCUUGCUCUUUGAAACUUUUUGAGGAGAAUGAGAUGCUCUAUCUUCUCUUUUUUCUUUCCUCUCAGGUGGGUAUUUUGUACCCCUAAUUCUACUAUCGGACACUUGUCCAUUUUUACCUCUCGUCUCACUUUUUCUUUUCUUUCGAGGUUCCGGGCAGUUGCCCCUUUUUAUUUCCUCGUAUCCUUUUUUUAGAGCACUCAUCUCUUGAGAUAAUAUAGCAAGUGGUAGUGACAAGAUAAAUUGAGCAUUUAUUUCACAGGGGAAAACAGAAAUGUUUUUGGCUAUUCUCUCCCGGAUUAGGAGUAGAAUAUUUUUGGGUGGUUCUGAAGAUGGAAAUUGGUGGAUAUAUGUGGAUGGUACUUCCAGAGUAGAAGCAGCAUGUGUGAGUGAACGUGCAAGUGAAUCUUGAUUUAACCACAUGACAAGCUCCUAAGGGUCUACACAGCUUGACCACACUCAAUGCUCAUAAGCAGUGAAUAGUAAAUGUGUGGCUCAAAGUCUAGCAAGCAUGUAUAUACGGCUGUGGUAGGAAUUUAAACUCUCAUCAUACAGGAACUCAUCAUGCAAUAUUUUAAAGAUUUUUCAAAGAUAAAAUUCUCCAGAAUUCUAGCAUCUCUAGGAACAGAUAAACAGUAGCUCAACCUUCCCAUAUCAUAUCCGUUAACAACUUAGACUUCAGAUCAAGUUUUCUUCCCACAAGUUUAGGUUUACAGCAAGCUUUAAAUUAUAACAGUUAUGUCUAAACUUGAGAGAGAACUCAAAUUUUAAAAAUUAGGGAGAGCAACUAUUCAUCAUAUCCAUGCUAGAGUUUUAUUAUUAAGAUUCAGUUUAGCAUAGCCACUUUAUUUAUUUAUUAAAUACACUAAGCAAAAGAUAUAUAUAAGCACAAAAUUUUUAUUUGGUUUUCCAUAGUUAUGUAUAUCUAUAUUUUAAUAUAGUAUAAGUAUAAAGAUAGAUAGAAAUACUUAGCGGGAUAAAUGGGGGUGCUCUCCCCCAAGCUGAAUUUUGACGUAAUUUCUUCUGAUGUAGCUAGCAGGUGGCAGAGGUGUAUUGAAAGUCGGCAGUAUCUUGACAGCGAUUAGAAUGUCCUUCGUCUGCUAGUCUUCUUGAUUCUUGAAUUCUAUGGAGCUCAAAUAGACAACAAAGCUUUGUGGAACUGAUUAAGUGUUAGCAUAAAUAUCUAGCCUUUAUCAUGUUGAGCCUCCUCAAUAAAUAUUACUCCCUAUUUUUAUAUUUUCAUUUUAUAAAGCAGAAAAGAAAUAUUUAUUUUAUUUUUAUGCCACCACAGUGAAUGUACUUAUGGGUUUCAUGCCACUCGUAUACUCACAUGGGGCUUACUGUUUUUUAACAUUUUUAUUUUCUUUUUAGAAUAGUACGAACAUCAUUAACUAAGCAAACUGUUUAAAAUAUUUGAAAGGGAAAGGAUAACUACCAAAUUUACCUCUUGGCAAGACGUUCGGUGUUUUUAAGUCCUCCGAACAGGACUCUCUGUUUUCUAGUUGUCCUGGGAUUCGUUGGGUGGCAUAGUCGGUGCUUCCGGCAGCGCCUCCUCUUCAUGUAUAAUUAUCUUCUCUUUCCACACCUGACUCGGUGCUACGGUCUCCUCUAGACAAUUCUGUUUAAACUGUAUGUCUUCUGACCUUACCACUUCUCCUUCAUAGUCUGCCCAUCCGUCCUUGAUGAUCUGCCUCCUCUGGUUGUGGUUGCGUCGUUUUCUUCUUGUCCUGACCUGCUUAGAGUCUUCAACGAUAUAGUUAGGGUCAGUAUACCUUCUCUGAGUGGAAGUGCAUAUGGACUUCUCCAGUUCCAAUGUAGAUGAUUGCUUUAACGGUGCUGAGGAACGGUCUUCCAAGGAUGAUGGGUGGAUCGUAUUCGUCUUCUCCCAUGUCAAUAACCUGCAAGUUUGUGUAGAUAAAAUGAUCGUCUAUUUUGACAGGGGCAUCAGUUACUAUUCCUUUAACCUCUCGAAACGUCCGAUCUGCCAUCUGGAGUUGAAUGUAUGUUGGUUUUAGGGGCAUGGUUCCGAACAUGAGCCGAUAGGUGACUGCGGCCAUUAUGUUGACGCCCGAUCCGGUGUCGCAAGUUGUCUUGUAGAAGUUGUAUCCAUUUAUGGAGCAGUAGAUGCUUGACAUUCCUAGGUCGUCCUUCUUGGUCAGAAACGGUGACUUAAGUUGAUGAUCUUGACCUCCAUGAACUGCAGUGACCAUUUUAGCUGACUCGGUCCACACUUGCUUGUUCCUGUUCCUCCUAUUGGUCCUCUUCCUUGAUUCACGUCUGGAUUGAUCUGGGAUUUGUGUAGUCUUGUUCUUGAAGAAAAAUGUCUCCUUCCUCCCUUUGAUGUAGAAACUGAUCUUGGCAGCACUAGCGUAGAUGACAGCUCCUGAGGUGUUUAAGAAUGGCGUCCCUAAGAUGAUGGGUGCCCUCUCAUCAUUACCGGUCUCUAUCACCACGAAGUCUGCUGGGGCGUAUAAGGUACCAACUCAGACACAAAGGUCCCUCAAUAUUCCUUUUGGAAAACUUAACGUCUGAUCUGCAAACUGCAAACACAUGGUUGUUUCUGAUAAAGGAUAUGUAAAGAAUUUUUCAUAGAGUACCCUGGGCAUAAUGUUGACACUAGAGCCAAAGUCGCAGACUGCUUCUGGGAAGUCCACCAUGCCGAUGGAGAUCGGGAUGACGGGGCGUCCUGGAUCACCUCUCUUGACCGGUAGAAUGUCAGUAGUAACUUCAGUGACGGGGUUACUCCAGUAGUUACCUGUAUCAAACAUGUCUACAAGAUUUGCAGAUUCUAAUCCUUCUGGUUGUGAUGGUAUACCGGGGUUAGUAACAGGAACAGCAGCAGCUAUCUGAUUUAACUGAGAUUCAAUCAUUUUAUUAAAGUUAAUUUGAUUCUUGAUGGCAGUAGAGAAAUUAUCCAUUCUAUUAUUUAUAUUUUCUAGCAUUUUAUCAUUAGAUGCCAAUUUCUUAGAUAGGUUAUCCAUUAGCUUUCCUUGAUUAGACACUAACUCUCUCAGAGGUGGAAAAUUAUUAGUAUUAUUGUAAGAAUUGUUACCUUGAUAAUUACCUGAGUAGUUAGGGCUCUGUUGAUUCCAACCUUGAUUUUGUUGAGGACAGUUGUAGUAGUAGUAGUUGUUGUUGUUGAUGUAGUGCACAUCCUCAAGUAUCUCAGGGCAGUGAUUGCUUGAGUGUCCAGUAUCUCCACACUCCUCACAAGUCAUGUGAGAGUCGUAGAUGUGCAUAACUUCUUUCUUAUCUCCACCUCUAUCAUCGAGCUUCUUCAUGAGCAGGUCUAGCUUUGCAGACAGCAUGUCUACCUCCUUGAGCUGAUGCAUACCUCCACCUCUCUUGCGUGUCUGGGUCCUCUCUUCAUUCCAGCUUUGAUUGGACGCCAUCUUCUCCACAAGAGCUGUGGCUUGUGAUAUAGUAAGUGAUAGGAAUGCUCCUCUAACUGUAGCAUCCAUGGUUUCUCAGGCACUGUUGCCGAGCCCAUGAUAAAAUGUCUGCAUCAGUAGCCAACUCUCCAUUCCAUGAUGGGGACAUUCUAGGAUGUAGUCUUGGAAGCGCUCCCAUGCUUCUGGAACAGAUUCAUCAUGUUGUUGCUGAAAACUUGUAAUCUUCCCACGGAGAGCAUUGGUCUUGCCCAUGGGAAAGAACUUAGCCAGAAAGUUCGUGGAGCAAAGUGCCCACGUAGUAUUCUUCUCCUUUGUAGUGUAGAACCACUGCUUCGCUCUUCCUAACAGUGAGAAUGGGAAGAGGCAAAGUAGUAUAGCAUCUUUGGGGACUCCUGAUAUGGUGAAUGUGCUGCAAAUCUCCAGGAAGUGUUGGAGAUGAGCACUAGCAUAUUCGUGUGCCUUCCCACAGAACUGGUUGGAUUGCACCAUGUUGAUAAGUCCAGGCUUGAGCUCAAAGUUGCCAUCGAUCUCUGCAGCAGCUCCAAUGCGGAUGUUGUCCGUAGUGGGAGCUGAGAACUCACGGAUCGAUUUGUUCGCCAUGGCUUCGAAUUCUGAAGACAAGUUCCGGUGAUCUUCUUGAUUGGAUGAAGCUUCUUGCUGAAGUGUUGAUGAUUUCUUCUUAAGCUUGGCUCUUGUUUUUCUGAAUAAUGCUUCGGGAUUGUCAACAAAAUUUCCUGGAAGAUGUCUUCUAUUCAUACAUUACCCUGCAUAAGAUAAAACAGAAAAAUAUCGGGGUAAAACUGUAAGAGAGAAUUGAUAAGCUCAAUCAUAUUAGUGAUGCGAAUGAUAACUCAAAAUUCUAUAUUCAUUCCUGAUUAGUAAUCAACCUUCCCCGGCAACGGCAUCAAAAAUGCUUGUUGGGUAUUCUUAACAUCAUUACCAAAAGUAGACUUAGUUUUCUAAUUCUGAUAAUGGUGCCAAAAAUGCCAAACCUAUCCCUCAUACCACUUAAGCCAAGUUGUCAUCCCCAUCAUGACAUGAGAGACACGGUAUUGAAAUAUGCAAUUGCUCAUCUAAAUAAAUUAUGAAUGGGAUCUGCAAGCGCACAGAUUAAUACUGAUGUCGCAUUUUAACCGGGAAGUAUUCCAGGUAUCGUUAUUUAUAUUUUUACCACUAGGAAGGGAUUAGCAAUCAUCAAUGUUGAUUAUAGAAUGGAAUAUAAGAUUGAGUAUCUAUCAUUGCAUGUAUAAUUGAGAACACUUAUCUAACUCUUUCAUAUAGGGAUAAGUGUCACAUAAAAGAUAUAUAAAGUAAUGAAUAGUGACAAAGAUAAUUAAUCUGAUCAGCAUAACUUAGCCACAUAAUAAAUAUGAUAAGCACCUCAAUUAGAUAUUCUAGAAAGUCAUUAGCAUGGAAUUAGGACGAACUACAAGAAUAUUUCCUAAGUUAUUCUUAACUAUACAGUCUAGCAUUAUCAUAGUUAGUGCAAGCAUACUUAGCAAUCAUUGCGAGACAAGACUACGCCCAUGCAUAGUGAUAUUAGCAAGGAAUAUGAGAAACAUUGUAAUCAUUCCCUGUAAUAAUGUUGCUCUGCCAGCCCAAUACACGAGAGGGGGACUAUAUAAGAAUCAAUGAAGCUGUCACUAUCACGAACUACCCCACGAUCUGGCAUAUUGGGUACAAUCGCAGAUAAAUACGGUAUAAGCACCACGCCUACACAAUAUCUAUCAUUUACCCAUGGAUCCGAUGGAUAAACGCUAUAUGAUCCUAAACAUGUAUAUAGAUCCAAUCUAACUAAGCCAAGUAUAUUAUUAUGAUAAACUAUGAACAAUAUAAUCUUGAAUAUAAACAAGUAGAUCAAAGUCAUAAGCAAUAUAUUGAAGUAGAACAAAGUCAUAUUCAUAAUAUUGAAGAACAAAGAUGAACAAUUAGAAGAACAAUUAGAGAAUUACCAAGAAUCCUCUUGACAGAUCUGGAAACCAAUCGAAGAUGGACUCCUUCUAGUUCUAAUCCUAUGUAGCUAUGCUAAUCUAGAUGUCUAAUUGAUGUGGUGACUCUAGGCUUGAUCAUAGGCUUCUUCUCUCUUGAGGAAUAAUGAAUUGGGGUUGAGAGGCUCUCUCCUCCAGGGGCCAGGGGGUCUGGUUUUAUAGUCCUUCUAAGUGAAUAUGAGCCGUCGGAUCAAACCGACAUUGAUUGAACGGUUAUCCUUGAUCCUUUAGGUCGGUGGAGCGUAAUCUCGAAAGAGAGUUCUGAUUGGACUCUAUAGGGGGGCGGGCGCCCUGGUCUCCUGGGCGGGCGCCCUGGGCCAGGCCCCGUUUCGUCUCCGCUUCGUUCCUGUGGCUUCUAGAGUCUUCUAGAUGUAAGAUAAUUGCACGACACGUUAAUAUCUCUAUGUAAUCCCAACGUGUGGGCCUUUCUUCCGUAUUUCCUGAUAACCCCCUGCAGAAAUAGACAAACGUCAAAACUUGUGGAAUUCUGUCAGAUAAAACCCUAAGUCUCGGUGGAUCCUUUUCUUUGUUUAUUUGAUGAUUAUAUUUGAUACUUAAGGACUGUCAACACCGACCACUGAAGAUAGGGUAGCGGGGAAGAGGCCAGUGGCCGCAGAGCCAUCCCCUACGGAGGCAUUGCCGGUGGAGACCAGCCAGGCUCCAAAGCAUCGUCGGCUCGUGAGGAUCACCGACGACGACGACGAUGAGGAGGAGGCUGCACCAUCUUUGCUCCCAAGACCGUGCAGUCAGCCUGACGUCGCGCCAAUCACUCCAGGCUGGAUGACCAGUGAUCCUCCUGCCCCACACGCCGAGCCAACAUGACUUGGGGCAGCAGAAGCUUCAGCGGCGACCGGUAGGACCAGGAGGAGGUUCUUCGCAGCGACGCACAGGAGCUCCGACCUGUGAGUUUCACAACUUGUCUUCUGCGCUUCCUUCCCCCCUUUUUUUACUUUGCAAGUUGUGAUGUCAGCAUGAUAUCUUCUUUUGUCAGUGCGGCGUGGGAUGUUGACCCGGGCAACAUCGCCGGCCAGAAAACGGCCGAGCCAGCGGUUGUCGUCGAAAAUGCCGCCCCGCAGACCACCCAGGAACAAACCGAGGAGCAGCCUACGGUAGUGACUGCGGCGGAGACUGCCGAGGAGGGCCCGGCUCAGGCGAGGACCGGAGCGAGCACCCCUGCAAGGGAUGAUGAGGCUACAAGGACGCCUCCCCCAAGCAGUGUCGCAGAGGAGGGAGACAGAGCCCCGACUCCCCCGCCCGCUGAAGAAAGAAGGGCCCCAACUCCACCCCGGGAGGAGGCUUCUUCACCAAAGGGCUCCCCUGGUCGGGGUAAGGGUCCUGUGAUACCUGUUACCACGGCUGGGGGUAGCGCGGAGGGUGAGGAGGCCCAGGCGACCUCCGACGACAAGAUGGAGGAGAUCCAGGGGCGCCCCCAGGAUGGUCGCCAACAUGUUUUCGUGUGGCGCCAACGUGGGGACCACUUCAUCGGUCAUGAAGAGCUCGCCGAGACAAAGGAGGCGGCCAGAGUAGAGUGCGCUGCCAAGCGGCUCGUCAAAGAAGUCAAGGUAAGUGUUCUUGUGUUCUGCCCAAAAUGUGUAUGUACUGUUGUUUGCUUCUCAAUACAUGUAAUUCCUGCAGGGCGCAAUGAAAACGGCGAAGUACCGAAAGAGGUGCUUCGACCAAAUUGAAGGGGUCAUGGCCAAGAAUAAGGCCCUGGCCACUGAAGUGGACCGCCUUCGGUCAGAAGCCAAGGAGAAGGCGGCCGAGAAGGCGGCUCAGGAGGAGCGCCUGCUCGAUCUUAACCGGCGACUAGCCGACAAGGAUCGGGAGAAGAAAGGUAAGUCAUGCGUUCCGAGCAGCUGUAGGUUGACUACGCGAUUGGUUUUGUUGACCAGCGACUAUUUCUACAGAUCUGGAGGAGGAGAUUUUGCGCCUCUGAGAAGAAAGGGAGCGACUCGACCAGGAGCGUACCGGCGCACUGGAGGCCGGGCGUCGGGCUGGCGAGGAGCUGAAGAACAAGAGUCGAGAAUUGGCUGGUAAGAGUCGUUUCGCCCUUUGUUGACUACGCAAUGUUCCUCUUGUCGUGUUUGUAAUGACUGCUUGCUUGUUUCUCUUUGAAAAUUCUGUUAUAGUGCUUACAGUCAACACCAAGAAGCACCUCAAUGAGCUGGUCAAGGACCGGGACUCCUGGAAGACCAACUGCAUCAAGAUCUGGAAAGUAGUGGCCCCAGUUCUGGACUUGAUCAACCCUGAGCUCCCCGAAGACCAGCCCCGUGCACCGAGGCUGACCUCGGUCGAGAAGGCGCAGCAGGCGUGGGGUUGGCUUCUGCAAUUUGUCAAGGACGCCGGGAAGUUUGCCAGGGCGCACGUCCUCAGCAUGGUGCGUGCCCACUACCCCCUGGUCGACUUGUCCCGGCUAGAGAGGGGGUAUCCCAAGGAGGUUGGUCCGCAGGAGGCCGAUGAACUUCGUGUCAGCCUGCUCGACCUGUCGUCGACAGUGAUCGGCGACAUAAACCUUUGUGGGACGUCAACUCCCCACAAUCAACCAGGAUCAGAUAGGUCGGCCAGGGAGUUGUCGGGGGUGUCCAUUGCAGGAGAUGGACGGUCGACGCCUGCGGUCUCGACCAGCCAGACGCCGGUGGCCCCGACCCCUUCGACUGGGCAGCAGAGCCGUGCGGGUGAUCAGCCCGAGCAGUAGGCCUGUAAAGUAGUCUGUAGGAGUAGACUAGAGACCGCCCAGAGGGGUGUUUAUUGUAAACUUUGUUCAUAAAGUUUGUAAUAAAGCUUAAUUUAUCAUAACCAUGGUUUUGAGCGCUGUAAUAUUGUUUGAGUGACGCAUUGUUGAGUCAAGUUGAAGACUUGUGAGGAUCUUUGUCCUUGAAAGUAAUUGUAGUACUUGUCGAAUACUCUGCGUAUGAAAAAGCAUAUAGCAAGAAAGACAAAUUUUGUUAUUACUCAUCACAAAAGGUUUACAAAUGAAAUGUGCUGGAACUUAGGGAUAGAAACGGCGCAGUUUUUCUAUGUGCCAGGAGUUGGGCAAGCGUGUUCCAUCUGGGUACGCCAGUCUAUAAGAUGCAGGGUGUGUGACUUUGGUGACCACAAAGGGUCCUUCCUAGGGUGUAGAUAACUUGUGCAUUCCUUCCUGGCUUGUUUUUCACUUGAGUACCAAAUCACCGACCACGAAAGAGCGGUCUUUGACGUUCCUGUUGUGGUACCGCCUAAUAGCUUUGAGGUACUUUGUUGUUCGAAGGCAUGAGAUUAAGCGCUUUUCUUCUGUGCAGUUGAUUUCGAGCUCUUUGGCGAGGUCGGCCGAAGGCUGGUCGAAACGUUCGACUCUUGGAUAUCCAAAGACCACGUCCGAAGGGAGCACUGCUUCUGUGCCAUAAACCAUGAAGUUGGGUGAUUCACCCGUGUUGCGACUAGUCUGUGUUCGAAGACCUCAGACCACAGCUGGUAACUCUUUCAUCCAUCAUCUUGGUGCUUUGUCAUUUUCAGUGUAUAGCCUUUUCUUCAAAGCAUCGAUAAUCAUUCCAUUUACUCGCUCCACUUGACCGUUAGCCCACGGAUGGGCUACCGACACGUACUUUAUGACUAUGCCUCUGUCAUCGCAGAAGUCCAAGAAUGUAGUGCCAGUGAACUGGGUGCCCAAGUUAGUAAUUAUGCUGUUGGGGACCCCGAAUCUUUGUAUGAUUUGAUUGAGGAACUCCACAGCCUUCUCGGAAGUUGCUUUGACCAGUGGCAUGUACUCGAUCCAUUUCAAGAAUUUGUCGAUUAGUACGAAGACAAAUUUGAAAUUUCCGGGGGCCGGCUUGAAUGGCCUGUUCAUGUCGAGGCCCCAACAGGCGAAUGGCCAGGACGAUGGAAUUGUCUGAAUCUCGUGAGCAGGUACGUGGGUCCGCUUGGCAAAGAACUGGCAUCCUUCACAGUGUCGGACUAGUUUCUCGACGUCGGUGACUGCAGUUGACCAGUAAAAACCUGCUCGGAAGGCCUUCCCGACCAUUGUUCUGGAAACAGCGUGAUUGCCACAGGACCCGGCGUGUAUGUCGUCCAGGAGCUUGACGCCAUCAUCUUGUGAUCCGCAUUUCAGCAAUACUUCUGAUCUUGCGUUCUUACGCAUGAGUUUGCCUUCAACCAGUAUGUAAUUCUUAGAUCGCCGUAUGAGGCGUUCGUUCUCCGUUUUAUCUUGAAAUCCCGAACCGUCCAAUAGAUACUUGAUGAAGGGAGUACGCCAGUCGUGGCUGCUGGUUGUCGGAGUGGUGUCGUCUAUGAGCAUUGCCUCAUUGGGUUGCUUGUCGACCAGGUCUGUACUGACACUUGGGUUAUGGAUAUCUUGGACAAAAAUGCCUUGCGGGAUCUGGGCCCGGGAUGACCCUAUCUUUGACAACGCAUUUGUUGCCUGGUUCUUGUCCCGGACCACAUGGAUGUAUUCUAUGCUGUAAAAAUUGGAUUCCCAUUUUCGGAUUUCUUUGCAGUAGAGGUCCAUCUUCUCGUGAGUUGUGUCCCACUCCUUAUUUAACUUGUUGAUGACCAAGGCAGAGUCAUCGUGGACGUAAAGGCGUUUUACUCCCAGUUCGACAGCUAGUCGGAUGCCGUGCAGGCAUGCUUCGUACUCGACGACGUUUUUGGAUGCUGGAAAAAGGAUCCUAAGGACGUAACGAAGUUUGUCCUUGUUUGGCGAGACAAAAAGUAUUCCAGCACCGGCUCCAUUUAUGUUCAAGGAUCUGUCGAAGAACAUUGACCAGUGGUCGGAGACGUCUGGGGAGGGAGGCUCAUUUAGGUCUGUCCAUUCUACAAUGAAGUCGACCAGGGCCUGAGAUUUGAUGGUAGUACGACUCUGAAAAUCUAAAUAAAAUGGACAUAACUCCAUUGCCCAUUUCACAAUCCUUCCGUUGGCUUGCCCAUUUCACAAUCCUUUCGUUGGCGUCUUUGUUGCGCAGAAUGUCCCCCAAUGGAAAACUGGAAGUAACUAGCACCCUGUAUCCGUCGAAGUAGUGCUUCCGCUUUCUUGAGGUGAUUAAGAUGGCGUAGAUUAGCUUUUGUAUCGACGUAAGCCUCAACGAGGUCAUCGCGAAUCUCGUCAUGGAGGCAAUGCUAAAUGGCUCGUUGAUUAGUGGCCUCGGCAUUUUUGAAUUUGAAGGACAUGGUGGUGUAGCAAUAUGCACCGAAAGGGGUAAUAAAGGAUGUUUUGAUCUGUUCGUCUUCCUUUAGUGAAAUCUGGUGGUAACCAGGGUAACAGUCUAGAAAAGAGAGGAGUUCGCAUCCGGCCGUUGAGUCGACCAUCUCGUCGAUGCGAGGGAGACCGAAAGGAUCUUUAGGACAGUGUUUAUUGAGAUCAGUGUAAUCAACGCACAUUCUCCAUUCAUUAUUCUUUUUCUAUACAAGAACCGGAUUGGCAAGCCAAUCGGGAUGAUACACUUCUUUAAUGACUCCGGCUGCUAGAAGCAGUGUUAUUUCUGUCCUAAUAGCCUCCUUUUUGUCACGAGCGAACCGUCGUAGUUUCUGCUUAAUGGGUCUUGCGGUCUUCGAGACGUUUAAGGAGUGCUUGAUCAGGUUUCGUGGGACGCCGGGCAUGUCUGCGGGUUUCCAUGCGAAAACGCUUACGUUGUCCCUUAGAAACCUGACGAGCGCGUCUUCCUAUUUAAGGUCCGGAUUGGCCCCGAUGAGAACCGUCUUCUCGGGGCUACCGUCGACCAGCUGUGCCUCCUUGUGCUCUUUGGAUUUUGAGUUUUUCCUCGGAGUCUCUUGCUCGGGUAGCUGGAGCUGGUCGGGUGGAACUUGUGUAGCUUGGGCUACAGUUUCUGCCAUGCGAAUUGAGAGAUCGAUUGCCUCGGUGAUCUUGAAGCUUUCCUCCUCGCAAGUGUAUGCGGUGUAGACAUUGCCUCUGACGGUUAGGACGCCUUUCUCUGUUGGCAUCUUGAGGACCAGGUAUGAGUAGUGCGGAACUGCCAUGAACUUGGUCAGCGAUGGUCGGCCUAGAAUUGCGUGAUAGGUGCCGUCGAAGUCGGCGACCACAAAGUUGACGAACUUUGUGUGGAAGUGGUCCGGCGUUCCAAACUAGACGAGCAGCGUUAUCUGCCCAAGGGGUACUGAACUUUGGCCUGGUAAGACGCCCCAAAACUGAGCAUCAUACGGCUUUAGUUGCGCCGGGGUUAGCCUGAGGGCAGGCAAGCUGUUGCGGAAAAGGAUGUCAAUGGAGCUGCCUCUGUCAACGAGCACGCGUUCAAAUCUAACGCUGUUUAUGCAAGGGUCCAAGAUCAGAGGGAAACGUCCUGGUUCUAGGAUGGCGGCCCAUUGGUCCUUCCUGUUGAAGGAGUCUCCCUGUGCGACCAGGGAGGAAAUUUCGGGUCGGCGACCAGGCCAUCUGCGCUGUCUACAUUGAGGCAGGCUCUCUUCAGGAGCAUUCUCUCUCGUUUAGACUCGAUGGAAACUUUGCCUCCGAAGAUGGAGUGCACCACGUCGAUGGGACUGACAUACUGGUGUCGUGGGUCCCUAUCCUGGUCGUCGUCUUUGUCUUCGUGACCAUGUUUGUCUUGUUUUCCGUUUUUCUUGGCGGAAUCCCCUUGAGCAGCCCGCUGUGUGUAGAUGCUUUUGAGGACACGGCAUUCUUUCAUCGUGUGAUUGGACUUGGGAUGGAGUUGGCAUGGUCCUUUCAGCGUCUUGUUAUAGUCUUCCUGGUAGUCUCGCCGCCCAUUGGGGCGCUUGACUGUGUUCACCUCGUGGUCGUGGUCACGAGGUCACUUGCCCCUAAAAUCGUCGUGGUUGUCACGUCGCCUGUCCCAUCCUUCUCGGUGGUCGCGAUUGUCACCGCGGCGAGGGUUCCGGUUGUCGAAGCGUCCAUGACUGUCGUCUCAUCAGGGAGGCUGGUCGGCGCCUCUCGCAUCUUCUCGGAUGAGUUUUUCUGCGUCAUCGGCAUCAGCGUAGUUUUUUGCGCAGUAGCUUAUUCCUUAGUGCUUCGUGGAAGCGUAGACCUUUGAUGAAGGCUUAUAUGGCCUCAUCGUAAGAAAUUUUUGGAAUCUUAAGGCGCAUAUCCGAGAACCGUCGGACGUAAUCGCGCAGGGGCUCGUUCUUCCUAUCCCUUAUUCUCUCGAGAUCGUAUUUGUUCCCAGGCUGUUCGCAGGUAGCGAUGAAAUUGUCAAUAAACGCCUAGCGCAGCUCUUCCUAGGAGUCAAAGGAGUCCUCGGGCAGGUCGAGGAGCCACUAAUGGCCAGCCUGGUCAAGGACGACUGGGAAGUAAUUUGCCAUGACAUGCUCGUCUGCUGCUGCUGACCGGACUGCGAUCUCAUAGAGAGUAAUCCAGUUUUUAGGGUUUUCCUUGCCGUCAUAUUUUUUAAACUUCUCGAGCUUAAAGUUGCGGGGCCAUACGACUUGGCGAAGGUGUGAAGAGAACUGUCUUUGGCCGAGGGGGCCGUGUGCUGCAUCGUACUCAAUGCGUUGUAGGUUUUCGUGUACCGCUCUUUCCGUAGCGCGCCUGUUGAUGCGGUCGCGGGCAUCCUUGGGAGGGAUGUUGUAGCGCAGAUCCCUGUCCAGGUUUACUUCCUGACCACGCCCGCGUCUCUACUCGCGGUAACCGCACGAGUCCUGAACACGGUUGUCGCGUCCAGCAAUCUUCCUGCGACCGUCGGGGGAGCGGCUAUGAUGGCGCCCGCUGGGUCGUGGUGAAGUCCGGCUGCGAUGAGUCUGGUCGGAAGAAACCUCCGUGUAGAAGAUGGCUUGGACCCUUUUGAGCAAGGUGGCUGUCUGUCCCAUCGCGGCGAUCAUGUGUGCUCGUAUACUGGAUCGGACGCCCUGGCACUCUGGGGUAUCAGGGAGUCGGUCCAGGUUUGCCAUGGCAACAGCCACGUUAGCGCUUGGCGCCUUGUAGACUGGCUGAUCUCCGACCAUGUCGAAAGCAUCACUGAGGUUGUGUGGCGCAAAUUGCCGCUCCUCAUCCGCAUACCGCCGAGCACGAUCAGCAUUGCGCUGCUCACGGAGUUGCUUCUGCUCGUCUGUUUCGCCGUCGACAACCGGUUCGUCAUUGCUGACGUUAAAGAUAAGAUCUCCUCGCCGAGGUGGAAAGACUGGGAAUCGAGAAAAACCCGGAGGAUAUGGUGGUAAAUCCAAGACCCUGUGCUGGAGUUCGUACUGGUAGCCUUAUCGUCUGGCAGGACUCCGAUGCAUACCAUGUUGACGUAAUGGCGAGAUGUUUGGCUGCUCUGUCCCGGCGACAAGCCCGCCCUGCUGAAAAGAGAUUGGGUGUGCCGCGAAUAGUGGUCGGCCGAGUUGUUUAGACCAUAAGGGCAAUUCUGGUCUUGAGCUGUCUUGAGCUUGACGGACCAUCCCGUGGGGGUCGACGUUAUUGUUAGGGACGUCUCCAGCUGUUCGUGCGUGGUGACACGAGUUGGUCGGCAGGAGUCGAAAAAGUUUGUUGACGCCGCCUGAUCGGGUUUGCGCAAGAUGGAAUCCACCAAGUUGGAGACUUCGAGGAGCCUGAGGUCGGCGCGAUCGAGGGCUUGGAGAAGAUCCGAGUUGUCGACCCUCUUUGCCUCGUAACGAGGGAGUGGUGGUCGGGUGCUUGGAAUCGGCGUGAUCGAAGUCGACGCCUCUGCUGCCCCAGAUUGAAUCUGGGUUUCCUCCGAAGUCGUGGUCGCCGGGCCGCCGCCACGAGUCGUCCACGUGAUCUGGCCGACGGUGAACGUGAGGCCUUCAGCCACGACCGCGGAAGCUGGAACGGUGACCAUCUUGUUCGUCGAGAGAGCUGUACGCACACCCCCUAUCUGGCGCGCCACUGUCGACGAAAGCUAGUCGGCAGUCUACCCUGGGGUAUACCCACGACAGUAGUUUAUCGGUAGACGGUGCGCAAGCUAUGAACUUGAUGGUGACACAAGACACGGACAAGGUUUUUAUCCAGGUUCGGCCGCCGUGUGGGCGUAAUACCUACGUCCUGCGUCUGGUUGUAUUGGAUUGUGUUAAGAUAAUCUCUCCUAGGGGGUCCCUUGCCUCUCCUUAUAUAGUCCAGAGGGCAGGGUUACAGAUCUGGAAACUAAUCCUAGUCAGUUACAAUUGCCAUAGAUACUACAAUAUCAAUUCCUAUUCCAACCGACUAGAAUCCUGCUUGAUCUCCACGUCUUGUUUCCUUGUGUGAAACUCCGAGCAGUUAGAUCAAGGCUCAAACUGUCUCGUGAUGGGCCAAGCCUCCUGGCCCAAGUCUAGCCGUAAGGGUAUAGGAGUUUAUACUCCCACAUACAUACAGUAUAUGAGUACACCCAAACCAAAGCAUACGACAUAAUUAAAGGAAGUAUAACUUUAUAUGAGCAGGUUUUUUUCAUGGAGAUAAAUAUGAGUAAAUGGGAAGUAUAAUUAAAGGAACAUUUUAUUUACCAUUGCAUACCUGAGUUUUUCUUACAAGCAGCAUGUGGAUGGAGUCUCUGAAGCUGCUGCAACGGUUGCUUGAUUGGCCAUGGUCCAACUCAGGCACAACCACAAGGCUUGGCCAUACACACAUAUAGUGUACAUAAACUAUAGGCCAUAGUGGUAGCAAAGGUCAUGAAGAGGAGAAUGCUCCUUCUUUCUUCUUAUUAUGUAUAUCAAUCAUUCUCUUUUUUAUAUAUAUAUAUAUAUAUAUAUAUAUAUAUAUAUUCAGUAUUUGUGUUUCAGUAUUGUUCAGUAUUUCGUGGUUCUGAGUGUUGGACAAGUUUAUACUAAACACUCUCCGGUACUGCUCAGUAUUUUUUCUACUCAGUUUUGACUUGCGGUGUAGAAUAAUAUUCUACACCUAGGGUGUAGAAUAGCGCUACCGUAUAUAUAUAUAUAUAUAUAUAUACAAGUGCUAUUCUACACCCUAGGUGUAGAAUACUAUUCUACACCAAACUACUAUACUGAAUAGAUUUCAGUAUCGUUCAGUAUCCGCAUUUCAGUAUUGUUCAGUAUUUCGUGGUCCUAAGUGUAGUGUUGGAUGAUACUGAACACUCUCCAGUACUGCUCAGUAUUUUUUCUGCUCAAAUUUGGCUUGCGGUGUAGAAUAAUAUUCUACACCUAGGUGUAGAAUAGCGCUACCGUGUAUAAUAUAUAUAUAUAUAUAUAUAUAUUAUUUCUCUCUCUUUUUUACAAGGUAGAGCUCACGUCUCUCUCUCUCUUUUAGGAUGCCCUUUUGGUGUGGAUGGAACUCUAUUGAAAUUUUCACCACUCUCCCCACACUUGACUUUUGUGUAAAAGUCAAGUGUGGAAUGUUGUGUGUUUCCCUUCAAAUGUGUUCCAUCACCAAAGGUCAUCACACAACAAUUUAGAUGAUGUAGCUCUCACGCUCUCUAGCAUCGUAUGCUCCUUUGUUCUUCUUGGUCUAAACAUAAAUUGGUUAGUGACAAAAAUACCCAAAGGUGCAUACUAACUUUUGAUUACAUGUUCUUGCUUUUAUUAAUAAGAGAGUUUGUUUUUAUGAUAAACCCUUUUUUGGAUUAAAGAUUAUAUAUUUAUGAUAAUCUGGGGUAUCUCCUGUAGUGCUUAAUUUAUGGUCUUAAGCUUAACUGUGGGAACUUUCUCUUGUAGCUAUCAGUGGUGGUGUAGUUCCCAACUUUACCACGAAGCAUAAAACAUUAUGGCUCAAGCUGCAAGGUUACCAUCAUAGUGCAACCAUGAGAUCUACAGUAUUUGUGGUACCAUAGGCAUCUGCAAUCACUCACUUGGGAUCCUCGUGAAAGUGCAUGGUACUAAGCAAUGAACUCUUGAGACCUCAAAACUGAGCAUAAAGCAUGAGGGGUCUCGAAAUAGAAGAAACUUUCAUGCUCAAAUGUGAAAACUUUCUCCUUAGUCUCCAGUUCGUGUUUUAGGCAUGUCCAUAUCAAUACAACUAGGCAUCUAGCGCAAUGGUAAAGACCCUGCAUUCCAUCCUCAAGGUCCCAGGUUCGACUCCAGGCAUUGAGGUUUUUUUGAAUUUAUUAGACCCCGAUGGCACAAAAGGUACAAGUCUUCAGGUCCCACAGGUCGGAUGAAGAUGGAGAAAGGUCCCACAGGUACACCUGACACGUGAGCAUCCCAUAGGUCUGAUGGUCCCACAGGUGCACAUAACACACAAGUCGUUAGGUCCCACAGGUCGGAUGGAGAUGGAGAAUGGUCCCACAUGUACAUGUGACAUGUAAGUCAUCGGGUCCCACAGGUCGGAUACUGAAGGGCCCUGUAGGUACAUCCGAGCUAAGACUUUUAUGAUGAAUUGCAAGCGUCACGGAUCAGUAACUAUAGGUCCCACAGGUACAUGCCAGAUGGAGAAGGAUCCCACAGGUACACACAUUACAAGAACUAGGUAAAUUCCCCGCGCGUUGUUGUGGGAUUUUCUUAAAAAUAAAUCAUUAUAUACAUAGCAUUACUUUAUAGCAUUCAAUCUAUUAUGUAUGUAUACAUAUGAUUUUGACUUGCAUGUAUUUUAUUGUAUUAGAUCUAGUAAAAAUUGCUAAGCUAAUAGAACAAAAACUAAUAUUUGGUUACAUUAUAGAGGAAUUAAUUGGUGAUGAAACGAAUAGUGUAUGUACAUGACUUGUAUGUUAAUAGAUUAAAGAUUUAAAGUAUUUUACAUGAUAUAGAUGAUAUGGUUAUUUUUUAUAAUUAAUAUGGGAUGACAUGGACUUAGUGGGGAAUGAUGUGGACACUUUGCAUGAAGAGAUAGAAUAUUUAGUGGGUCACUUAGUGGGGAAUGAUGUGGACACUUUGCAUGAAGAGAGAAUUCAUCUAGUGGGGUUUAGCUUUAUAAGAGUUAUAGAUUCUAGGAUUCUAUGACAAUUAGAUUAUGACGAAUAUAGCAUGUUUUCUCUCACUGCCUGCCUAUAGUGGCGAAGUGACUGUCGUCAGAAGGUGGGUCACUAACCACCUUCUGUGACCACCAGAGGACUUUGUCACUGAUACAGUGACGAUGUUCUCAUGUCAUUGAUACAAUGACGAGACUAAAAUGUCAUAACAAAUUAAAUAGAAUAACACCAUAUAUAUGAUGACAUGGCAGAUGACAUGGCUAAUGAUGUGGCAAAAAACAUUUGGCCCAUUAGGAAUGGGCUUUUUUCAUUAAUUAGGACCAACCUAGUUGGCCCACAUGUUGACAAAAACUUUUUGGCCCAGUUAUAAAUUGGCAUGUUUUUCCUUUAAGCCCAAUAUUAUUAUAAUACAUGUACGUCGCAUGGAGAAAGGACCGAGCGGAGACUUUAUGACAAAUUGUAAGCAUCACAGAUGAGUAACUACAGGUCCCACUGGUACAUGUCGGAUGCAGAAACUAGCGUGUGGAGAUCUAUGAUGAAGUCAUUCAUUAUGGAUCGAAUAUUGUUCGUUCCACAUGUGUAAUUAGUUCAAUGAUGAAGCCUUGUUCGUCACAAUAUUAAAUAAGGUCGUUACAGAUGAGUCGCACGAGUGAUCUAUGAUGAAACCCUUAGCUCUUCUAUGACGUUUUUUGUGACGACUCCUGAUUUCAUCAUGGAUAAGGGGAUUCAAAGAUCGUCACCGAUAAUCUAUGACGAAACCAAAAUUUUCGUCAUAGAAAGCGAUCUUAUAUGACGAUUUGGCAUCUAGCAUUAAGAAAAUCAUUAUAGAAGUAUUAUAGAAGUGGAGAUUUCUACUAGUGUCUAUAGCCUAGCCAAUAUCCUAUUCACCAAAGUACUUUCUCUGUCCUUUUUAAAAUCCUUCUCCUCACAAGGGUAUGUGCUACAUCCUAUUGAAUUGGAUAAAGUGAGCUCUCGUCCAACCUCAUCCCAGUUGCUCCAUCUCAUUCCUUGUGUUACCCACCUUAUCCACCUCCAAUUUAUUUAGGGUCUAUUUAGUUUACUUUACUAAAUUUUAGCGAGCUAAAACUAUUUUAGCUACUCUUGCAUGACUGGUGGGACUAAACUAUUUUAGCUUCUUUUUAGUCAGUGUGUUUAGAAGUUUAACUACUAAAGUGACUAAGUUUAGGUAGCUAAAAUUUAGCAAGAGGAACCAAACUGGCCCUUAUAAUAUCUCCACAUAUGAUUAUUGUAUCCUUCACAGGGUUUCCCCUUCUUCUAUAAGAUGUGUGGUGCAGACCCUCUCUUCCCCUCAACUCCUCUGUUAACAUAGGCAUCGAUUCUUCCAUUCGCCCCCCCCCCCCCACCCCCUAAUCCCCCUACCAAAUCCCCUCUCGACAUCACAAGUUUUGUUAAAUUCAUCUUUCUCCAACCCACCAUUCUCCUCAAAGGAAAUUUCACGUGCUACACCCUUAGGCUUUUAGCGGUUUAGAUUUUUUUCAGAGGGCUUGUAACUUCAUUAUAGGUCACUAUCUAUGCUUCGUUUGACCAGGAAGAAGUCAUUUUAUUCUUCUCCAUUCCCAAACUAUCACUAUUCCCAGAUUUCUAAUGUCCCUCCCCCCUCCUGAAUUACUCCCAUUUGACCCUUUAUUCUGAGUACAUAGGCCACUCUUUUCUACAUGAAGGAUUAACCUGCAACCAGUCUCUGUUCUGUUUCUUGCCACAGAUCUCACACUCUAUCAAUAAUGACCCAACAAUCCACAAACAUAGCAAAAGAUUGGGAGAAAUUCAUAUUUGGUUGGGCACCAACAAUCCUUUCCCCCAACUAUUGAUCCAUCAUCAUCACCCCACAAAGCCUUGCCAAUAUCCAACUUAACUUCAAUUCUGAGAUCCAUCAGCAUCCAGGGGGGUCUCUCACACCUUGUCAAUGAUCUCCUUUCCAGUGGAAUCAUUCAUCAGGCCAAGUGAUAGAUUGAAUACGUGAAUCCAUGUCAACAUGUAUACAAACUCCAGACCAUGUUUCUUGCCAUCAAAACCCAGCACCACAAACAAAACACAGCCAAACUCCCACAACCCCUCAUUUUUUGCCCGCCGCUCAGCCCAGUUGCAAGAAGGAAAAUAGUAAGAGAUUCUCACAUAAUUCCUUACACCGGACUCCCCUCAGAGGGCACCAAAUUUUCCACAAUGUUUGGCUCAUCCCUUAUAUGUGGCUAGGUUUUGCUGAGAAUAGCUUCCCCACUGCCUAUACCUCCAUCAGUCACCGACAUCUUGCAAGCAAACCCACAAUUCUCCCCAGAGAACUUCAGACCCACCAUGAGCCCCUCAAGCUCCUCCAUGCCACCACCAUCUCUCUUUGAACUCCCCACCAGGGCCAUUGUAUGCGUUAGAAGUAACUGAGAAGAGGAGGAAAGAGUAGCAAUUCAAGAGUCGGAUAAGGUAAAGUGUAUGUUGUGGAUGGGACAAGAUUUGAGCAUAUUGAACAAUUUAGGCUUGAUUUUGGUGUAGAAACUAGUUCAGAGCACAGGGGUUUGAGACCUCACUAGAGAGACUUAUCUACCUGGCUCCAAAAACUUCAAAUUUAGAAAUUGAUUUGUUCAGAGACAAGUCAAGUGUAAUUGAAGAAACCUUGCCAUUAUCAGAAGACGCCUUAUAAACUGGACAAACAAUAAUAAGCUAGCCACAUCUGCUAUAACAAGAAGCAAAAUAUCAUAUGCCAUUGUUAAGGACGAGUAUUUUUAGCCUCGUCAAGGAAUCCUAUUAACAAAAGUUACAUUGAAUCCUUUCACAUAUGCCAUCCAAAAUAAGGCUGCCCAAGGUCCACCAAGAUACAUGGAACCAGUCCAACACAACACGACAAACAGAGAACAAUAAUUGAAUCAAUAUGCUUCUAAACUAAGAGGAUUCUAUGUACAACCGUCUCAAACACGAGCUUCCUAUAUGUCAUGCGUAGACAAUCAAUAUGAGAAUCAACCAUCGCCGGGCCUAACUAGGACUCCGGAGCAAAUUGCACUCUUCUGCAAAGCAUAAAAAUACCAAAUAGAGGCCCCCAAGCAUAUUAGAGAAGCUGCUGCCGGAGUUGUUGGUUCUCCCUUCUUAGUUGCUGCACUUCUUUUGUCAGGCCUUCCACCUUUUCCAUGACCAAGUUCAGCACGCCUGACAUUUCCAUCUGCUUCUCGCAGAAAGGUUCAUUACGUCAAAAAAGAAUGUAUUAAAACAAAGGGUAAACAAAAAGAUUGAGCACAUAGAGCGAACAAGCAAUUCAAAAUCAUAAGUAUGGGUUCAACGAACUAAAAUGACAAAUGUGCAAAUCUCAUCUAGGGUCGACAACUUAUGAUUGUGCCAAAGGAAUGCAUGACAAAAAAAAAAUAGCAAGCUGCCUUUCUCUUUCAAAACAAAAGAAAAAUAAGAGCAAUAGUUUAUUUUAUUGGUAAAUAUCCUAGUGUUUACUUAAAAACAGAUCAGAUAGACAUGGGUAAGGGAAGGCUCAACCAGUCUACUGUAUAUGCUUUCAUUUCUUUCCCGUGGGUGUAGAAACAAAAAGAGCUCCUUACAUAAAAAAAUCACUAGAGUAUGAAUAUUGAAUAGAAAAAAAAUCAAAUGCAUACUAUAGAAUCAUGAUGAAAAAACAUUUCAAAUGCAAACUAGUCUACUAGAUCAUCGUUUUCAUCGUACAUUCAGUAAUAAAACAAGAUAAAUCUUCAAUAAAGUUGUAGUACAUUUCGGACAAAGAAAAAAGCAACCUCUCACAAAACGUUGCACACAGUGAGAAAUUCUACUAUGAACGCCGAUAACACGCAACGGGUUGCCUAUUAACGAUUGCACGACCCCCAUCGCUUUCCCAAUCGGCGCGACACCCACCACCCUGCCAUGGCGCGAUAAUGUCUCGCAGGAGCUCCACGGCAGCGGCAGUGGCCAGAAGCUUCGACGAGACCCUAUCGCGCCUGCGGUAACCUCCUUCCCCUCCCCACACUGCCGCCAUGGCCAUGGUUGCCCCCGCCCCAACCCUGCCCGGCCGCCUCCUCCGCUCCCCGCUCCGGCGGUGUCACCGCCGCCUCCGCCUCGCCGCCGUCUCUGCCAUCCCCACCGCCGGACCUGGCUGCCUCCCUCUACCCUGUUUCUAAACCCACCGGAGAUGGAGAAGAGAGGGAGAGGGAGAGAAGAGAAGGAGAUGAAAACUAUUGGGCAUCGUGCGAUACAACCAGAGCGCGACAGGUUGUCAGAUAGAUUUUGCGUUCUACAAUAGCCGCAAGAAACCAUACUUUUGAACAGAACUACCAGUUCUAUUUUGCAGAGUCUGCACAAGCUUUUCUCACUUCAAUGGGGCAAGAAAACAGGCACACCAUGAUCAUUGUAAAACUACAGGUUCAGGUAAUCAGGUGUUUUCUACAACAGAACAAAAGAGGUUUUCUGAAACUACAGAGCAGCAAUGUGUGGUUCUGUGAAAUGGCUUCAAAACUAGUGUGGAUAUUUGACAGAAACCACGAACUAUGUGUUUCCAAGAAAUUAAUUGAGAAAAAUUGGGAGUGUGCUGAUUAGACAUUUGUGUUUCGCAGCAGCAAGUUCAUAACUGUAUCUUUAUACAUUAUAUAAACAACUAAAAUAGUAUCUACAGGAUUUGAUAUCAUGUAACCUUCCUGAACUUUAAAAUCCUUUAACUUUCAAGAUUUAAAAGGCAUUGAUUUCAAAAAGAGGAAGUUAAUUAACUCUAAUGAAUGUGUUUAUCUGAGCUCCAACGUUAUGGUUUAACUCUCCUUUUUUUGAAUUUCUAAUGAAUUUUUACUUAAGGUGAAUUAUGCAGAUAUAUCUUGAGUUCAGAACAAAUGACAUCAUUGACACAUAGGCUAAUAAACCUAUGCCUCCUCAGGGAGACUCUAAACUCAUAAAGCCAACAACCUGCCUCAAUCAUAAGGUGGUUAGCCACUACAGCCAUUAUAGUGGAAGGACAUGCAGGUGCAAGAAACUGAAUAUUCAUGCAACUAAUACAGUAUUUCAGAAGGAUGCAGUUAGCAUGGCAAAGGAAAGUACUAGUAGUAGAGAAAAAAAUAAAAAUAAAAUCAGGGUGCAGUUAUCACAAUAUGUCCACUACAUUAAAUUAUUUCUGUAUGAAAAAAAAAACAGUGCAGCUUUACUGUUGCUUGCACUAGCCUUAUCAUGUAUUAGGCCUUAUGAAACACAAGGCAGCAUAAACAUAUGCAAUAUAUGUUGGUGUUUGGUUGUUCUGCACAUGCAAGCUGUGUUUAGUAAGAUUGUGUUUGACUGCUUAUAUUUUGUUGCACGUGAUCACCUCCAUGUUCUAGUAGAAGUGGGCAAGGUGAAGAUUCCAUUUUUGUGGGCCUCAUCAACUUGUACAAGCAUGUACUUCCUACAUCCCAAAUUGUAAGUAGGGAUGAAAAUGGAUCGGAUAUAUACGGAUAUCACUGAUAUCAUAUUUGUUUUCAUAUUUUUGGUCGGAUUCGGAUUCGAAUACGAAUAAUGUUAACAAUGUCGGAUAAGAUACGAUUGGAUGUCGACAUCAUAAAUUUACGAUUUAAGUAUUCAAAUACGAAUACGGUAUCGAAUAUUGAACAUUCGAACUCGGAUACGAACAGAUCAAAACCCCUCUAAACGAAUUCGGUCUCAAAUAUGGUCAAAAAAUAUUCAUACCAUUUUCCCCUAAUUGUAAGUCAUUCCAAGAAUCUUGGAGAGUCAAAGCAUCUAAGUUUGACCAAAUUUAUAUGAUAGGAUAAUAACAUUUAUGAUAUCAACUAAGUAUCAUUAGAUUCUUCAUUAAUUAUAUUUUCAUAGUAUAUCUAUUUGAUGCCACAAAACUUUAUAAUUUUUUCUAUAAUUUUGGUCAAAUUUGAGAUGUUUUGACUCUCCAAGAUUCUUGGAAUAACUUAGAAUUUGGGAUCGAGGGAGUAUUUCCUAAUAUGACCAAAUCUAGCAUACUGACUAAUGCAGCAUUUGGCCUCCUUUGAGCACUGUGCAAGCCUGCAUAGGCCUCUAUGGGACAAAGGUUAACUGCACAAACUAAUUCAGGCAACCAAACACAGCCGAUGAUGCUUCUGUCCACAAAUCUGAUCUAGGUGAGCCCAACAUACAGAACGUAUGAAGAUCUUGCAAGGCAUUGGAGCAGGUUAUAUAGGUGUGUGCCAUUGAGAACAAAACAAAGUCAGCUUAAAAUCCAAUUUGAAUCUAUGAGUCAAAACUAGAAGCACAAAGCAACAUUACCAUAUUGAGCUAGAAAUUUUACCUCCUGCAUGUGAAACUGUCUUAAAAGUUCAAUGUGGAGAUUUCUCACAUCCUCAUGGAUGGUCUUCUGGACAGACCCAAGAGAUUCUUCAAGCAUGCGCUGCACAUACUGAAGUGAGAAGGAAGAAGCGCCAUGUUGGUCAGAUGAAGAACCCGUGUUCGCCAGUUGUGGUGGCACUACCCCCUAAUAAAUAGAAUAUAACAGUUCAGCAAAUCAUGCUGUUAAAACAUUUUAGUCAUACUAGUUGCACUAGUAAACAAGAACUUCUUACAUUGCUUGCUAGAGGGAUUGCAGAUGAAGAGGCAGCUGCUGCUUCUUGUCUUGACAAAAUGCUACUGAGCAACUCAUCUUUUGUUUCUGCUCCUGUCUUCUUUGAUUUUGGUGAACCAAAUGCUGAAGCUAAUCCAUCACUAAAUACAGAUGAUGAGCUCAUUCUAUCAGUAUAUGUUGUGGGUCUCCACAUAGAAGUGGAUUGUGCUGCUCCUGGUUGAUCGGGAAUCACAGAUGGCAUAGCUUUUGAAACAUAUGAGGGAAGAGAACUCUGAAGAUUAGGAGAGGAUGCGUCCAGGGAAGAGUGUGCAUUGCUCAAGAUGCCCUUGUUCUGUAGAUUCAUUAAAAUGUUACUUGCAAGAGAACCCUUCAGUGAGUGACUGGAUGCUGAAGCUGAAUCUUGUAAGGCUGUAAAUGCCAAGCCACCAGUUGGAAAGGCUGAAGACCCAAAGCGUGAGAUAUGCUGACGUUGAGUUAGCCUGUCUGGUAAUGCAUUUCCAGUUGCUACCUCAGGUGAAGAUACAGAUGAGAUGCUAUCCUGUACAAUGCAAACAUGUAUAACAACAUCAGAAAAAAAAGGCUAUAUGGUUUAUAUUUUCAUGAUGAAACAUGUGCCCCCUCAAACAUAAGCAUAUAAGUUUUUCAUGAAGAACCUGUCUUGAAUUUGCAGUAGACCGCCAGUCUGCAAUCGGAUGUGGCUCAUCAUUGCCUUCCAUAUACGAAUACUUCCUGGUUGCCGAAAGUUUCUUUUCUCCUGGUUUAUCAUCCUUUUUUGUAUCAUCACUUCCAUGUUCAUCCCACCAGUUGCCACUAGAUGGUGUGAAAGGCUGGACAUCAACAAGUGGAGAAAAUACAUCCAUAUCAUCCUUAAGAUUAUAGUUACUACGAGGAGCCUGUAGCUUUGCUAACGGUCCACCAGACAGCGGACGAGUUCUAUAUGGAGUUUCCUCCAUAGUAGAAGAAUUUGAGGUCGAAAGAUAGCCACUUGUGUUUGCUGUCAAAGAAGAGCGAAGACUUGUACUGGCCACUCCAGAACCAAGACUUGUAGGUGUUGCUGAAGGCAAGGGAUCUGGCAUAAGAACAGAUUCUUCACUAGUUCCCCCAAGAAGAGCAACUUCAGAAGAACUGUUCUCAUUAACAACGACAGGCUUCGACCGUUGCCAGCAUAAACCUGUCACGGCCUGAAAUUGUAAAUUCAGGAAUGUUAAAAACAAAUUAAAGAGUAGAUUGUGGGAGUAAAAUUUCGUGUAUCAGCCUUUAUUAUGCAAAACUAUCAGUUCAUUUUAAUUAUUAAUUUAUUAAUUUAAAUAAAUAGGACACCUUUCAAUUAUCAGGUUCACAUGACAAUGAUUCAGCAAAAAUACAUAGGAAUGUAUUUCAUUGCCAGAGACUUCUCUCAACUAAAUACAAUUUUAUUUUCAUCCAGGGAUUUGUUGUUUCGAGAAAGAGUACAGAACAUUGUUCAAGAAAAAAAAAAGGACACAGAACUACAAAUGUGACGCAAAAAGGUGAAAAGACCUCCACAUCACAACAAGAAAAGAAAACACUUGUGCCAGUCAUUCAAAGCAAAGAACAAUCAUACUUGAAUUACAUCAGCAAACAGAUGUACCAAGUCAACAACAAUUUGCAGACCAAAGAGAAAAGAUGAUUGUGAUUUCUCACCUCAGAGGUAUUAUAUGCACGAAGGAUGGUCAAUGGUUUUGGUUUUCCUCGGACAUCAUAAAACACCACACGUCCACUAUUUGUGCCCGCUGCUAAUAUAGUACCAUCAUCAUUAUAUGCCAAUGAGGAGAAUGGAGCCUCAUGAGGAAUAGUUUGUGUUGGCCGUCUUGACCCCGAAUCUAAUAUGUAUAACUUCUUGUCAAGGCCAACUGUAGCAAUUGUCUGCAAAAACAAAAUAAAAGCCUCAAGUGUGGGAAAGACAUUAUUCAUUCAGACAUGAAAUGCCAGCUGCAUUUACAACCACAAAACCUUAUCACUGGAUGGUGAAAUACAAACACCACUUGUGGGUGCAGAAUGUUGCUUCAGCCAUGAAACCUGCACAACAGCGGCUAGUCAAUUCGAGAAAAUUAAAGCAAGUAUAAGCAGAAGAAAGCUGAUCAUGCAGAUGAGUUAUUUUAAUAUUUCUGAAACAAACAAUGAUAACCAGGCUAUAUCAAUAGAUUAUAUGUUUAGCCAGAAUGAAGAAUCAAUUCAAGAAAGUAAUUUUACAGUACCAGAAACAACAUAAUAAUAAUCACAGCUACAUAAAGACGAGUCAAGAUGAGUACUGCCUGUAUUUUACCUUCAAACAUCUGUCAAACAAAUAAAAAACAUGAAAAUGUGAAUUUAAGUUUCCAAGAAACAAAUAGUCCUGGUGGCAAAUUUGGUAAAUACAGGAGCUAAGUGGCCAGCCCAUCAGUUUGGCACAGGUCCAGCUUCUAGCUCCAUCUCAGGUCUCAACUUCAUUAACUAAAAUAGUGUCUUGAGCCUCUAUUUUUAAAAGGAAAGAAGCUAGUACAAAAACUUCAGAAUGGGGCUUAGGCAUUAAUCAGGGUUGUUCAACAUUGGGUCAGCGAACACUUUUCCAUUCUAUAGGCUAAUCAGUGGCUAGGGGACGAUCACCAAGGGAGCACACCGAGCUGCACAGCACCCAGGCCGCAGUCACCACAGCUCAAGGAGCCGGUUUAGUUGAUUGAGUUAGUUUUAUCUAUUCCAUUGAGUUAUUAGAUGGACGAGAGUAAUUUUCGGAGUCAAUUACAUUUGUUAAGAUUUGCCUAUAAGGCCCAAACAUUUCUUAAUGAAAGGAUUAGCCAGGGAUUGAGAUCUUAUCUCCCCUAGGUGCCCAGGCACCCUAUUCCACGUCUCACUAUUGCCGUGCCUCCCCUGUUCCCCUAGUCGCGCGAGCAUGGCUCGCCCAAAUCGUCGUCGAGACUCCAAGCCUCGGCUAGUUGUUCCCCCUCCUACUUCAUGUGCUCUAGUCGCCAUCGUAGCAGGCACACAUGCAGCUCCCAUAGCCAAAACUCGCGCUUGGCAACUCUAGCCGCCUCCAAGGGAACCAAGCUCACAGGGAUAUCAUAGGGGAGCUCGACAACGGAGGGGAUCUCGGUGGGGUCUCAAUCAUUGGAGAGCGACAAAGCAGACAGGGGCAGCAUGGCCGUGCGAGCAGAGGCAGAGGGGGAUCAGGCGAGCAAACAAGCUUGCUAGGGGCAGACAGUAUAAGAAGCUGAUCUACCCCACUGGGCCCUGCUGACAGGAAAAGUCAAGGGCAGUUCAUUUUGGAGAACUGUGGGGCAGAGGGGGUGAGGGCAAUAUCAGCACAAGCUACGCGUUUGCACAUGGUGGGCUUAUUCUUAAGCAAAUGUUGGUUGAGAAGCUAUGCCUAACAGGGCCUACGUGCCCUAUGGAGGAACUAGCUGGCACCCUACUCCAAGCUUAGCACCUUUUAGAAUACAUGGAGCUAACACAACUUUCUCUAAAGGCACUACAAAAGGCCAUGCUGCAAGACAAAAUGUCGGUAUGCACAAGAGAGUAUAAUGACUGUAUGGUGUAUAUAUAUCAUAGGGGAGCUCGACAACUGAGGGGAUCUCGGUGGGGUCUCAACCAUUGGAGAGCGACAAAGCAGACAGAAGCAGCAUGGCCUCGCGAGCUGAGGCAGAGGGAGAUCAGGCGAGCAAACAAGCGCAAGCUACGCGUUUUCACAUGGUGGGCUUAUUCCUAAGCUAAUGUUGGUUGAGAAGCUGUGCCUAACAGGGCCUACGUGCCCUAUGAAGGAACUAGCUGGCACCCUACUCCAAGCUUAGCACCUUUUAGAAUACAUGGAGCGAACACAGCUUUCUCUACAGGCACUACAAAAGGCCAUGCUGCAAGACAAAAUCGGUAUGCACAAGAGAGUAUAAUGAAUGUAUGGUGUGUGUGUAUAUAUAUAGGACAUGUUUUUCCUACACGUGUGUGUAGUUACUCCCAUGUUUAUAUCUCACGAUUUAGGGUGUAUAUGACUGGACGAAAUGUAUGUAGAUGAAGUAUAUGACCAUACUAGACCAUUUAGGGUGAUAUGUAUGUUAAGUAUGCAUGCAUACAUAGAGUAUGCGGUUAUACUUAUUAUAUAUACUACAGUAGUGGCAUUUUAGUACGAUAUUAAAAAAUAUGGAUUUCUUUGAAAAAUUUUCGCGUGGUAAGAUCUAGAGUAUCUUAAUAUGAGUAUAUAAACAUACUCGAACCGAUAAACAAGUAUGAACACAUACGCAAUGUGGUUUAUUGAAGAUGGGGGUAACUAUCAUAAUAACUUUCCCUAUCAUCUAUAUGAUAAGAUGUCUUGAAGGCUGCAUUUUAUUUUGACUUUAAAGGUUAACUCUAUAACACUUGAACAACAGAAGAAUAUAAGUACAACAUAAGCAGAACCCCAUGGAAUCUGGUACCUUUGGAGACUUUGCAGUUGUAUCCCAAAGAUGCACAGAACCAUCAUCUCCAGCUGUCACCAACAAAUGCCUACUAUUUCGUGAAUAAUCAAGCACUCUCAGAACCUGACCAUGCAUAAAUAAUUCAGGAAAACUAAUAAAUACACAAGGUCAAAAUUUAAAAUUCAGGUACUCCUAGGCCCUAAUGCAAGGCAUGUGUGUUUUACAUAAAAACACAAAGAAGUAAAUGAAUUUACCUGUCCAUUUGGAUCGCUAAGUUCAGCAGCACGUGCACCAGAAGCAAGAUUAUGAAGAAUCAGGUCCCCCUUCAUGCUGAUCGAUGCCAAAUGUUCAUCUUUGCAGUUAUACAUUACGCCAGUAAUUGUGUCAGUGUGACCGCUUAGCCAUUUGAUACAUCUCUUUCGCUGCAAAUCCCAUAUCCUAACAAUAUGGCCGCUUCCACCAGAGCAGAGAUAUCGAGAACCUUUGUUGCUAAAACUGAUAGAAUAAAGGCACUCCUAAUAAGAAAGUAUAGGUUGCCAGGAUCAGCCACGGGCACAUAUUUACCAAAUAAAGUUAUAGAGGUUUGAAAUAUCAUCAGAUGAUUAUUCAGUAAUCCCACGAAUGCACGCAGAGAGAGAUAGAGAGAGAGCAUUGCAUAUGCUCAACUGCUCAAGUUAGAUGCUGGGUAGGAAAUUUCAGAAGAACCAAGCACCUGUGAGGCUUUUAUUUGUUAAAGUGCUAAACAUUUAAAGAAUAGAAAAUAAAUCUAUAUUAGGGUAUAAAAGAAAGAAACACAAUAAAACAAACUAACAUAUAUAGCGAAAAGAUGUCACUGAUGGAUAAGUCUUUGUACUGUGGUCUUUGUGGGGCUGCAGCACAUGGUCCUUGUGACCCUGCCAGGUGGUAUUUGCUGCCCAUCUAGGACAGCAUCUUGGACUAGCUUUAGGACAGCAUCUUAGGACAGCAUCUUUAGGACAGCAUCUUAGGACAGCAGUUAGGCUAGGACAGCAUCUUAGGACAGCAGUUAGGCUAGGACAGCAUCUUAGACUAGCAUCUUGGCAUAUGCUUGGCUGAAUAGCAGCCUAUAAAUAUGUAUUCCCAACCCCUCAGGUUGGCAUGGCAUUGUGCGAGAAGUAAAGCAGAAAAUUGUCGCAACUCCUAGUGUCAUCCUCUCCCUCGAUGAGUUAGAAUUCUGCUACUACCUAGGCCUUGUUUAGUUCCAAAAUUUUUGGCAAAAUGAGCACUGUAGCAAUUUCGUUUGUAUUUAACAAAUAUUGUUCAAUCAUGGACUAACUAGGCUCAAAAGAUUCGUCUCGUCAAUUUCGACUAAACUGUGCAAUUAGUUUUUAUUUUUAUCUAUAUUUAAUACUCCAUGCAUACGUCUAAAGAUUCGAUGUGACGGGGAAUCUGAAAAAUUUUACAAAAUUUUUGGGGAACUAAACAAGGCCCUAGAGUAAGAAUUCAACAACUAACAACUGGUAUCGGAGCCAUACUAUCCUAUAGCCUGAGCAUCUCCUGCUCAUCUCCUUUCCUAGCCUCACAGCAGCCCCAGCCGGUAGCAGCAGCAGCUCCGGCUGUCCCUGCUCACUCCUCUCCCUCUACGCAGGCGAGCAGCAGCUCGUAUGAAGCAGCCCUCUCUCCACGCAGCAGCCCCUCGGUAGCACGCCAUGUCCGCAGGGCAGUCUCAGCGCUCGGUCACCUCGAGCACACGGAGUCGGCAGGAGGCUGAGCUCGCCACAUCAGAGAAACGCGAGCGAGCGGCGGCAGAGACCGCUGCAGCGGUGGCAAGGGCAUCAAGGCUGGCAGCGGCAGAGCUGGCAGCAGCCAGAGCGGAGGCAGAAGCAGCGGCGGCAGCGGAGGUCGACGUUCUGCGCGGCAGCAUUAGCAGCUCCAUCUCUGCUGACGAUAGCGCCGACGCAGACCUCGACGUGCUGGCGAGGGAGGCAGCGCGAGAGGCGGGCGGUGCGGUGGGCAGCCACGCACGCCCACGAACGCGGCAGCAGCCCAGACAGGCGCGGUCGCGCUAACGGCGGUGGCGCUCCAAGAGGAGGCGCGCAUGGCGGUGGCGCUCCUGGAGGAGGAGCGCACGACAACGGCGGCGGAUGGGUCAAUGGAGAGCGCAGCCUUCACAGGCGGCGUGACUCUCUCUCCCCAGACCGGAACCGUGGUUACCACAGGUUCCAGGUUGUUGUCAAGGACAUCGGCCCUAGCGGUGGGUGGCCUACUCUCACCUUGACCAACUACGUCGAGUGGGCUGCGGUGAUGAAGGUGAGGCUCCAAGUGCGGCACAUGUGGGAGGCAGUCCGGUACGGCUACGUCGACUACGACCAGGAUCGACGGGCGCUGGAUGCCCUCAUUGCUGCAGUCCCGCCCGAGAUGCAGUUCUCGCUUUCCAACAAGCGGACUGCCAAGGAGGCUUGGGACGCCAUCACUGCAGCACGCGUCGGCAGCGAUCGCACCAACAAGUCCACGCUGCAGGCACAUCGCAAGGAGUGGGAAAACCUGGCUUGCUCUUCGUCUCAACACUAUGCUCCAGAAGUUGGUGCAGUUUGGCGACGACACCUAUAGCGAGGAGAGAGCUAUCGAGAAGCUCUUUCGCUGCAUCCCCCAAGAAGUACAAGCAGAUGGCUCGCUCGAUCGAGUCUUUGUUGGACCACUCCACGAUGACGAUCGAGGAGGCGAUAGGUUGCCUCAACGUCGUCAAUAGUGAUGAGCCACAGUCUCUCUCGGGGCCCGUCAACAUUGGCAGGAAGCUCCUUCUCACUCUGGAGCAGUGGGAUGCCUGCCAAGGUGACAAGAAGGGGCAGUCCUCUUCUACGACAGGCGGCCGAAAGCCGCGCAAGGCGCGCAAAGGCGCCCAGGCCGAGGCGCGAGGACGUGCCGAGGGUGACGGCCACGGAGGCGCCCAGGGCGGCGCUGCCAGCCAACACAAGCCACGAGACAAUGCCUGCCGCAACUACGGCUAGCUUGGCCGUUGGGCCAAGGACUGUCAACAGCCACGAUGCGGCCAGGCCCACAUAGGAGGAGCCGGCUCUAUUCAUAACACAUGCUAGCAUCGAGCUAUCUCCAACAGCACUGGCCGCAGCGGCUCUCCUCCACCUUGACGAGCCGAAAGCACACGCCCUCCUCGGCUACGACUCCGGCAACGACAAGACUGACGGGUGGUGCCUUGACACCGGCGCCACCCAGCACAUGACCGGUCGACAGGAGUUCUUCGCCGAGCUUGACUCCAGCGUCCGAGGCUUCGUCAAGUUUGGGGAUGCCUCUAGCGUGGAGAUCAAGGGUGUCGGCUCCGUCAUCUUCUCCGCGAUGUCUGGUGAGCACAAGCCGCUCACCGGAGUCUACUACAUCCCCGCACUGAGGAACUCUAUCAUCUGCUUGGGACAGCUGGAUGAGAACGGUUCGCGCGCGAAGGUCGAGCACGGGGUCAUGAAGAUUUGGGAUCGCAAUCGUCGCCUUCUUGCCAAGGUAACCAGAGGCACAAAUCAACUCUAUAUCCUCAACGUGCAGGUGGCACAACCCCUCCGUCUCGUUGCUCAUCGGGACGACGAGGCGCGGCACGAGCGCUUCGGGCACCUUCACUUUGAGGCUUUGAAGCGGCUCAGUGCCACGGAGAUGGUGCGAGGCCUGCCGUGCCUUGACCGUGUGGAGCAGUUCUGCAACAUCUGCAUGUUGACGAAGCAGAGGUGACUCCCCUUUCCCCAGCAGGUGAGUUUCCAAGCCGAGAGGCUCGAGCUCGUGCACGGGGACUUGUGUGGCCCAGUAACACUAGCCACACCGGGAGAACGACGCUACUUCCACGCUAAAGGGGAUGGGCUUCGAGCAAAGCCCGCAUGAAGUGGCCAUCUACCGGCAGGGCAGUGGAGGAAAUGCCCUGCUGUUGGGUGUCUACGUUGACGACUGAUGAAGGCCACCUUCUAGAUGAGUGACCUGGGGCCUCUCUUUCUACCUGGGAAUCGAGGUGCACCAGGAUGACUCCGGGAUCACACUUCGACAAACCGCCUAUGCCAAGCGCAUCGUUGAGCUAGCUGGGCUCACCGACUACAGGCUGAAGCUAAGCCGUGACAGCAUGACGGAGGAGGUGUACGCUACGCAGUAUCGGCGUCUUGUGGGGAGCCUUCGCUACCUCGCCCACACCCAACCAGACUUGGCGUUCUCCAUCGGCUACGUUAGUCGGUUCAUGCAACGACCGACGACUGAGCACCAGCAGGCUGUGAAGAGGAUCAUCCGCUACGUUGCGGGGACUCUCGACCACGCCCUCUACUACCCGAGGUGUCCUGGCGCGGCACACUUCGUCGGAUACAGCGACAGUGAUCUCACGGGCAACGUCGACACCAGUAAGAGCACAAGCGGGAUUCUCUUCUUCCUCGGCAAGUGCCUCGUUAGCCGGCAGUCAGUCAAGCAACAGGUGGUGGCCCUGUCUAGCUGCGAGGCCAAGUACAUAGCGGCUUCCACAGCUUCGACUCAGGCGCUCUGGCUCGCUCGACUGCUUGGUGAUCUCCUCGGCAGAGACACUGAAGCGGUGGAGCUCAGGGUGGACAGCAAGUCCGCUUUGGCCCUGGCAAAGAACGUUGUUUUCCAUGAACGGAGCAAACACAUCCGGGUGAAGUACCACUUCAUCCGAGGCUGCUUGGAUGAAGGAAGCAUCAAGGCGAGCUACAUCAACACCAAGGAUCAGCUUGCGGACCUGCUCACCAAGCCUCUUGGGAGGGUCAAGUUCCUUGAGCUCUGCUCCAGGAUCGGGAUGGUUCAACUUUCCCAAAAGACGACGCACAAGAUUUAGGGGAAGAAUGAUGGAUAAGUCUUUGUACUGUGGUCUUUGUGGGGCUGCAGCACAUGGUCCUUGUGACCCUGCUGCAUGGUGGUCUUUGCUGCCGAUCUGGGACAGCAUUUUGGACUAGCUUUAGGACAGCAUCUUAGGACAGCAUCUUUAGGACAGCAUCUUAGGACAGCAGUUAGGCUAGGACAGCAUCUUAGACUAGCAUCUUGGCAUAUGCUUGGCUGAAUAGCAGCCUAUAAAUAUGUAUCCCCAACCCCUCAGGUUGGCAUGGCAUUGUGUGAGAAAUAAACUAGAAAAUUGUCGCAACUCCUAGUGUCAUCCUCUCCCUCGAUGAGAGUUAGAAUUCUGCUACUACCUAGAGUAAGAAUUCAGCGACUAACGGUCACUAUAGUCGCCAAUGUUCCUUUGUUGCCACAGCCAAGAAAAAGUCUAAAAAAUCAAAAAUUCAAAUGGACUAAAACACAAAAACAGUAGUGCUAAAACGAACUAUUUGGCCCUCAGGUAUUAUUUGGGUCGAUCAUUUCAUUUUUGUCCUCAAAACUGCUUGUCCAGAGAAAAGGCAUGGCUCAAUGCAUGUAGUUAGUCCAAAUUUAGCAUGUUUAUCAUGAAAGGAAAAAGGUAAGCAAUGAAAUAAGCAAUAUAGCAAUGCCUAUGAAAAAAGAUGUGAAAUUUCCAUCCUGACAUUACUAAUUGAUAAACAGGUAACAUUUUCAGAAACUGCUUGAUAAAUCCCCAAUAAGAGUGGCACAUGCAUGGUUGUAGUCAUAACAUUAGCACAGAAACAUACUAAUGCCUGAUACCUCUAUGUCAUCACCACGGUCAACAGUUGAUGUUGGUAGUUGUCCUACAUUUUGACCCUUUUUAUGCCACAAUGAGAUCCUUUUAUCAUCCCCAGCACUUGCUACAAUAAGAUCUGCACGUUAAGAGCAAAUGGUUGUUAGUGCUAGUGCUUUUAUUUGCCGUUUUACAGUGCAAACAAUGAGGAAUCAUUUUUUCAACAUAUUGAGGUUCUGUUUCAAAAAAAACAUAUGGAGGGUAAUAUCUUGUAGAAGUAUAUUCAGUUAGGAAACAAUGGAACGCUGAAUGUAACAUAACAGAUUUUACACUAAAAAUAAAGAAAACCAAAAAUGUUUCUCAGCGUUUACUUGUGAAACAUAGAAAAAAUAUAUUAAUAAAGUUAUCUAUCACUCACUGCAGGAAAGAAAUGGAUAUCCUGUCCUUUACCAUAACAGGUCACUGGUUUGGUUGAUGUAUGUGUAAGCAUGUAAAUACAAAUAAACAUGAUGGAAAGGCUAGAAGUUGACAUUUUAGCCUCAUUGCUCUAGGAUCUACCCUACGAAUUCACCAGAUUUUCAUUCCUAGAUCCACACCAAAAAAACGUCCCCCACUAAGAAGCCUUCCAUCCAUGCACCCAGAAAAGUGUACCUAGAAAAACGACAACUUUAAAAUGGACUGUCCAGAUUUAUUCUAAUCCUUCUCUCUCCUUACUCAAAUCCAAGGGCCACAAUUGCAUGUGUCAACCUCCUCUAGCUCUUGAUGCCGCGCCCCAUCCACUCUCGCUCUCAGCCCACGGUUCGAUCUCCCACAACUACAAGUCCUUUUUUCUAAAAAAAAAUCCCCUCUUCGCACGCAGUGCCACCAUCGUCAACGGGCAAGGCCACGGCGGGGCGCCGCCUCUGGCGUCGAGAGGCUACCAGGUGAAGCUCUUCGACUACGUAGCCAAUCUCGUCGGGUAGGGCGUCCAGGCCAUGCUCACCAAGCACAACGACCAGCUUGCCUCCCUCGCCCAUGACCCCUUCGUGCGCGCAACUAGAUCCGCCACAAUGUCACGACCGACGUCGAUGUCAGGUACCAAUACUACAAGCUCCACUGCCCCCACCGUCGUGGCAGCAAGCCCUGCUGUCAUGGGGCCCCCAUCGAUGCGGACAUCUUGCGUCCGCCGUCACCGCCCCGCCGCGGGGUGCCGUGUGUCUAAGUCGUGCACCACCGCCCCAACGCGGACAUUGCAUCCUCGGCGUCCAUCCUGCUCAGAGAACGUCGUCUUCAAGGCCACAGUCUUCGGCUUGCAAGCACUAAGCAGCAGUCCGACAGAGGCAGCAGGUACAUCUCGAAUUGCUGUUAAUACACCAAUCAUGCAAUCUAACCUGCUACCGUUCUCUCUUAAUCAUGGUUCUUUUUCCAUUCAAAUUCUCCCUUAUGACUUAAGUGUCUAGUCACGUUAAUCAAAUCAGAUUUGAACAAGAGACAUUAGGUAUUGCUGGUGGUCACGGAAUGACGAUCAACACAGACAGCCAAAGUACACAAAGCCAUAGGAUAUGCAAAAUUGAUUUUAGGAUUAGGGUGUUAGAUUAUUGGAAGAUUUUUUUUUUGUACAACGCUAGAUUAUUUUAUUUCAAUUGUGCAGAUCUCAAUUUUCACUUGUGAUUCGGUAAGGCUUUUUAUUGUGAUAAUAAUAUGAUGGUCCUUUUACCAGGCCAAUCCUGAUUUUAGAUAAAACAUUGAAAGGAGUUUUCUUGGAUGACCUUGCUCCAUCUCUGUGAUAUGAGCUAAGUAGAACAUGGCAUGGUGCCUGUGAAGUUUGUCGCGUCCUAGAGUUAGAGCUUUAUGAUGGAAAGACUCAGUCUGAAAUACUAACUGAUGGUCCAUUCUUGGUGGAUUUUUAUAUAUGACUAAAUUUGGGAGAUCUGGUUGCAAAACAGAAUAAUGGAUUUAUUGGACCAAUUUUCCUUGCUUGGUAGAUUCAAUUCUAAUUUAGGAGUGCGCUAUUGUAUAUAUUGAGUUAACAAGCCCUAGAUAUGAAUAUUCACACCCAUAAAACAUUUUGCUCUUGCAGAAGUUGAGCGCCUUGAUAAUUCACCAUUUAGAUAUUUCUUGGGGAAACUAUAUGUUGAAAAUUAGAACCAUGCUUAUAUUUGGUCUACCUGAAAUGCCGCCGUGCCGUUAGCACAGGCACUAUACUAGUAUAUUGCAAAUAACUCAAAGCAUUAGCAGCGAAGGUAGCCAUAACUAACAUCUGAGGUAUGAUAGUUUUGCUAAGGGACAAAUAGUUGUCCUGUGGGGGAAAACCUACACUAGGAGACGCCGAGCCAGGGAUGUCCGGCGGGCAGCAGAGUGCGCGGGCGCGCGCGGCACCGCGGGCAGCAUGGCGAGCGCGGACUCCUCGCACGCAGUCCAGGAGGCCACGACUUAGUUUUAUUUGGAUAGAUUAGUGGAGAUUUGUUUCCUCUGUUAGUUGGCCGAUGGCCCUUUUUAUUCCUUGUAAACCGAGACUUUUGGUUAAGCAAGAUUAGAACCUUUUCUUCCUCCUCUCGUUCUCAAGCCCAGGCAGCCGUGAGGGGCAUAACCUCCGCUACUAGAAGACAUGGCAGGAGACUACGAGCUUCGUAGUCGAGGGCCAGCUACCCGUGAUCAUUACGCCCUUGACAACCUAGUAUCUCAGUCUCGUCGAUCCUCGCCCACCAACACCAGCCAAUCCACCGCAGCAGCCGCGCCCAACCCUAGACCACCGCCGUCGCCCACUCCUCCGUGAACCAGCCAACCACCAUGAGCGAACCCUCCCUCGCCGAUGUCUUGGCCUCGAUCAAGACCCUCACCACGGAGAUGACGGCCAUGAAGGCUGACAUCGCGAUCCUGAAGGACCAGCCUCAUUCGUCGGCCGCCAGCAACGACGACCGCCGCUUCGAGGACCUACGCGACAUCGACCUUCCCCCCCCCCGGCCUAAGAAGUGGGACUUCCCCCGUUUCGAUGGCACGACCGAUCCGCUACUCUUCCUCAACAAAUUCAAGGCGUACUUCCGCCACCAUCGUACCAUGGCUGAGGAGCGCGUCGGCAUGGCGUCCUACCACCUGGACGACGUCGCGCAACUCUGGUACACUCAGCUCUUGGAAGACGAGGGUGCUCCGACGUGGGGGCGCUUCAAGGAGCUCUUGAACCUGGGCUUCGGGCCACUUCUCCGUUCGGCCCCGCUCUUCGAGCUCUCCGAGUGCCGGCGCACGGGCACGGUGGAGUACUCCAACCAAUUCCAGGCCCUCCUACCUCGCGCAGGACGCCUCGACGAGGCUCAACGCGUUCAGCUCUUCACUGGCGGACUCCUGCCGCCCCUGAGUCACGUCGUCCGCAUUCAUCACCCGGAAACCCUCGCCACCGCUAUGAACUUGGCACGCCAAGUGGAACUGAUGGAGCACGACAGGCCGGCGCAGCACCAGCCUCGCCUGCCCCAGCGCGGCGCUCCACCACCGGCCGCUCCCAAGGCCGCCCUACCAGCACCGGCGCCACUCCUGGCGCUCCCGGCGCCCCCGGCAGCCGCCCAGCAAGGCCGCGGUGAGGGUAACCCACGGCGUCUCACCCAGGAGGAGAUGGCAGAACGCCGCUGUCUCGGUUUGUGCUUCAACUGCAACGAGAAGUUCACCCGCGGCCACAAUCGGUUCUACCGCCGGCUAUUCUUCCUCGACGGUGUGGAGAUUGAUGAGGACGGGGGCGCGGGCACUGACGCAGCAGACGCCGCGGGGGAUACGGAGGCGCCUGUUUUCUCCCUGCAUGCCGUCGCUGGCGUCCCCAUCGCAGACACGAUCCAACUCCAGGUGACCGUGGGAGCCACCUCUCUCCUCGCACUGCUCGACGGCGGCUCCACCCAUAGCUUCAUCGGCGAGGAGGCGGCGCGACGUGCAGGCCGGCCGAUCCAGCCCAGCCCGCGCAUGUCGGCUAUCAUCGCCAACGGCGAGCGCGUCUCCUGCCCGGGAGUCAUCCGGAACGCGCCGUUCUCCAUCGACGGCACCACAUUCCACACCGACUUAUUUGUGAUGCCCCUCGCUGGUUAUGACAUGGUGCUCGGUACACGGUGGCUCGGCACACUGGGUCCCAUUGUGUGGGAUUUCGCCACCCGUUCGAUGGCGUUCCAGCGCGGCGAGCAACACUUCUCCUGGACGGGCGUGGCCUCGCCAUCUACAGCGCAGUUGCGCACCCUCGCAGCGGCCAGUGGGACGCUCCUGGACGAGCUCCUGGUCGCAUAUGACGACGUCUUCGGCGAACCCACGGGCCUUCCCCCACCGCGCGGCCGGGAUCACGCCAUCGUCCUCAAACCUGGCUCCGCCCCCCUCGCUGUUCGCCCGUACUGCUACCAAGCAGCACACAAAGACGAGCUGGAACGCCAGUGCGCCGCGAUGAUCGAGCAGGGUGUCGUUCGCCGCAGCGACUCGCCUUUCUCUUCGCCGGUCCUCCUCGUCAAGAAGGCUGACGGCUCAUGGCGCUUCUGUGUCGAUUACCGCGCCCUCAACGCACUCACCAUCAAGGACGCUUUUCUGAUACCCGUCGUCGAUGAGCUGCUCGACGAGCUCCAUGGCGCCCGCUUCUUCACCAAGCUCGACCUCCGGUCGGGGUACCAUCAAGUUCGGAUGCGGCCGGAGGACGUCCACAAGACCGCGCUCCGCACCCACGACGGCCUCUACGAGUUCCCCGUCAUGCCGUUCGGUCUGUGCAACGCACCGACGACGUUCCAGGGGUUGAUGAACGACGUCCUGCGGCCCUUCCUCCGUCGGUUCGUGCUUGUCUUCUUUGAUGAUAUUUUGAUCACAGUGCGACUUGGGCCGACCACCUGCGACACCUGCGUACGGUCCUCGCCAUGUUGCGCCUACACCGACUCUUCGUCAAGCGCAGCAAGUGCACGUUCGGCGCCGCCUCGGUGUCCUACCUCGGCCACGUCAUAUCCGAGGCGGGCGUCGCCAUGGAUCCGGCCAAGGUGCAAGCCAUCCACGAGUGGCCGGUGCCCCGCUCCGCUCGGGCGGUGCGCAGCUUCCUCGGCCUCGCGGGCUACUACCGCAAAUUCAUCCACAGCUACGGCACCAUCGCCGCCCCGUUGACGGCCCUCACCAAGAAGGACGGUUUCUCCUGGACAGCGGAAUCCGCCGCUGCGUUCGACGCCCUCAAGAACGCAGUGACCUCGGCACCCGUCCUCGCGAUGCCGGACUUCACCAAGCCGUUCACCGUCGAGUGCGACGCGUCCACGCACGGUUUCGGCGCCGUCAUGGUCCAGGAGGGCCACCCCGUCGCGUUCUUCAGCCGGCCCGUUGCUCCACGGCAUCAAGCCCUCGCCGCCUACGAACGUGAACUGAUCGGCUUGGUUCACGCCGUCCGCCACUGGCGGCCAUACCUUUGGGGCCGGCGUUUCGUCGUCAAGACCGACCACUACUCCCUCAAGUACCUGCUGGACCAGCGCCUGGCCACCAUACCUCAACAUCAUUGGGUGGGAAAGCUGCUGGGAUUCGACUUCGCCGUCGAAUAUAAGCCGGGCGCGACAAAUGUCGUCGCGGACGCCUUGUCUAGGCGUGACACAGAGGAGGGCGCGAUUCUGGCGCUGUCCGCGCCCCGCUUCGACUUCGUCAGCAGGCUGCACGACACGCAGCGACAGGACCCCGCGCUCAUCGCCCUCCGCGACGAAGUCUGCGCCAGUACACGCUCGUAGCCGUGGGCGCUGGUUGACGACCUGCUGCAGUACCACGGGCGGCUGUACAUACCCCCAGCAUCGCCCCCGGCGCAGGAGAUCAUCACAGCGACGCACGACGACGGACAUGAGGGCGUCCAGCGCACUUUACACCGCCUCCGACGCGACUUCCACAUCCCCAACAUGAAGCAGCUCGUCCAGGACUGGGUGCGUGCCUGCGUGGUGUGCCAACGCUACAAAUCCGAGCACUUGCACCCAGCCGGCCUCCUCCUGCCCCUGCCGGUGCCACAAGGCGUGUGGACAGACAUCGCCCUCGACUUCGUCGAGGCGCUGCCUCGCGUGCGCGGCAAGUCCGUCAUCUUGACGGUGGUGGACAGGUUCAGUAAAUACAACCACUUCAUCCCACUGUCGCACCCAUACUCCGCUGAGUCCGUUGCUCAGGCCUUCUUCACCGACAUUGUUCGCCUACAUGGAGUUCCGCAGUCCAUGGUGUCGGACCGCGACCCCGUAUUCACAUCGACGUUCUGGCGCGAACUCAUGCGGCUGAUGGGAACCAAGCUUCACAUGAUGAGAGCGUUCCAUGCGCAGUCGGAUGGGCAAUCCGAGGCCGCUAACAGGGUGAUCAUUAUGUACUUGCGUUGCUUGACAGGGGAUCGUCCUCGGCAAUGGCUGCGUUGGCUUUCAUGGGCGGAGUUCGUCUUCAACACAGCGUACCAGUCCUCUCUUCGGGACACCCUGUUCCGGGUCGUCUAUGGCCGGGACCUGCCUUCUAUUCGGUCCUACGAGCCGGGGGACACGCGUGUUGCUGCAGUCGCCAAAAGCAUGGAGGAAUGGGCUGAGUUCCUCGCCGACAUCCGCUACCGGCUCGAGCAGGCCCAGGCGGUCUAGAAGCUGCACUACGACAAGCAGCACCGCCACGUCGCGUAUCUGGUGGGCGACUGGGCGCUCCUCCGCCUGCGACAGCAUGCUGCCUCUUCCCUGCCUCAGGCCGGCACGGGCAAGCUGAAGCCCCGCUUCUAUGGGCGCGCGGCCGUUCGUCUCGAGCUCAUCAACGACGUGGCCGUUCGUCUCGAGCUUCCACCCCGCGCCCGCCUCCAUGAUGUGUUCCACAUUGGCCUCCUCAAGAAGUUCCAGGGCACUCCACCGGCGGCACCACCGACGCUACCUCCUCUUCAUCAUGGUGCUGUUGCUGCGGAGCCUGAGUGUGCUGUUCGGUUUCGCUUGGCGCGCGGCGUACGCCAGGUGCUGGUUCAGUGGAAAGGCAAAUCCCCGGCCUCGGCGACAUGGGAAUAUGUCGACGUUUUCCGCUCCAAAUACCCCGCUUUUCAGCUCGAGGACGAGCUGAGUCUCGAGGGGGGGGGAGAUGUCAUGUGGGGGAAAACAUACACUAGGAGACGCCGAGCCAGGGAUGUCGGGCGGGCAGUAGAGCGCGCGGGCGCGCGCGGCACCGCGGUCAGCGUGGCGAGCGCGGACUCCACGCACGCAGUCCAGGAGGCCACGACUUAGUUUUAUUUGGAUAGAUAUUAUUAGUUACCUGUUUAUUAGCUCCUAGAUUAGUGGAGAUUUGUUUCCUCUGUUAGUUGGCCGAUGGCCCUUUUUAUUCCCUGUAAACCGAGACUUUUGGUUAAGCAAGAUUAGAACCUUUUCUUCCUCCUCUCGUUCUCAAGCCCAGGCAGCCGUGAGGGGCAUAACCUCCGCUACUGGAAGACACGGCAGGAGACUACGAGCUUCGUAGUCGAGGGCCAGCUACCCGUGAUCAUUACGCCCUUGACAUAGUACUACUUAGUACUUAAAGCGUAUGGUUUGUUUGGUGAAGCUACAAGUUCAACUCAGGCCAACAGUUGUGUAAGCUUGUUAGAUACUGUUGUGCGAUAUCAUAGAGCUGCAUUGUCAAGUAAAAACAUAAAACCAAUAGUACAUGCACAGCAAUGCAGAACAAAAUGUCAGAAAGUGUAAGUGCAGUACAAAUUGCUUGCUAGCUCAAUCUCCAACAGAAAAUCAAUAUUCUGCGUAGUUCCUCUGUGUGGGCUAUUAGUGUAAUCUCCUGUGUCUAGGACUCUAGGGUUACGUCUUGUAUCUCCUAUGUACUCUAUAUAGUGUCACCCUUUGGGCCUCAAUAGCAUCAAUCAGUUCAGUCUCCCUUUAUUCGUAACAUGGUACCAAAGCUCUAGGUUUUCGGUUGAGCUACCACCCUUCCAUUCGCUGCGCUGCCCCUGGGAAGAUCGAUUUCUGUUUCUUGGGGCCAGCUCUCGUUGAUCUUUGAUUUUUUUUUGAAAGACAUGUAUCUUGUUGAAAGCUACCAUGCAUAACACAAGACAUAACCCCAGAGGCCCAGACACAGGACAUUACACAAAUACCCCUGACUAAUAUACCUUAACACUCCUAACAUUAAACUGCAAAUAUGCACAAUCAUGUAGUUCUCACGAACAAAUUGCAGCAGUAGAAGCAGUGGUGCAUUCGCUGACAUUGAUUUUCUUUUGAAAAUAGAGCUCUGAUUUCCUAAUAGAAAAAGAAAUACCAGCAACAGAGAUUUUUUUCUCAAAAAACGCAGGAGAUCUGCACCUCAUUAUAUUAAGGAGGGUGUAAGAACCCAGCAACAUUUACACCAAACACCUCACACCAACACAUACUCAACACCACGCACUCACAACCUAACACGCCUCAGGAAACAACUAGAGGCCGAUCCUAACAACACCAAACAGCCCCAGGGACUAAACACCAGGGAGAGGGGCAGACAGGAGGGAUAAUCCUCGAACCCCUGCCGAGAUCCACAACCGACGCUCCUCUCCAACAAAGAUUAAAGCCCCAGCAACACUUGGAGCCGACCCACCGAAAACACAGCGAUUACAAUGAUUCCAUAGAAUUCAGGCUCCAAGAAUGAUUAGGGAAUUAACACCUUGUCUCACCAGCUCAGAAGUAGCACUACUAGCUCUUUCCCACCAAUCCAGAAAGGAGUUUUCUGAUGGUUUUGGGGAUAAGGUGUGAAGACCGACCUGUCUUAGCAAAAGAAACCAAAAUUCCCUAGCAAAGACGCAACCGACCAGGAGAUGGUUGAUGGUUUCAUCAUCUUGAUCAAAAAAAAGUGGACAGCAUUCCGGGCAGGGCAGCCCACAGCAUGCAAGUCAAUCUGCUGUAAAGCACUUAUUGUGCGCACCAAGCCACAUGAAGAACCGACAUUUAGGUGGUGCCCAGGACUUCCAAAUUUUCUCCCAUGCCAGCACUAGCUACCAGCACAACCACUGCAUUAUGGNNNNNNNNNNNNNNNNNNNNNNNNNNNNNNNNNNNNNNNNNNNNNNNNNNNNNNNNNNNNNNNNNNNNNNNNNNNNNNNNNNNNNNNNNNNNNNNNNNNNUGAAAUGGGUUUGGAGAGUUUAUUUUUUCGGUUGGGACGGGCUUCGGGAGGGGAACCGGGUAUUGACUUUGGUGAAAAAAAAGAGGGGGGGAAAAAAAAAAAAAAAAAAAAAAACCGGGUAUUGACGUUGGGAGAGAAAGACAACAGCGGACGCUGGACCCACCCAGGCCGGCUGAUGUGCUCGCUUGUGUGCAAAGGCUCUCCGGCUAGGGCCUUGUUUUCCGAAAAUUAUUUGGUUUUCGGCAUUAUAGCAUUUUCGUUUUUAUUUAAUAAAUAUUGUCUAGGCCUUGUUUAGUUCUAAAAAGCGAAAAGUUUUCGAUACUGUAGCACUUUCGUUUGUUUGUGACAAAUAUUAUCCAAUUAUGGACUAACUAGAAUCAAAAGAUUCGUCUCGUGAUUUACAGCUAAACUGUGUAAUUAGUUUUUGUUUUCAUCUAUAUUUAAUGUUUCAUGCAUGUGCCACAAGAUCCGAUGUGACGGGGAAUCUUGAAAACUUUUUGGUUUUCAGGGUGAACUAAACAAGGCUCUAAUUAUAGAGUAAUUAGGUUUAAAAUAUUAAUCUCGCGAUUUACAGAUAAAUUAUAUAAUUAGUUUUUAUUUUCGUCUAUAUUUAAUGUUCCGUGCAUGUGUCGUAAGAUUCGAUAUCACGGAAAAUCUUAAAAAGUUUUUGGUUUUUGGGUGAUCUAAACAAUGCCUAGCUGUUCGUGCCCUUUUUCUCUAAUGCUGAACGAUGUUUCCGCCGUACGCCAUGAGCUUAGCUUUCCAACUGAGGCUCUUGUUUGGUUCUUCGAGGGAAAAAUUUUGUGAUACUAUAGCACUUUUGUUUGUUUGUGGUAAUUAUUGUCCAACGACUAACUAGGCUCAAAAGAUUUGUCUUGUCAAUUUUGAACAAACUGUAAAAUUAGUUUUUAUUAUCGUCUAUAUUUAAUACUCCAUGCAUGCGUCUAAAGAUUCGAUGUGACGAGGAAUUUUGAAAAAUUUUAGGUUUUUGGGUGGAAGUAAACAAGGCCUGAGGUCUUGGGACUUGUUUAGGUCUUGUUUAGUUUUCAAAAAUUUUUGGUUCAGGCCACUAUAGCACUUUCGUUUGUUUAUGGCAAAUAUUGUUCAAUAAUGGUCUAACUAAGCUCAAAAUAUUCAUCUCGCGAUUUACACUGUAUAAUUAGUUUUUGUUUUUAACUAUAUUUAAUGCUUCAUGCAUGUGCCGUAAGAUUCGAUGUGACGGAGAAUCUUGGAAAGUUUUGGUUUUUGGGUGAACUAAACAAGCCCUUACUUCCACCCAAAACCCAAAAUUUUUCAAGAUUUUCCGUCACAUCGUAUCUUUAGACGCAUAUAUGGAGUAUUAAAUAUAGAUAAAAAUAAAAACUAAUUGCGCAAUUUGGUCGGAAUUUACGAGACCAAUCUUUUGAGCCUAGUUAGUCCAUGAUUGGACAAUAAUUACCACAAACAAACGAAAGUGCUACAGUGUCACAAAAUUUUUUCCUUCGGAAACUAAACACACCUUUGUUUAGUUCGCACCAAAAUCUAAAAACUUUUCAAGAUUCUUAUCACAUUAAAUCUUACGACACAUGUAUAAAAUAUUAAAUAUAGAUAAAAAAAUAAUUAAUUACACAGUUUACUUGUAAUUUACGAGACGAAUCUUUUAAGCCUAGUUAGUCAGUGGUUGGAUAAUUGUCAAAUAAAAACUAAAGUGCUAUAGUAUCCAAAAAAAAUUUCAACUCCCCAACUAAAUAAGGCCUAAGCAGAAUAUAAUUGGCCUAAUUUUUAAAGGAAAAAACAAGUCUAAAAAACUUACAGACCCACAGAUCCUAAAACACACAAAAGCUAUGACGACUAACCCAUGACAACCCUCUUACCAGGGAUGAAAACGGUACGGAUAUUUUCCGACCAUAUUCGAGACCGAAUUCGUUUAGAGAGGUUCAGAUCUGUUUGUAUCCGAGUCCGAAUGUUUAACAUCCGAUACCGUAUCCGUAUCCGAAUACUUAAAUCGUAUAUUUAUGAUGUCGACAUCCAAUCACAUCUUAUCCGACAUGAUUAAUAUUAUUCGUAUUCGAAUCCGAAUCCGACCAGAAAUGUGAAAACAAAUAUAAUAUCAGUGAUAUCCGUCCGUAUGCGAUCCGUUUUCAUCCCUACCUCUUACACACAAGGCAAUAAAAAAACAACCACGUCCACCGCUUGUUCUCAUUGUCGAGUUUGUCACAAAUAGGAGAAGAGCAGCUCCGACUUCUCACAGUAUCCCCUCUAUAACAACUCUGCCUAACAUGAUGUGAACGAAUUCUCGAGAAGCGCAGAUGAUAAGGAAGCAUUACGUCAUGAUCAGGUCCAACAUAGUUGGUCCGUCGAGGCCACUAAGAUCCUCCAGUGACUUGAUGACAAGGUCAGACAUCGGGCCUUUGAAGAGGUUGACAUAGUGCAGCAAGACCACCUCUCUAGUUUCACCUUCUUCCUCUACAUGUAGCCUCUUCAUGAGAACUUGUCUUGAUUUGCUCUUCACAUCACCACACGACCAAGCAAUGGUUACUAGACGUGCGCUGCACCGGGAUUAAAACGAUCUAGAUUUUUUCACAAAGGAGAAAAUCCUCAUAUUCGAAUUAUAAUGUGAUAAUCUUAAAAUUGGACCAUUACAUUAUCAUAUAUCAAUUGUUAUUAUAGUCAUACAUCGUGGAAAACAAGAUUACAAGACAUUUACUUUACAACACUUGGUCAACAAAACCUAAUUACAUCGUUUUUCUAGCGAAAACAUACGCAAGUCUUUAUCAGAGUCCAUAUAGCGUGUCAGCGGUGAAGGCUCCUCCUUCACGGGCAAUCAUCAGAGUCGGCAUAGUUUGUCAGCGGAUGUAGCCAUCUUCGAACCAAACUUGUUCGUAGGAACAAGACUACCUAAUCCUUCUUAACUCCUUCAAGUCAUACUCAGAUUCACAGCCUGUUAUCUAAAGUAUCAGUAUGAUUUGUACUGGUCACUGGCUCCCACCCUAUGCUUUUGUGUUGCUUUAUGAUAGGUGGAAAUACAAGGGUAGAUCAAAAGGCCUAUAUAUAGCCAUAAGUUUUCCUAUGCAAGUCAACAAUAUUGUAUAGUAAUAAUUCAUCAAGUCUUAAUCCAUAUAUUCCGCACAUUCUCCCAUCUCAUCACACACAUCUCACCACACUUCCACUCUCUAAGCGGCAAGGACGACUCCUGCUCGUGCCUUGCCUCAACAACCAUCGCCAGAAACCAACACCAACCUAGGGGAAGAUAGAAAGGACUCCUCUCACUAGUCAAGCAAAGUAGAAACAUAGGAAAGGUCCGUAGUCAAAAAGAUGGUAUAUGUAUCGAUCGAUCAACCAGAAACUCCAUAGAGGUUUACACUAACCACAAGAUCACCAUCAUUGAUGAUCCGGCUCAUCUAGGCUGAUGUCAGGCUGCCUUCCAACUAGCAUGGUGUCACUCUACCACUCACGACUAGGCCAAUACCGGAGUACCAUCGGCAUGCUGACCCAGACGUAGUAUCGGGCCCCCAAAGGUCACUACACUAUCAUAGGAGGGUGUGGGUCCUCAUGCAUGUACCUUUCUACACUAUCUACCAACAACCUAGUAGUAGUGGCACCGUCCUAACUAGUCAUACAUCCGUCUCCUUCCUAUAAGAGCGAGUGGGGUGUAAGGCUUCCUACGAACCGGUUCUUAGGGUGACCAAACAUGACAUCUUCAUGAAGGGCCAAUUGAUGCCCCGCUUGAUGGGACAUCUGACACCCUAUGUGAAAUAGCACCUCCCAUCCCAGGGCUUCAUCCUACAAAGACACUCCACUCUGGUAUAUCUCCAUGUCACAUGUACCCGCCAAAGGUAUCUCUCGUGGAGAAUGCCUAGGUAGCAUUCUGUUGGGUACCAUAAAAAGGGAUACCCAAAUCAGAGAAAUAAAAAUCGCAAAAAGGAGAUAAGGCAAACACCCGAGAUCACCAGGGCUCGGGCGCGGGUUCCGUCUCGCCCGACUCCUUGGCCUCGAGCGCAAGCUCCGGCUCGCCCGACCCCUUGGCCUCGGAUGUAAGUUCCACCUCGCCCGACCCCUCUUGGGAUCGGGCACAAACAUCGCCUCGCCCGAGCCCCCAUCUCGGAGCCAGGCUUCCCACACACGAUGGUCGUACUCUCGACGUGACAUUCGCUGUGACCUCCAUGCUGCGGCAGGGCAUGGCAGCAACUAUUCCAACCACCCCAGCCACUGUGUAGCCUUACCUCUUUCACUGUGAAGUACCGCCUAACAGUAAAAGAGGUAGAGGAGAUUAACCUGCGUCACUGUGGUUGUCUUCUCCUACUAUUACAGGACGUGCCGCAGUAUCACCGACCCGACCCCCACGAUCUCAACAGGGCUCGGCAACCCUCCACAGGAGCAACCAUGCUGUCAGCCACGCCCCAAGGAUGAGAUGGGCAAGCUUCUACAGGGGCGGAACUGUGACUUUACCAUUUACCAGAGGUAGAUCACCAGCAAAAACAUGUAAAAACCUUGUGGCCCCUUGAGACUAUAAAAGGUGAGCUAGGGCAUACAUCUAGGACACGCUCACAACAUCGCAGCUCAGGGCAAGACCACGCACACAACACCAGAACUCAAAGCAAGAUCACACACACUCUCCAGAGUAGCAAGUAAUGCUCUGUCCACCACACAAAGUCAAGACCUGGGACUUAGCCCUCUCUCGCAACCUGCUUGUAUACCCCUACUACAAGCACUUUUGGGUGUAAGGCAAUACAGACCCCCAAUCUCACACUGGACGUAGGGCACCCUUAGCCCGAACCAGUAUAAUUCUCUAUGUUCCACUUGCAUCAUCAUCCGGGUUUAGGAAGACACACAGACUUACUACUCGUUAGUGUCUAGAUGAUGAGUCUAGACGCCGACAGUUGGCGCGCCAGGUAGGGGCCUUCUGCGUUGUACUUUCCUUUCCCCGUUGGGGAAAGCCCGGAUGGCAGACGGAUUUCACCCACUCCGCCUCGGCACCAUCAUGAUGUUUGGGAGUUUGGAGUUCAUGUCGCUUGGCUCCGGCUAUGACAUGGUCCUCCUUCCACCCCAUGACGACGCCGAGCCUCGUUCCGAUCCGAUCCCACCACAGCCAGUGCGUGGGAGGCGCUCGGGGCAUCAUGCAGGGGAGCCCGGUGUGGCCAUCAAAGGUCUAGAAUCUCUGACCCUAGUACCGAGGCAAGGGCCCAUUCGGCCCUCCCCCCGCAUAUCCCUCACCAUAUUGCCCAUUCUUCUGGCCCACGAGGCGCUAGGGGAAGGGCACGUGGAGCAUCAAGCUUAGCUCCACAAACCAUCAGGGGGACUUCGCGACCUCCUGUUCCGCCUCGAUCAGAGGGCAAAGCACGGCUCCCACCUCCUCCUCAGAAGAGGGACCAGGGGGCCUCGACUUCUUCUCACCCCCACCCACGGAUGGAGGGAAGACAGCUGCAUCUUCUGAGCUCCCUUUUGGGUUCAGGAGCACAGCCGCCACCUAUGCCUCUUCCGCGAGCACCUCAUUAAGUGCGUACGCGGACCUCCCAGGGCAUCACAUGAGGUCUACACCACCCGUUUCGUCAUACCCUGAGGAUCCCACCUUAGGAGAAGAUGAAUGGGCUGGCGCUGAUUUUUUCGGUUGUGGCGACUCGGAAACUUUCAUGUGCUUUCUUGAGGCUAGCAACUACUGCCUCGUCUACUCCGACUCCGAUGAUGGCGGCUAUAAUCCGUCGCGAGAGUGCUUCAACCUCGAGGUUGGAGGAGCGUCCCCUAACGCCUAAGGAGGCGUAGGGCCCUCUGAGUGGAGGAACGUAACUCCACCUCCCAACACGACUCCCGGAAGCCAUCCUGGAGCGCGCGGGGCCGCGUCAGCCCCCGCAGAAGUCCGACGCCCUGACCUCGAGCAGCUCAACGAGCUAGAGGCCAGGCUCGAAGAAGAGCGCAUACGCCUCCAGCAACUGCGCGAGACACUGGUGCAAGACCAGUCCGCCCGCGGGGACGGAGGCACGGCUAGACGCCGUGCCCGGGACGUCAACCGCCACAUCAUCGAGGACGAAGGGGGAGACAAUCCCCCAGUCUUCAGCACGGCCAGCCAAAACGUGAUGGCUGCUGCGCUCCUCCUCAGAGCGAUGCUCGAGCCAUCGACUCCCGAGGGGAGGAGGGUGCGCCAGGGGCUACGUGGCCUCCUAGAGCAGGCCGUGGUACAAAACGCAGAGAGCUCUGCGUCACAGUCCCACGAUGCGAGACGCCUAGGGGAUCAACCCCCUCCUAACAAGGCACCAACGGUAUAGGGCCCGGCGCCCCCUAACCCGCAAGGGGGCAACAGAGCCCCAUCUGUCCACGAACGUGUCGGGACCAACAUGGACGCCCGGGCUACCCUCGAGGCCAGACGACGUGACAGGGAUGAGGCCGAGUCUCGGCGCUACCGACCACACCGAGGCGAGAGGUACGAUCCCGACCACGAUCGCAGCGUGUCGCCAGAGCCUCCGGGCCCUCGCGUCUUCAGCGAGGCCAUCCGCGGGGCUAAGUUCCCGGCCCGAUUUCGACAGCCCGCUAACCUCACCAAGUACUCAGGGGAAACCAACCCUGAGCUUCGGCUAGCGGACUAUCGCCUAGCGUGCCAGCUAGGUGGAGCGGACGAUGACCUGCUCAUAAUCCGCAACUUGCCACUGCAUUUGGCCGAUUCAGCUAGGGCAUGGCUCGAGCAUCUUCCUGAGCGCAUGAUCCAUGGUUGGGCCGACCUAGUCAGGAACUUUGUCGGGAACUUCCACGGCACAUACAUGCGCCCUGGAAAUUCCUGGGACCUCAGGAGCAGGUAGAAGCCUGAUGAGUCCCUCCGAGACUUCAUUAGGCGAUUCUCCAAGCAGUGUACCGAGCUUCCCAACAUCACAGACUCCGAUGUCAUCGGGGCCUUCAUCGCUGGCACCACCUGCAAGGAGCUGGUACACGAGCUCGGACGCAAGACCCCCACGAGCACCAGCCAGCUGCUCGACAUUGCCACCAACUUUGCCUCGGGCGUAGAGACAGUUGGUGCAAUUUUCUCUGAUGGCGCUGCCCAGGGGAAACAAGGCCGAGACCACCAAGACCUCGGGCUCCCGCGACCCUAAGAAGAAGAAAAAGGGUCGCAAGGGGAAGCAGGGUCGGUCGGACGACAACCUGGUCGCCGCGGCGGAUCGCAAGAACCCCCUGCAGAAAUAGAUAAACAACAAAACUCGUGGAAUUUUAUCAAAUCAAACCCUAAUUCUAGGUGUUGCUUGUAUAUUAGUCCUUUUCCUUAUUUAUUUCAUGAAUUAAAUUGAUACUUAAGAACCGUCAACAAACACCCCCAUACUUAGGCUUUUACUCGUCCUUGAGAAAAGGAUGGUUUAGAAAAAAUAUUCGGGGUUAAAACAUUGUAAAGCAUUCUCUUCAUACCUGCAGGGUGUUGUAAAAAUCCGUUGUGUACAGUGGCGGAGCCAGGAUUUCACGGCUGGGUAUUCCACGUAUAAAAAAAAUUUAAUGUAUAUGUGCAAUAGUAAUAGGGGACAAAAUCAAUGCAAAAUUAAUCCUGAUGCACAACUUAAGUAGUACAUAUAAUUUUCUUAAAAUAUAUGCUAAGUGAAAUAUUUGUUUAUCCUGAUAACAAUGAAUCAGGCAAAGUGAGUCUAGUGUCGCCCUUGGUAAUAAUCAAAGUAUAUAUAAAUUCUUUAUCUAUGUUACAAGAACACAAUGCAACAUUUCUUAAAAAAAUCAGAACACAACAAAAAAAAGAAGAGAACGAAACCUUCAAUUCUUACUUUGAAGAAUAAAAAAUAAAUGUAGGAUCUUUGUGUUCAACUUGUUGUUGCUUCAAGCAGUAUAUGAGAAAGGCCGUAUAUGAGAAAGACGCUGAGGGGAGCCGUAUAUGAGAAAGCCUACAAAGACCACUAACCGGCGCCGCCGCUAGAGGAAUGUCGUCGAUGGGGUUUCUUUCUGAUGAGUUCAUAGGUUGUCGUUACUAGUUGUUCUACUAGGCUGAGAUCAACUUCAAGAGUUUAACUAUUCUUAUUGUUUAUGCUAUUUCAGAAUUUGUAUAGCAAAAAGUAGACUCCAACUAAUAUGCUAUCUAAUUUUGUAAAAUAGGAAGUUGGCUUUCUCUUGAUUUUCAGUGCUUAUUACAGACGCUAACUGUAAGACUUUGUAAAAUAACAAGAUUGUUGUAGAUCUCUUCUUUUUUUAGAAAUUUUCUAUUCGACAAAAUAGCUAAAUAAUAGAAUUUGACAAUUAAUUUUAGCCAGACUAUUGGAGUUGCUCUUAUGGGCUAUAUAUUUGCAACAUUCAACAAACUAACAUAUAUGCUGAUUAUAUAUAUAUAUGUAUAUAUACAUAUAUUUGUGUUUGCCAAAAAAUCAUGGGUAUUCCAUGGAAUACAGGGGCAUACCCUGGCGUCGCCCAUGGUUGUGUACCGUAGUCAGGGAAAUAUAUGGUCAAGAGUAGAGGUCCUUUCUUCUCAAUCCUGUCACUUGGAGUUUUUGUAUGUUUUUAAAAAAUAAAUUAGCAUACCUUUAUCCUCAUAGGUUCUCUCAGAUCACUCAUUUAUCUUUUAUAUAUCUCACUGAGGCUGUUUUAAUUUGCAGAAAUUCUUAAGCAUUCUUUCCUUGUAUUUAUUGCCUGAUCAAAACGGGAUCCGAGGAGAGGAAUGCCAUACUCUUAGAUCAAAGACUUUGGAAAUUAAAAACUUGUCAACUCUUACUCGCAUAUUGCUUAUUAGAGGGACCAUGGGCUAUCAUUUUCUCUCUUUUCUUCUUUUUUUUAGGUGGAUACCGAGGUACCCCUAAUUCUACUGCCGGACACUUGUCCAUUUUUUCUGCGAGGUUGUCGAGCACUUGCUCCUUUUAAAUUUCCUCGAAAUAUUCAUAUUUUUGCAUAGCCCAUGCCUCUAACGCAAUAAUACUUCGGAAGAGUGAAUCUUUCUGAAUAAAUAUCUUGAUCUUAGGAGUAUGAUAAAUCUCUCAACAAGGGUCUAACUCAUUUUGAACAAACUCAAUACAGAGCAGAUAGCUUUUAUAAUUAUCAUAAUUAAUAUUUUCAGGUUUAGCAGGCAUAUAAAACACUGAGGAUGGUAGCUAGAAUUUUUGAAGAUUUUGAAAUAAAUUAUCUAAGCAACAACGAUAUCAAGAAUAAGGUACUCAUACUCUACCAUCUCACAUUCCACACUGACUUAAGUGACACAGGGUUUUUAAAUGAUUUUUAAUAAUUGCAAGUUUUUAGGAAAUAUCACAGAGUGAGAUUAAUCAUGAUUAGAAAUAUUUUUAUCUUUUUAAUUUAUUAUGUUACAGAGAAUAUUCUGUACGAACCAAGAUAUAUGUGUAUGUGUAAAGUGUGCAGAGUAUGUACCUGGAUCGUGGAGUGGUGUAGUCGGCAUGUCGGGAGAUCUCCCCCAUACUUGUUUUCUGCUUACUUACAUAAAAAUAAAGUAGAGACACACAAGACAUAAUAAUAAUAAUCUUUAUUAAUCUUGAGGCAUUUAUUACAACUGACUAAUAAUGAACUGAAGCUAAUAAUAGAUCUAAGCCGAAUCUAAAGAUGAAUAACUAAGAUACACUGCCUCAAGAUCUAAUCUAGAUAACUUAGUGGCGCUCUAACUCCCUAAUCUUCUUAUUAGCACUAGCAAGAUCAUGCUUAAGACCUAGUAUAACGGUGUGUUGAUAUUUGGGAACGCAAUAAGGAAUUGAUCCGGAAGCGCACGGAUAUCGGUGAGCACUUCACCCGGGAAAUUAUCCAGAGUAUCGUAUUUAUUUUUUUACCACUAGGAGAAAGAGUGUAUCUGACUAACCGGUCUAUUACUACUAACCCUUUAGGCACAAAGAAUGUCUUUCGAUGUGAGUGAUAAAUAGAGAAGACUGCAACCGUAGUCUCCUUCUAACCUUGGUAAGGAUGAUCUACUGUUCUAAUGGGGAGGCUAACGGAAUCUAGACACCACAAAGGAUGUUCAACCCGCACCUAUAAACCCUAUCCUUCCUGCUAACGAGAUGUGGUCUGCAAAGGUAACUCAGAAUUGUCACGUUCCUCACUACUACCACGGUGCAGCUAGUCAGGGAAUAUCUAUGAGUACCCCAGCCUAAACACCACGUUUACGCCAGCAAUGAUUACUCUAAACUCUACGCGAAGAGAUUAAAGUAAACUCAUAAACCAUAAGAACAAUAAAACAAGAACUUACUAGAAUUUAGAAGUCGAAAUACUGAAGAAUCCUAGGAGCAAGCUUCGGGUUAGGAGAACUUGAUUCCGCAGGUACAAGCUUGGAGUAGACACCGACAGGCCGGGCUUCCUCCAAUCAACACCUCCACUCUAUCUCUGUCAAUCUAGUAGAAACUAGAAGAUCUAUUUCUACUUUACAUUGGUUGCUAAGCCUAAAAAGAAAUAUUAAUUAGAGAAGAGGUUUUCCUUCGAGGGCACCCCUCAAUCUCUAUGAUAAUUUCUUCAUGUCUUCUCCAGGGGCCACGGGGUCUCCUUAUAUAGUCCUCCUCCUUUAUGCGUUUUUGGGUCGGUAGGCGAGGUGGUACUAUGUUUUUCUUGAUCCAAUAGGUCGGUGGAAUAUCCCGUGCGAAGAGAGUCCUGAUUGGCAUCCAACAGGGGGCGGGCGCCCAGGUCACCCGGGCGGGCGCCCUGGGCCUGGCCCCUUUCGGCCUCUGCCUUCUUCCCGUGGCUUCUGGAGUCUUCUAGAUGGUAGAAAAUCGCGUGGUGCGUUGAUAUCUCUAUGUAAUCCCGACAUGUGGGCCUUUCUUCCUUAUUUCCUGAUAACCCCCUGCAGAAACAGAUAAACAACAAAACUCGUGGAAUUCUGUGAGAUCAAACCCUAAUUCUAGGUGCUGGUUGCAUAUUGGUCCUUUCUCUUGUUUAUUUGAUAAUUAAAAUUGAUACUUAAGAACCGUCAACAAAUACCCCCAUACUUAGGCUUUUACUCGUCCUCGAGAAAAGGAUGGUUAAGAACAAUAUCUGGGGUCAAACAUUUUAAAAGCAUUCUCUUUAUAAUUGCAGGGUGUUAAAAUUCCACCGUGUACCUAGUCAGGGAUAUUUAUGGUUAAGAGUAAAGAUCCUUUCUUCUCAAUCCUGUCACUUGGAGUUUUUGUAUAUUUUUGAAAGAAAGUUAGCAUACCUUUUUAUCCUCAUAGGUUCUUCUCAGAUCACUCAUUAUCUUUUAUAUCUCACUGAGGUUGUUUUAUUUUGCUAAAAUUCUCAAGCAUACUUACUUUGCAUUUAUUGCCUGAUCAAAACGGGAUCCGUGGAGGGAAAUGUCAUACUCUUAGAUCAAAGACUUUGGAAAUUAAAAUCUUUGUCAACUCUUGCUGGCAUAUUGCUUAUUAGAGGGACCAUGGGCUACCAUUUUCUCUUUUUCUUCUUCUCUCUCUUUUUUUUAAGUGGAUACCGAAGUACCCCUAAUUCUACUGCCGGACACUUGUCCAUUUUUCCGCGAGGUUGUCGAGCACUUGCUCCUUUUUAUUUCCUCGAAAUAUCUCUAUUUUUGCAUAGCCCAUGCCUCCAAUGCAAUAAUACUUCGGAAGAGUGAUUCUUUCUGGAUAAAUGUCUUGAUCUUAGGAGCAUGAUAAAUCUCUCAACAAGGGUCUAACUCAUUUUGAACAAACUCAAUACAGAGCAGAUAGCUUUUAUAAUUAAUAUUCAAUAUUUUCAGUUCUAUCAGGCAUAUAAAACACUGAGGAUGGUAGCUAGAAUUUUGAAUAUUUUGAAAUAAAUUCUCCAAGCAACAAUGAUAUCAAGAAUAAGAAACUCAUACUCUACCAUCACAUAUUCCACAAUGACUUAAGUAACACAGGGUUUUAAAAUGAUUUUAUAAUAAUUGCAAGGUUCAGGAAAUAUAACAGAGUGAGAUUAAUCAUGAUUAGUAAUAUUUUAAUCUUUUUAAUUUAUCAUGUCAGAAACAGUAAUCUGCAUAAUCAAGAUAGUUGUAUGUGUAAAGUAAAGUGUGCAGAGUGUGUACCUGAAUCGUGGAGUGGUGUGGUCGAGGUGUGUUUACCAUGUCGAGGGAUCUCCCCCAUACUUGUUUUCUGCUUUGUUGCACAAAAAUAAAGUAGAGACACACAAGACAUAAUAAUAAUAAUACUCUUUAUUAAUCUUGAGGCAUUUAUUACAAAAGACUAGUAGCAAACUGAUAAUAGCAAACUGAUGAUAAUAGCAAACCUAAACCGAAUUUAAAGAUAGAUGACUAAAAUGCAUUGCCUCAAGGUCUAAUCUAGAUAACUUAGCGGCGCUCUAAUUCCUUAAUCUUCUUGUUGGCACUAGCAAGAUCCUGCCUGAGGCCUAGUAUAAUAGUGUUGUGGUUAGAGAGCUGCCUAGUGAGGGAAUUAAUCGAGGACUGGAGGUCUAUGAUAACUCUGUCUAGUCUGCGAACGUCCUCAUCAAUAUCCAUUAUAGUCUUGUGACGCUUGGGAGGUGUCUCAAAAGCAUUGAGAGCGUGCUUAGGGGCUGCCUUUGGAGGGAUGAAACGGACUUUGGCUGCUCUAAUCCCUUCAAAGUAAGGUCUUUCCUCCUCCGUAGUGUAGCGUACACUGCUGAUCUCGCCGCUCCGGUUGGUCUUGACUCCAACGACCCUCUCAUUGGGUCUAGGUGGAAGGAUCCUCAUGCCGGUUGGCACCUUGAUAGUGGUCUUCGUCUUGGAUGAUGAUCCUUUGAGGAGUAGGGGUUGUGGCGGUGCGGUGAGAACUGGUUGAACAUGGUAAGAUUGGGCGGAGCUGCAUUGGCGUAAUGGCAUGGCUUCUAGCUGUCGCUCUGUGUUGGCCGGGACGAGAGCACAGGCAUCGGGGUCUUCUACAGGCUCCAUGUUGAGGUUGAAGGGGACGACUUCCCAAUCAUCGUGGUACUUCUUGGCCAUUGGAGCAGCAAGGAACUAAUCAAGCUCUAAUUGAAGGAGAGAAGGCUUGGUGGCUUGGUGUUUGAAAACUGAGGUCAGGGGUCUGUUUAUAUAGGGGUCAAAAAGUGCCUCUAUGGGUUGUUCGGGUUUCUCCCGUCGAUGUGCAUGCGAAACUUUCCAUCCGAGGGAUUAUUCAGAUUACCAUAAGUGCAUUUUCCAUAACAGAGAAAAUCAGGACCGAGGGGGAACAGGAGCUGGGCGCCCGCCCACCUGAGCUGGGCGCCCGCCCUCUCUCUGGCCCCUCUGUGGGCCCACUUUCUCGAGCGCGUUUCUAGAUACGAAAUUAUUUAGAAAAAUAUAUAUAUGACCCAAAAACAUAAGACUAAAAAGGUCGGGCUCUAAUUCUCCAUGGGGAGGUAAAAAUGGACUACGUCUAUUUCUUCAAAUUCUUCAUUAGGCUCUAAAAAUAAUUUAAGACGUUGACUAUUCACCUUGAAUAACGUACCUUCGCUAUUUUGAAGUGUGAUAGCUCCAUGGGAUGAUGAAUUAAUUACCUUGAAUGGUCCUUCCCAUUUGCUCCGGAGUUUUCCAUGCCCGAAAAGCUUCACCCUGGAAUUAAAAAGUAAUACCUUAUCUCCGGGUGUGAACUCCUUCUUCUUGAUUCUCUUGUCAUGCCACCUUUUGACUCUUUCUUUGUAGAUCUUUGAGUUGUGAUAUGCUUUCUCUCGCCAUUCUUCCAAUUCUGAAAGUUGCAUUCUUCUAUAAUCUCCAGCAACAUCUAGGUCCAUAUUCCAUCUCUUUACGGCCCAGUGUGCUUUGAACUCUAGUUCAACAGGUAGAUGGCAAGUCUUCCCGUACACCAAUUGGUAUGGAGACAUUCCGAUUGGGGUCUUGUAUGCUGUCCGAUAUGCCCAGAGUGCAUCGGGUAACUUGUCUUUCCACGCCGUUCCCAUUUCAUUUACUGUCUUCUGAAGAAUAUUCUUGAUUUGUUUGUUGGAAGUCUCUGCUUGGCCACUUGUCUGAGGAUGAUAAGGGGUAGCAACGUUGUGACGGAUUCCAUGUUUUGCUAGAUAUUGCUUGAAGCGUUUGUCAAUGAAGUGUGCUCCUCCAUCACUUAUCACUACUCUGGGGACUCCAAAUCUUAGAAAUAUAAUUUCUUCAAACAUCCUCUUUGAACUGACGUUGUCGGCAUGCUUGCAAGGUAACGCUUCUACCCACUUGGAAACAUAGUCAACCGCCAUCAAGAUAUACUCAUACUUCUUUGAUGGAGGAAAUGGACCCAUGUAGUCUAUUCCCCAGACAUCAAAGAGCUCAAUUUGAAGGUUGUUGGUGAGUGGCAUUGCAUCCCUUGUAUUUAUGUUUCCGUGUCUUUGACAUGGCCCACAUCUUCUGAUAUAUUGCUUCGUGUCUUCAUACAUUGUAGGCCAGUAGAAUCCACACUGCCAGAUCUUUGAAUGUGUACGGAAUGCUCCAUAGUGACCUCCAUAUAGUGAUGAAUGACAUCUGUCGAUGAUCUUCCAUCCUUCCUCAGUGGUCACACAUCUCCUGAGUAAGCCAUCAGAGCAUACUCGGAAGAGGUAUGGCUCAUCCCAUAUAUGUGAACGACUUUCUUGAAUAAGCUUCUUCUUAUUUGCUCCUGGUGGUACAUACCCUGAAACCAUAAAAUUAACAAUAUCUGCAUACCAGGGGUCAGACCUGUUAAUCCCGUUGAGCAUGUCGUCCCGGAGUGAAUCAUUGAUGGGGGUUUCCUGUGGACUCUUAAAAUACAUUCUAGACAAGUGAUCAGCAACAGAAUUUUCUACUCCCUUUUUAUCUUUUAUUUCUAAGUCAAAUUCUUGGAGUAAUAAGAUCCAUCUAAUCAGGCAAGGUUUAACAUCUUUUUUAAUGAGCAAAUAUUUUAGUGCAGCAUGAUCAGUGUAAACAAUUAUUUUAGCUCCAACUAAAUAAGAUCUAAAUUUAUCAAUGGCAAAGACAACAACCAGAAGCUCUUUUUUAGUGGUUGCAUAAUUAAGUUGAGCUCCUGUCAAAGUUUUACUGGCAUAAGCAAUUGCAUGAUGCUUCUUAUUUUUAGUUUGUCCCAAUACUGCCCCCACAGCAUAAUCACUAGCAUCACACAUAAUUUCAAAAGGCAACGACCAAUCAGGGGGUUGAAUGAUUGGUGCAGAGAUGAGUGCUUUCUUUAAUAAAUUGAAAGAUGUUAGACAUGCAUCAUCAAAUUCGAAAGGAGCAUCCUUGGCUAGCAACAGAGUAAGUGAUCUAGCAAUAAAUGAAAAAUCUUUUAUGAAUCCACGAUAAAAACUAGCAUGACCAAGAAAGCUUCGAAUUCCUUUUAUGUUCACAGGUGGAGGUAGUUGUUCAAUUACUUCAAUUUUAGCUUUGUCUACCUCAAUACCUCUUUCAGACACUAGGUGUCCCAGCACUAUUCCUUCCCUAACCAUAAAAUGACAUUUUUCCCAAUUAAGGAUUAAGUGCUUUUCUUCACAUCUUUGCAAAACCUUGUCCUUGUUUUCAAGACAACUAUCAAAAGUUUUUCCAUAAACAGAGAAAUCAUUCAUGAAAACUUCCAUAAUCUCUUCAAUCAUAUCAGAAAAUAUAGACAUCAUGCAUCUUUGAAAAGAAGCUGGUGCAUUACAUAACCCAAAAGACAUUCUACGGUAAGCAUAAGUUCCAUAUGGGCAUGUAAAAGUGGUUUUGCUUUGAUCAUCGGGAUGGAUCGGGAUCUGAUGAUACCCUGAAUAUCCAUCUAAGAAACAGAAGAACGAAUGGUUUGCUAACCGCUCUAGCAUCUCAUCUAUAAAAGGUAAAGGAAAGUGAUCUUUUCUCGUGGCUUUGUUUAGUUUUCUAUAGUCUAUGCACAUCCGCCAUCCUGUGACGGUGUGUUGCGGAAUUAGCUAGUUCUUUUCAUUCAUAAUAACAGUCAUGCCUCCCUUUUUAGGCACAACUUGCACUGGGCUUACCCACUCACUGUGCGGCACAGGAUAUAUAAUCCCUGCAUGCAGCAACUUUAUAACUUCCUUUUUAACUACCUCUCUCAUAGUGUUGUUAAGUCUACGUUGGGGUUCUCGAGAGGGUGAAACAGAAGGAUCUGUUGGAAUACGAUGGGUACAAAUCAUAGGACUGAUUCCUGUAGGAUCUUGGAGUGAGUAGCCGAAAACUGAGUGAUGUUUCUCAAGAAUGGUCAUUAAUCGCAGAGUUUGAUCCUGAGUGAGUUUAUCGCUAAUGAUUACAGGGAACUGUGGAUUAUUGUUUAGGAAAGCAUAGGUAAGACCGGGUGGUAAAGUUUUAAGCUCUAUGGGGGUCUAGGUGUUUCUGCAAACUCAUCUAAGGGUUCAAGCUCAGAAGGCUCGUCUUCUUCUUCUGUGAAGAAAGGAGUUUCGUCUUCUAAGUCUGAUUCAUCUCAAAGCUCUAGAGAUGCAGCCUUUACCUCCUCCAUAGGAUCAGGCAAAAGAUAUGAUUCGGCCUUAUUGUUUAAGGAGUGUGAAAUUGUUAUUGGGAUUUUAAAGGUUUUUCCAAAAGAAAUGUGUAGCUUUCCAGUAUGACCUUCAUAAAGGAGUCUUCUAAAAGGUUGUCCUAUCAACAGGUCGAAGUCCCAUGUAUCAAAGAUAUAGAAGUUCAAAUGAACCAUGGAGCCUUCUACCGUAAGAGGUAGGACAUUAAUAAUUCCAAGACUGGGGACUAAUCGUCCCGAAGAUUCCUUUAUGACCUUUGUUGUGGGGGUUAAGGCAAGAUUUUUAAAUAGUUUAAGUGCAAAAGAUUCAGACAUGAUGUUGAUCCCCACAACAGGAUUAUAUAGAGCAUUAAAUCGAUCAGAAUUAUAAGCACAACGUAUAGUUAUAGAGGGUGUGUCCAAACGGAUCACAUCAGAGGAAAGCUCUGAUUCCUCCAACCAUUCGCUACUCAUUACUGAGAUAAGCUCUCUCAAUUGAUAUUCACUUGGCAAAUAAAUGCUAAACUGGCCAUUUUGGGGUUUGUCAAUAGAAUGGUAGUUUGAAAUGUUUCCAAAAUCGGCAAAAAGAUCGGAUUCUAUAUCCAGCAUGAAGUCCGGUGGUGGAAUUUCUUCCUCUUGUGGCUCAGAACUUGGGAUAGCUAAAGUAGAUGAAGAAUUUGGCAGAGUGUCUACUUCGGCUUCGUAGGUUUCAUUAUCCAUCUCAGCUUCUAGGAUUCUAUCUAGGAUCACUCUAGCUUCAUCAGCAGGGAUGCGAAAGAAAGAACCUCUAGACAUUGUGUGUAGCAUUUGUUUGUGAUUUUUAUGAAGACCUCAAAAAAGUGGAAUAAAAGAACAGGGUCUUCAAGAUUAAGGUUUGGACCAGAUUCUAAAAGAUCAGAAAAACGUUUCCAGGAUUUUCCCAAAGUUUCAUUAUCUUUUUGUUUAAAAGAUAGGACUUCGAGUCUAAGGUCGGCUAUACGGUCAAGGGAAUAGAAAUCUAGACAAAAGUUAGCUCGUAAAACUCCCCAUUCACCUUGUUGUUGACUUACCUUCUGACUGUACCAUUGUCUAGCUUCUCCCCUUAAAGAAAAAGGAAAAAGCUUCCAACGUAAAGUUUUAUCACAAAUGCCUUCAAUACGAAGACAAUCACAUGUUUGCUCAAAAUCUCUAAUAUGAAGGUAAGGGUUUUCGUCUUCCUUUUCCAAAAAAGAUAGGUUUUGAAUCAUGGCAAUCAACCUAGAACUUAACUUAUACUGGGAUGUUUGGAUAGGCUGUGAUGAUUCCCAUGGUAAAAGGUCAGUUACUGAAGGGAUUGCAGACUCAUGGAUCGAUUUAGAAUUUUGGUUUUCCAUAAGGUAAGGGUAAAGAAAAUAAAUACAGAAUAUAAAAGAUAAGAAAAGAUAAAAGUAUAGAUACAAGCUUGUAGUAAGACUCAGGUUAUCUCAGCAACCGUCUUUCUCCCCGGCAACGGCGCCAGAAAUGCUUGUUGAUAUUUGGGAACGCAAUAAGGAAUUGAUCCGCAAGCGCACGGAUAUCGGUGAGCACUUCACCUGGGAAAUUAUCCAGAGUAUCGUAUUUAUUUUUUUACCACUAGGAGAAAGAGUGCAUCUGACUAACCGGUCUAUUACUACUAACCCUUUAGGCACAAAGAAUGUCUUUCAAUGUGAGUGAUAAAUAGAGAAGACUGCAACCGUAGUCUCCUUCUAACCUUGGUAAGGAUGAUCUACUGUUCUAAUGGGGAGGCUAACGAAAUCUAGACACCACAAAGGAUGUUCAACCCGCACCUAUAAACCCUAUCCUUCCUGCUAACGAGAUGUGGUCUACAAAGGUAACUCGAAAUUGUCACGUUCCUCACUACUACCACGGUCCAGCUAGUCAGGGAAUAUCUAUGAGUACCCCAGCCUAAACACCACGUUUACGCCAGCAAUGAUUACUCUAAACUCUACGCGAAGAGAUUAAAGUAAACUCAUAAACCAUAAGAACAAUAAAACAAGAACUUACUAGAAUUUAGAAGUCGAAAUACUGAAGAAUCCUAGGAGCAAGCUUCGGGUUAGGAGAACUUGAUCCCGCAGGUACAAGCUUGGAGUAGACACCGACAGGCCGGGCUUCCUCCAAUCAACACCUCCACUCUAUCUCUCUCAAUCUAGUAGAAACUAGAAGAUCUAUUUCUACUUUACAUUGGUUGCUAAGCCUAAAAAGAAAUAUUAAUUAGAGAAGAGGUUUUCCUUCGAGGGCACCCCUCAAUCUCUAUGAUAAUUUCUUCAUGUCUUCUCCAGGGGCCAGGGGGUCUUCUUAUAUAGUCCUCCUCCUUUAUGCGUUUUUGGGUCGGUAGGCGAGGUGGUACUAUGUUUUUCUUGAUCCAAUAGGUCGGUGGAAUAUCUCGUGCGAAGAGAGUCCUGAUUGGCAUCCAACAGGGGGCGGGCGCCCAGGUCACCAGGGCGGGCGCCCUGGGCCUGGCCCCUUUCGGCCUCUGCCUUCUUCCCGUGGCUUCUGGAGUCUUCUAGAUGGUAGAAAAUCGCGCGGUGCGUUGAUAUCUCUAUGUAAUCCUGACAGGUGGGCCUUUCUUCUUAUUUCCUGACACUACAAGAAAUUUGUCUUUCUAUGACAAAAUGCGAAAUGACGAGGUCUGUUAUCGUCAUAUAAUAUCACAUAAUAUGACGGUACUUUUAGGGUCUUCAUAAUUUCGUGAGGCCAAGAAAAUUUUAUGACGACACAACUUUAUUUGUCACAUAAAGGUAUGAAAAUUCGUCACAUAUUGCCUGGCGCCAGGAGCCGGUAGACGAUAUUGCUUUUAUGACGCUUAGAGGUAUGUUUAUGUGAUGAUUUGGCGGCGUCACUUUAUGUUUAUUAAAAAAAUGACUGGCCCGAAUGUAAAUAUAUCUCUGUGGUGGACCGUACCCCAUUCAAGUUGACCGCAAUCACUUUCCCCUUCUCCCCGAGCGGCGAGCGCGGAGGGCGGCGAGCGGCGCGCGCGCGGGCAGCGGGAUCUGGACGGCCGGCGUUGGGCAGGAUCCAGGUGGAGCUGCCUCUCCCUCUCCCUAGGUCAGGGCGUGGUUGUCUGGGUGGAGGCCACACGAGCUCCGCUGCCCGCAGGCCGCCUGAAGGAGCGCGAAUCUCCGGUGACCGCCACAACGAAAUCAGGUUGUUACGCGGGCGUGCUCCUACUCCCCACUUCCUCAUGCCCCUCCUCAUCCCCUUUAAUUUGGUCGACAGCGGCACCCUCAUGCCCUCCCUGUUCAUAUUUCAAUUUUUUUGAACCGUGUACAUAUUUCUAUUGGCAUCAUAGUUGCUAAUCAUUCCCAUGUGCAUCAAUCAGGGAUCAUGUCGCAGGCCUCAUCAUCAACUGUGCGUAGUAGGCGCCAAAGCGCAACUAGAGAUGUUGUAGAACCCAGGCCCCUUGCUAUUGUUGCUGCAGGCAGUUUGCCGAUUGGCGUCGAUCUGGAGGCGCCGAUCGAUGAAGUGACUAGAUUGCCGUUGAUAGUGUGCCCAACUUGCAAGGAUGUGAGAGUGUUUGCUGCUAAUACCAAGAACGGGAGUAAUGUUGGAAAGAGAUUUUUCAAGUGUCCUAGGAAGAACUAUAAUAAUGUAAGUAAAGUGGUUGUUUAAUUUGCAUUGCCCAAAUUUUAUUCUUGUUUGCAGUGGUUGACUUUGCUCAAAUUUGGAUGUAGGGGACAUGUGAUAGGUUUUGGUUCGAUGAAGAAUAUGUGGUGUACCUUCACGAUAAUGGACAUCUACCAUCAGCAUCCUCCACCAUUGAAGCAGGUUUGACAACCGAGGUUCCUGAGCUUGUGAAAAAAAUUGAUAGCUUGGAGCAAAAUCUGAACAAGGUGCAAGAAAUGGUUAGCAAGAACAGAGAAGGCAUGGGAAGCUUCAUUUGUCUCAUGUGUGGAUGUGUGAAUGUAACAAUAGUCCUGCUGGUUGCCAUCUUCUUAGUUGUAGCUUUUGUGCUGAAGUAGGCAAUGUUGAUGAUGUAUUGGCUUUUGUGUUGAAGUUGUACUAUUGAAGAACAAGUUGUAAUGAACAUUGUGGUGGAUGUAUGUGUUCUUCCUAGGAAGUAAGGGCAUUCAAGCUCUUGUGGAAUCUGUGUGUUUGUGAUGUAUGUUGGAAAUGAAGAUAUCAAUUGCUUAUGAUGAUUUAGUUGUGUGGGAUGAAAUUUUUGCAGACUGUGCAUCUUUAUGCCAGCCUAUACAUUUUGUGACAAAAUAUAUACUUUUUAUGACAGAAUCUGGGCAUUCCAUGACAAUUUCAUUGUCAUGAAAGAUUGCCAUUCAAUGAAAGAAUCUGGGUAACUUGCAUGAUAUAUCUAGUAUCCACUGAAAACAAAUUCAUUGCAUAUAAGGUCAUACAAAUUCAGAAUUUUGAUACAAUUGUAGUAGCAUAAUUGAAAUACACAACAACAAAAUUUCUAAAGUCUCUAGAAAUGCAAAGGUUAUUCAUCAUCAUUGUCUUCUCCUGAAGUAUUGCCUUCUUCUGGACUAUGGUACUCAAGGUAGGUGUCAUCUUCAUCUUCUUCAUCACCUUGUGUGUUAUCACCAUUAGUUGUAUGGUCUUGUCAGCGGAUGUUGUCCACGAGGUGUCUACUAAUAGGGCUGCCUGGUUCAUUAUCCAAGUGCAACAAAUCCAAGUCUGGAUGAAUGUCUCCCACUGCACCAUCUCUCAAUCCACUAUGCUCCCCUUGGUAUGCCUCUUGACAUCUCAUCUGAACUUGUUCAUGGAUGGGUUGGUUUGUGCCGGUCUCUAGAACAUCAAAUAAAUGUCGGUGGCCAAAUUCUUGUACCACUUUCCAACAUGGACCUAACUUUGUAUCCUCCAAGAAAAAUACUUGUGUAGCAUCUGUGGCUAUAAUGAAAGGAUCAUUUUUAUACCAACGGCCUUGGGUGUUUAUGCUCUUGAAAUAACCAUCAUCUUUCAUUUGGUUUGUCCUUCCCUCUAAAUUGUACCAUUCACACCGUAAUAAGAUAACAGUUCUACGCCCUUUGCUGUUGUUACUGUAACUCAACUCAAUAAUAUCCGUGAUUGUCCCAUAGAAGUCAAUUGUGUGAUCACCAUGAGUACCUGCACUUUUGAUGGUGGAGUUCUGUGUCUUCCUGUGUUCGUCACGAGCCAGAGUGUGCAACCGUACCCCAUUGAUUAUACACGCUGUGUAUGAACGCACUCUCGGAUCCGGCCGGCAUGCUAGUGAGUAUAAGUCUUCAUCAACAUGUGUGGUGCCUUCAUAUUUCAAUCUAGUAAUCUGCAUGAUGAAAACAUAUUGAGUUAGUGAGUUUCAGAAUGUAGUGUAUCAUAAGUUAUUUAGUCAUGUUGUAGAAGUUGCACACACAUGAUUCUCAAACCAUGCAGCAAAUUGUGUUGACAUCAUUUUUUCAACAUCAUUGACCUCUUCUUGUUGUAAUUGUGCCCUGUACAUGCUGAAAAAGGAUGAAAAUAAUUAGUUUUUUGUGACACAAGUAUUGACUAAAGUUGGCUGCAAUGGAAUUGGAGCAAUUACUUACUCUUUGUAUUCAUCAACCUCUUCACAGUUAUUUAGAACAAACCAGACCAUGGAGUCAUAGUCUUUUUCUGCAUAUUGAAAUUUUGAAGCACCCACCAGGUGAACACGAUGACCAAAAAUAGAAAACCAUUGGGUGAGGUGUCUCCAUCCAAGUUCCUGUCAGGCCUAGUGAACCUAUUAAUGAUGUCACUAAAGUAUGUUGAGCAUUGGGUCAUACACUCAUAGGCAGUGUAUGCCUCUGCAAUAGAUCCUUCAGGUCUUGCUUUAUUGCGGACGAAACGCUUAAAGGUGCCCAAUCUUCUCUCAAUGGGAUACAUCCAUCCAUACUGCACCGGUCCCCUAAGAAGUGCCUCAUCAGGUAAGUGUACUGCUAGAUGAACCAUGACAUCAAAGAAUGCAGGUGGAUAAAUUUUCUCUAGCUUGCAAAGGAUAAGCACAAUAUCUUCCUUCAGCUUUUUUAGUGCAUCAACCUUUACAGUUUUUGAGCAAAGUUGUCUAAAAAAACUACCCAAUUCAGUAAUUACUUCAUAUAUGUCUUUUCUCACCAAACCACGAAGGCCAACUGGUAAAAUACGUUGCAAUAGUAUAUGACAGUCUUGUGUUUUCAGCCCAUGUAUUGAACCUGCUCCCUCCAUAUUGACACACCUUGAUAUAUUGGAGGCAUAGCCAUCUGGAAACUUAACAUUGCUCACAAAUUGCAAGAACUUCUUCUUAGCUUCUGGUGUUAGAACGUAACAAGCUUUUGGCUUGGAGGAUGUAUUACCACUGUCAUCUAGCAAAUGAAGCUCUUUUCUUAUACCUCUUUCUUCCAAAUCUACUCGAGCAGAAACUGUGUCUUUUGUCUUGUUUGGAAUAUUGAGAAGCGUAAACCAAAAAUAUUUUCACAUAUGUUUUUCUCUAUGUGCAUAACAUCAAGGUUGUAUUGUAGCUUCAAUUUUGACCAGUAUGGCAAAUCAUACAAGCUAACCUUUAGAUGCCAUACUGGUUCUCCAUCACGACGUCGUUUUCUUGAUCUCGGCAUAUCUGGAUUUUUGCCAGGAACAUAGCAAACUUCAUCCAACCUUGCCAUAACCUCAUCUACACUAAAUUUCCUUGGUGGUUCUCUAUUUUCAUGGUGGCCAUUGAAAGAUCUAUUUUUCCUCCAAACAUGGUCGCUUGGGAGGAACCGUCUAUGUCCUAUGAAUCCAAUUUUGUUUUUCAGACAUUCGGAGCAUGGAUUCUCAUCACAGUGCACACAUGCAAAGUAACCCUUAGUGGUUCUACCUGACAUGGUGCCUAAUGCAGGAUAGUCAUUGAUUCCCCACAGAAUCGCUGCACGCAGGCUGAACUCUUUGCCUUCAUAUGCAUCAAAAGUAGAGACACCAUUCCACAGAGUCAUCAUGUCUUCUAUCAAAGGUUGCAUGAAUGUUGAUAUUUGGGAACGCAAUAAGGAAAUGAUCCGCAAGCGCACGGAUAUCGGUGAGCAUUUCACCCGGGAAAUUAUCCAGAGUAUCGUAUUUAUUUUUUUUACCACUGGGAGAAAGGGUGCAUCUGACUAACCAAAUCUAUUGCUACUAUCCCUUUAGGCACAAAGAAUGUCUUUCGAUGUGAGUGAUAAAUAGAGAAGACUGCAACCGUAGUCUCCUUCUAACCUUGGUAAGGAUGAUCUACUGUUCUAAUGGGGAGGCUAACGGAAUCUAGACACCACAAAGGAUGUUCAACCCGCACCUAUAAACCCUAUCCUUCCUGCUAACGAGAUGUGAUCUACAAAGGUAGCUCGGAAAUGUCACGUUCCUCACUACUACCACGGUCCAGCUAGUCAGGGAAUAUCUAUGAGUACCCCAGCCUAAACACCACGUUUACGCCAGCAAUGAUUACUCUAAACUCUACGCGAAGAGAUUAAAGUAAACUCAUAAACCAUAAGAACAAUAAAACAAGAACUUACUAGAAUUUAGAAGUUGAAAUACUGAAGAAUCCUAGGAGCAAGCUUCGGGUUAGGAGAACUUGAUCCCGCAGGUACAAGCUUGGAGUAGACACCGACAGGCCGGGCUUCCUCCACUCUACACCUCCACUCUAUCUCUCUCAAUCUAGUAGAAACUAGAAGAUCUAUUUUUACCUUACAUUGAUUGCUAAGCCUAAAAAGAAAUAUUAAUUAGAGAAGAGGUUUUCCUUCGAGGGCACCCCUCAGUCUCUAUGAUAAUUUCUUCAUGUCUUCCAGGGGCCAGGGGGGCCUCGCUUAUAUAGUCCUCCCCUUCUAUGCGUUUUUGGGUCGAUAGCCGAGGUGGUACUAUGUUUUUCUUGAUCCAAUAGGUCGGUGGAAUAUCCCGAGCGAAGGAGUCCUGAAUUGGCUCCAGCAGGGGGGCGGGCGCCGAGGCUUCCAGGGCGGGCGCCCUGGGCCUGGCCCAGCUUCGCCUCCGCUUCGGUCUCGUGGCUUCUGGAGUCUUCUAGAUGAUGUAAAAUUGCGCGGUGCGUUGAUAUCUCUAUGUAAUCCCGACAUGUGGGCCUUUCUUCCUUAUUUCCUGAUAACCCCCUGCAGAAAUAGAUAAACAACAAAACUCGUGGAAUUCUGUCAGAUCAAACCCUAAUUCUAGGUGAUGGUUGCAUAUUGGUCUUUUCUCAUGUUUAUUUGAUAAUUAAAAUUGAUACUUAAGAACCGUCAACAAAUACCCCCAUACUUAGGCUUUUACUCGUCCUCGAGAAAAGGAUGGUUAAGAACAAUAUCUGGGAUAAACAUUUAAAACAUUCUCUAUAUAAUUUGCAGGGUGUUAAAAUUCCACUGUGUACUGUAGUCAGGGAAGUAUAUGGUUAAGAGUAAAGAUCCUUUCUUCUCAAUCCUGUCACUUGGAGUUUUUGUAUAUUUUUUGAAAGAAAGUUAGCAUACCUUUUUGAUCCUCAUAGGUUCUCUCAGAUCACUCAUUAUCUUUUAUAUAUCUCACUGAGGCUGUUUUAUUUUGCAAAAAUUCUCAAGCAUACUUACUUUGCAUUUAUUGCCUGAUCAAAACGGGAUCCGAGGAGGGGAAUGUCAUACUCUUAGAUCAAAGACUUUGGAAAUUAAAAUCUUUGUCAACUCUUGCUGGCAUAUUGCUUAUUAGAGGGACCAUGGGCUAUCAUUUUUUUUCAAUUUUUUUUUAAGUGGAUACCGAGGUACCUCUAAUUCUACUGCCGGACACUUGUCCAUUUUUUUCUGCGAGGUUGUCGAGCACUUGCUCCUUUUUAUUUCCUCGAAAUAUCUCUAUUUUUGCAUAGCCCAUGCCUCUAAUGCAAUAAUACUUCGGAAGAGUGAAUCUUACUGAAAUAGUGUCUUGAUCUUGGGAGCAUGAUAAAUCUCUCAACAAGGGUCUAACUCAUUUUGAACAAACUCAAUACAGAGCAGAUAGCUUUUAUAAUCAUAAUUAAUAUUUCAGUUUUAUCAGGCAUAUAAAACACUGAGGAUGGUAGCUAGAAAUUUGAAUAUUUUGAAAUAAAUUCUCCACGCAACAAUGAUAUCAAGAAUAAGAAACUCAUACUCUACCAUCACAUAUUCCAUCUUGACUUAAGUAACACAGGAUUUUUUUAAAAAUGAUUUUAUACUAAUUGCAAGUUUUCAGGAAAUAUCACAGAUUGAGAUUAAUCAUGAUUAGAAAUAUUUUACUCUUUUUAUUUUAUCAUGUCGGAAACAGUAAUCUGCAUAAUCCAAAAUAAAUGUAUGUAUGAAGUAAAGUGUGCAGAGUGUGUACCUGAAUCAUGGAGUGGUGUAGUCGGAGUGUGUUUAGCAUGUCGAGGGAUCUCCCCCAUACUUAUUUUCUGCUUUCUUGCACAAAAAUAAAGUAGAGACACACAAGACAUAAUAAUACUCUUUAUUGAUCUUGAGGCAUUUAUUACACAAGGAAAAUUAUUUUUGGCUAUUCUCUCCCGGAUUAGGAGUAGAAUAUUUUUGGGUGAUUCUGAAGAUGGAAAUGUAUGGAUAUAUGUGGAUGGUACUUCCGGAGUAGAAGUAGCAUGUAUGAGUGAACGUGCAAGUGAAUCUUGAUUUAACCACAUGACAAGCUCCUAAGGGUCUACACAGCUUGACCACACUCAAUGCUCAUAAGCAGUAAAAAGUAAAUGUGUGGCUCGAAGUCUAGCAAGCAUGUAUAUAUGGCUUUGGUAGGAAUUUAAACUCUCAUCAUACAGGAACUCAUCAUGCAACAUUUUAAAGAUUUUCAAAGAUAAAAUUCUCCAGAAUUCUAGCAUCUCUAGAAAUAGAUAAACAGCAGCUCAACCUUCCCAUAUCAUAUCCGUUAACAACUUAGAUUUCAGAUCAAGUUUUCAUCCCAUAAGUUUUGAUCUAGAGCAAGCUUUAAAUUAUAACAGUUAUGUCUAAACUUGAGAGGAAACUUCAAAUAUGCAAAUUAGGCAGAGCAACUAUUCAUCAUUUCCAUGCUUGAGUUUUAUUUAGAUACAGAUUAGCAUAGCCACUUUAUUUAUUUAUUAAACACACUAAGCAAAAGACAUAUAUAUAUAUAAGCAUAAAAUCUUUAUUUGGUUUUUCAUAGUUAUGUAUAUUUAUAUUCUAAAAUAAUAUAAGUAUAAAGAUAGAUAGAAAUACUUAUCGAGAUAAAUGGGGGUGCUCUUCCCCAAGCUGAAUUUUGACGUAAUUUCUCUUGAUGUAGCUAGCAGGUGGCAGAGGUGUAUUUGAAAGUCAGCAGCAUUGUGACAGCGAUUAGAAUAUCCUCCGUCUGCCAGUCUUCUUGAUUCUUAGAUUCUGUGGAGCUCAAAUAGACAACAAAGCUUGUCGAACUGAUUAAGUGUUAGCAUAAAUAUCUAGCCUUUAUCAUGUUGAGACUCCUUAAUAAUUAUUACUCCCUGUUUUUAUAUUUUUAUUUUAUAAAGCAGAAAAAUAUUUUUAUUUUAUUUUUAUGCCACCACAGUGAAUGUACUUAUGGGUUUUAUGCCACUCGUAUCCUCACAUGGGGCUUACUGUUUUUCACAUUUUUACUUUCUGUUUAGAACUUAAUUAACUAAGUGAACUACUUGAAAUAAUUGAAAGGGAAAGGAUAACUACCAAGUUUACCUCUUGGCAAGGCGUUCGGUGUUUUUAAGUCCUCCGAACGGGACUCUCCUCCUUCUCAAUUAUCCUGAGGUUCGUUGGGUGGCGUAGUCGGUACUUCCGGCAGCGCCUCCUCUUCAUGUAUAGUUAUCUUCAUUUUCCACACCUGACUUGGUGCUUCGGUCUCCUCUGGAUAAUUCUGUUUAAACUCAACGUCUUCUGACCUUACAACUUUUCCUUCGUAGUCUGCCCAUCCGUCCUUGAUGAUUUGCCUCCUCUGGUUGCGGUUGCGUCGUCUUCUUCUUGUCCUGACCUGCUUAGAAUCUUCAACUAUAUAGUUAGAAUCAUUAAAGUAAUGGCGUACCUUCUCAGAGAGGAAAUACACGUGGACUUCUCCGGUUCCAAUGAUAACUUGGAUAGUGUUGAGGAAUGGUCUUCCAAGGAUGAUGGGUGGAUCGUACUCGUCUUCUCCCAUAUCAAUGUUCUGAAAAUCAUCUGGAGCUAAAUAUAUAUUGGUUGUAGGGGCAUGGUUCCACAUUUGCUUGUUCCUGUUCCUCGUGUUGUUCCUCUUCCUUGGUUCAUGUCGGGAUUGCUCUGAAGUUUAUGUAGUCUUGUUCUUGAAGGAAAGUCUCCUUCUUCCCCUUGAUGUAGAGACUGAUCUUGGCAGCAUUAGCGUAGAUGACAGCUCUGGUGUUUAGGAAUGGUCUCCCUAAGAUGAUGGGUGCCCUCUUCUCAGUACCAGUCUCUACCACCACGAAGUUUGCUGGAGUGUACAAGGUACCAACUUGGACACAAAGGUUCUUUAAUAUUUCCUUUGGGAAACUAAGUGUCUGAUCUCCAUUGUGUUUGUGCUCGUAGAUCCCGGUUCUUCACUUAAUGGAAUCUGGGAGUUGUAAAACGCCUUCAUGAUUCUCAAAAUGUGUCCUGCUCAUAGAGACAAGGCAGAGAUCAAGUGCAUGGGCUCUGUUGGUGGAAAACACCAACAGAACCAAAAGUGUAUUUGUUCUUUUCUAACCUUAAGCAUAGUGAGCAAGACAAAGUUGAUGGAUCAUGAGUGUAGCAUUUGUCAGAUCAGAUGGCUCAACCUAAUGGAAAGAUAAUCAUCUAUAUUUAUGUUUUGUUUUUAUCUUCCAAAGAUUGAAUGUGCAAUACUUUAGCUUAUAUGUUUAGGAGCGUGGGAUUACGAAGGUAGUACUAAGAACAAAGAUUAAGGGACUAAACAUGUUGAAUCAGUUAGGUUGGUUAAUUUAGAGUUAUAAAUCAUACAUGUUUGUCUCUUUAUUUAUGUGAACGCCAGAACCAAGGAGAAACUUAUAAAAGGAUAGUCAAGUACCUUAAGAUGUUACCUUUGAAGAGUGAUGGUACAGUAUCACCUUGAAGCUUUCCUUUCUAGCGGUUGUGCAUCGUGUUUGUGGCUCCCUCCAUGGAUCAUCUCUUAUGAGCUACGUCUUUCUUGUGCAAAUUGUUAAACUUCAUGUGUCACUUUCUUUAUCUCCAAUGUGAGUUUAUCUCAGGACUUCCCAGGUUGAUAUUGAAAGUUUUCCUGCAGGGGUUAGUCCCACAAAAUAUACCAAUGUCUACACAAGCAAUUUUUAGUUCGAUAACCGAACUAGACUCCAUGUCUAAUCAGAUUAAGGAAGGCUGUUUAACCUAAGCACCAUGCUUAAUUUAAAAGCCAAUAGAAGUAUGUGCAGUACUUCCAAACUAACAGUUACUAGGAUAAACAAAGGUAGCGUGAUGGCAUUUAUAGAGAUCGACUUAAGUGGAGAUGAAGUAGUGUGAUUAGUAUUUAACAAAUUGAGCAUGUCUCAAAGGUAAGGACAACCAACAUAGCAACAUGGCAAAGGAUGUUUUAUGUGAAGUACUCCCCUAAGCUUGAAUUUUGCAAAAUUCAAGAUUGGAUGAAUUUAAUUCAAUGUUGCAUGUUGAUUGGUUGGGCAUACCUUGCGCUUGUCAUUCAUCCGGUCUUCUUGCUCCAAUCCUAGAAAGGUUAGUGACAAGAAUACCCGAAGGAAUAUUUCUACAAUUAUCUUAUAUGCUCAAUACACAAGGCAAUGUUGCAAGUAAUUAGAAGUUCAUGUUACAAUCUGAUAAGUGCUUGUUUUAGGACACUAAGCUUGUCCUUGGGAAACCAUCAAUUAACUCGACGAGAUCUGCAAUAUUUAUUAUAAACAUAUGCAUCGACAACCGCUCUUUUAAAGUUUUUAUAAAUAGAAAAGAAGAGAGGGUUGGAGAUCUCAAAUGUGGUGAUAGCACAUGAAUUUUUAAUGCCCUCUAGCCAUUGAUGUUGCUCUUCUCGAUCCUCCUUCUUAUGCAUGGGAUGUCUAGAGAGAUUCAUAGGAUUAUCGGAAGGUUCAAGAGAAAGAGCAUAGUAGAGAUUAUUAGGCUCAAGGAUGGGUUGGAUAGCCGAAUCAUGGGAUUGGAAAGUUUGGAAAUCGGCUAUUGAAACUUCCUCUCCUUGUAUGGGAGAUGAUUCCUUCUCUAUCUCUAUGAUUUUUCUAUGAAGACUAGUACAAGAAGGAUGUCCACGAAUGAAGACAUACCUUCCGUUACUAACUGAUAAAGAAAGAAAGACUCUACCAAAGGUUAUAUGAUUAAGACCAAUGUGAAAAUAUCUAGGAAAAACAUGGUCUUGUAGGGCUAGGUCUAAACCAGAAUUUAUAGAAAAAUUAAAAGAUUCCCUAGGUGUAGCUAAAAGUGCAUUAUCUUUUUGAUUAAAAGAUAGGACCUCAGCUAUAGAAAAGGGUUGGUUUUGACCUAUUGCAAUCAACUCCGGACACAGAUCAUAAUUAGGGGCAGGACGUGUUGACUCCCAUGGUCUAUGGCUGGUCUCCGAAGGUGCAAAGAAUUUAAUAAUAGUUAUGGAAUUUAAGAUAUCCAUAAAGAUAAAAAGAUAAAAGAAUAAAAGUAUAAAAGUAUAAUACAAGAUAAUAGCAAGACUCGAAGUUAUCUCAGCAAACCGUCUUUCUCCCCGGCAACGGCGCCAGAAAUGCUUGUUGAUAUUUGGGAACGCAAUAAGGAAAUGAUCCGCAAGCGCACGGAUAUCGGUGAGCAUUUCACCCGGGAGGUUUUCCAGAGUAUCGUAUUUAUUUUUUUUACCACUGGGAGAAAGGGUGCAUCUGACUAACCAAAUCUAUUGCUACUAUCCCUUUAGGCACAAAGAAUGUCUUUCGAUGUGGGUGAUAAAUAGAGAAGACUGCAACCGUAGUCUCCUUCUAACCUUGGUAAGGAUGAUCUACUGUUCUAAUGGGGAGGCUAACGGAAUCUAGACACCACAAAGGAUGUUCAACCCGCACCUAUAAACCCUAUCCUUCCUGCUAACGAGAUGUGAUCUACAAAGGUAGCUCGGAAAUGUCACGUUCCUCACUACUACCACAGUCCAGCUAGUCGGGGAAUAUCUAUGAGUACCCCAGCCUAAACACCACGUUUACGCCAGCAAUGAUUACUCUAAACUCUACGCGAAGAGAUUAAAGUAAACUCAUAAACCAUAAGAACAAUAAAACAAGAACUUACUAGAAUUUAGAAGUCAAAAUACUGAAGAAUCCUAGGAGCAAGCUUCGGGUUAGGAGAACUUGAUCCCGCAGGUACAAGCUUGGAGUAGACACCGACAGGCCGGGCUUCCUCCACUCUACACCUCCACUCUAUCUCUCUCAAUCUAGUAGAAACUAGAAGAUCUAUUUCUACCUUACAUUGAUUGCUAAGCCUAAAAAGAAAUAUUAAUUAGAGAAGAGGUUUUCCUUCGAGGGCACCCCUCAGUCUCUAUGAUAAUUUCUUCAUGUCUUCCAGGGGCCAGGGGGGCCUCGCUUAUAUAGUCCUCCCCUUCUAUGCGUUUUUGGGUCGAUAGCCGAGGUGGUACUAUGUUUUUCUUGAUCCAAUAGGUCGGUGGAAUAUCCCGAGCGAAGGAGUCCUCAAUUGGCUCCAGCAGGGGGGCGGGCGCCCAGGCUUCCAGGGCGGGCGCCCUGGGCCUGGCCCAGCUUCGCCUCCGCUUCGGUCUCGUGGCUUCUGGAGUCUUCUAGAUGAUGUAAAAUUGUGCGGUGCGUUGAUAUCUCAAUGUAAUCCCGACAUGUGGGCCUUUCUUCCUUAUUUCCUGAUAACCCCCUGCAGAAAUAGAUAAACAACAAAACUCGUGGAAUUCUGUCAGAUCAAACCCUAAUUCUAGGUGAUGGUUGCAUAUUGGUCUUUUCUCAUGUUUAUUUGAUAAUUAAAAUUGAUACUUAAGAACCGUCAACAAUGAACACAUGGAAAUCUUUGCCGGGUGAUUUUUUUCCCUGGAAUCAGCAAAGCAAGCAUAUAAUUGGAUUGGUCCAUACACAUCCAAGGUGGAAAAUUGUAUGGAACCACUAUAGUUGGCCAGAUGCUAUAUGCAUUGCUCAUCUGACCAUAUGGGUUAAAUCCAUCUGUAGCAAUGGCUAACCUCAAACUACAGGGAUCAUCUGCAAAAGACUUGAAACAAUCAUCAAAUUCUUUCCAAGCUUCUCCAUCAGCAGGAUGUCUCAUUUCAUUCUCAACCGGUUUUCUCUUUUCCUUGUGCCAUCUUGCAUACUCUGCCCGCUGCUUGGAGAUAAAAAUCCUUUGGAGGCGUGGAAUUAUUGGAAAAUACCGGAGGACCUUGUGAGGCACUUUCUUUCUACCCUCCUUGUUCACUUUCCAUCUUGUGUACCCACAAACUGGGCAAUGGUCAUCCUCUUCAUGAUCUUUCCAAAAUAGGGCACAAUCAUACUUGCACACAUGAAUAGUUUCAUAACCAAAACCAAGCUUCCGAAGUAGAACUUUCAGUUCAUUAUAGGACUUAGGUAGGCCGGGCACAUUCUUCAGAGAUGACGAAAGCAACUCAAGGAUUGCAUCGAUCCCAGAAUUUGGUAUCCGAUUGUACACUUUUAUAUGCAGCAGUUUAAUAAUGAAACUUAGCCUAGACUCCUCGGUGCAACCAGGAUAAAGUUCACGCUUUGCCUCUUCCAUGAUUUGCUUAUAUAAGUUGCCACCGACACCAUGGCUUGCUGCAGUAUAUAGAUCUGGAAUCAAACCUUGAACUCCCCGAUCACUGUCAUCUAAUAUGGCAUCUUCAGUUUGUCCAUCAUCAAGUGGAGCCUGUCCAUACCAUGACAUAUAUUCAACAUCUAGUGUGACAUCAUCAUCUUCUUCAACAUCAAAAUCCUCCUCUCCAUGGUAAACCCACUUUGUAUAGCACCUGGAAAUACCAUUGAUUUCAAUAUCCUCCUGCACCUCAUCUUGACUUUUUUCUAUUUGGUUCAGGCAUUUUCUACAUGGACACUUGAUUUUCUCAUCUACACUAAAUCUACUUUUGACAUGUCCCAUGAAUUGUUCAACACCAAGCAUAAAUCUUUCACUAAAUGGCACACUGUUGUAUACCCAGCUUUUGUCCAUCUCAUCCUGCACAUAUAUAUGUGACAAAUUUUUACAAAUCGUCAUGGAUAGAUAGAAAUCGACAAAACACUUGUAUAUCCUCCUACACCUCAGCUUGCUUACCGGUAAGGAGGGGCAGGAGUAGUGCUGUGUGGCCGGAGGCAGCGGCGCAGUGUGGCCACAAAGGCUUCAGCUUGGGCCAGAGGCGUGCAUGGUGAGGAAGGAGGGGCAGGAGGCCACUGGCGGUGUGGAGGCAGCGGCGCUGUGUGGCCGCCGGCAGUAGCGCUGUGGCCGGCGUCACUCCUUCUGUAGGCUUGGGUCACCGCCGGCCUGGGUGGGGUGGGCCUGCCUGGGUCACCGCUGGCCUGGGUGGGGUCGCCGUCGUUGUGGAUCUAGCCGCCGACGCUGGGAGCACGACGAGCUGGGGGGGGGUUGGUCGGCUAGUUGAGAGGGUGUGCAUUUUUUUUAAGUUCAGCGCUGUCCACAUAUACAGACUAGGCUGGGUACCGAUUGGCAAUGACAUGUGGGCCCUUGGUCUAUGACAUGUGGGCCCUACAUACUGUACUAUUUAGCAAGUUCAUCAUUCAAUCAUCAUUUCUCUUUUUAAUUCAUGUGAAAAUAUUGUAACAAGUUUUCCUCCCACAUACUUUCUCCGAAUCUGAUGCUUUUUUUCUAAUUUUUUCUUAAAUUCUGAUUUAUCAGCCUAUUCCAUUUAUUUUCAUUGUAUUUCAAUGUGACAAAAUUUGAACAACUCAAAAUGGAUUCAACCAAAAAAUUGCAACUUUGAAGCUCAUUUUGAACCUCAAAAUGGGUUCAACCCAAAAGGUCAUUAAUACAAAGUUUGUACAACUAAUCAAGAUCUACAUUCUUUAUAUAGAUCAUUUUUUCAUACGAUGAGUUGAUGGUUAGUUUGUUCUCAAAUCUUACUCAUCUCACUCAUAGUUUCAUAAACUAUCAUGGAGAUGAGUAUGAUUAGAGAAGGAAGUUACCAUCACUUCAUCGGAUGAAAAAAUGACCUAUAUACAAAAUAUAGAUAUCACUGAGUGAAACAACUUCUAUGUUAUUGACUUUUUCAUUUGAACUUACUAAGUACCACAUAUUUGUGCCUAAAGUUUGAAUAUUUUCAAAUUCAAAAUUCAAUCUUUUUAAAAAAGUCAAUUGACAAAAUGACCAAUACCAAAAUAGUAGAUCUCAAUUAGUGUAACAACUUCACUUCUUACUGUUUUUCCAUUUGAUAUCAUAUAGUACCCUAAAACUGUGUUUAAACUCAAAAUAGUAUGAAUUCUCUCACUGACAUAUGGCCCCGGCCUGUCAGGUCCCAAAAUUAGACGCCAUCACCUUCCCGUUCCGCGCGCACGCUAUGCCACCGACACGUGGGCCCCAAUGCGCCUCCCGCCCAAGACGACCAAAAUUCCCCUCCUACCUUAUCCUCUCGGCUCCUCACAUUUCACCCAAGUCCUCUCCGUCAGUCCUCUCCCUCCCCACGACCUAGCGCCGCCACUCGCGCCGACCACGCCACCACUCCAGUAGACCACGCCGCCGCACCACUGCUGCUGAACGGAUCCGUUCAACCCCAAGACCUGCCAUGGCCUCCUCCUCCCUCCCCUCAACCUAGCUCCGCCACUUGUGCCCACCACGCCGCCACAGAUGAGCCCAUCACGCAAAGCGGCCAUGGCCUCCUCCUCCCUCCCCUACACCUAGCUCCACCACUCAUGCCCUCCACGCUGCCGCACCACCGAAGAACCCCCACCGGCACACCCGCCACAACCCCGUCGCCGAAGAAGGCAGCUUCACCGGCCACCACCCAGGCAGCACCCACGCUACGAAGGCAGAUCCGUGCCGGCCGCGACGAAGGCAGCUUCACCAGAUCCGUGUCGGUCGCGACGAAGGCAGCUUCACCGGCCGCCACCCAGGCGGCCCCACAGGUCAGCACCCACGCUACCUCACCGGUCACCACCAAGGCUGCCUCACCGACUACCUCGUCGACAGACGCAUGCCCGCUGCCCCCCUUCUUCUAGUGCUGACGACGGCUUCAAUUAGGUACCUUCUAUUUCCCUUCCUUCUUCUGACAAAUGUAGAUGUGGAUCUUUGCUAACUGUUGAUUUUUUACAUGUGUAUAAGCUGUCAGUUAGAUGACUUGUCAGUUAGAUGAAGAACAAAAUAGUUUGUGCUUAUGAUGAUUUACUGCUAAGUUGCUAACUGACAAAUACAUAUAAAAAUUUUACUGCUUAUGAUGAAGAACAAGUUGGUAACUGACAAAUACAUAUAUUAGUUGUUUGUAGUUUCUUCAUUGUCUAGCGGUGUAUAGCCCACUGCUUUUUUAAAUGAGUGUAUGAAAUGUGUGUACUAACCAAAAUACUGAUUUGUUAGUUGUUUCUUCAACUCUUUUACAGAAACUGGAAUCAGUUUCUGCUCUAUCUACGUUUUUGUGUAAUAAGUAAUAGAAGAAAUGGGAAAAACCCACUAUGAGCUGGCAAGGGACAAGAAUGUAAAGCAUGUUCAGGAAGUUUUUAAAUCUCUGGGUAUUCAAGUCCUAGCACAGACUGUUAGAGAUGCUAUUACACCAAAAUAGAAAGAGGGCAGAGGGAAGGCUAUAGAUUCUGACAAUGAUUAUGAUCCAUGCUCUGAAAUUGAAAACCAAUCUGACACUGACGAUGAUUAUGAUGAUGAGGUGAGAUGCACUGCUAACCAAAUUCACAUGGUCAUGGCCUGCAUAUUUCAUACAUGUACUCCAUUGUACCUCCUAAGAACAUAUACUUCUUUCAUAACUAAUCAACUACAUUUUUCAUCUUCUUAGGCAACACAGAUGGUUCCAGGAACUCGCCCUCACCAAAAGAAGCAAAAGGCAGGAACAAUGCCGCCUGCCCACCAGCAGCCACCACGCACUCCAGUUAGACUUACAAGGCAAAGUGCAGCCAUGCAUUCGCCUGGAGGGCGUCCGCCACCUAAGCCAAGACAUCCCCUGCCUCCUAAGACCACUCCAAAAGCCAAUCCUAAAAGAAAUUCCAUUUCUACUAUUACCCAAGUAGAGGUCCAGAACACUACAACCACUACAAACACCAAUGAAACUACAAACCAUAUGACUAUUCCUACUGAAAUGAACAGGACCAGCCAAGCAAUGUCUUCACCAGUUCCAAACACAGUGCCUAGAUUCACUAAGGCUACUGCAGCUAUGUCUUCUCCUGGUGCAAACCAUCUAAUUGCAAAACUGAUCUGCAAACACAAAGGGCUAAUACCCGAUUCAAACGUUAAGGCGUGCCAGCCGAUUUGACCUUACUAUCGGCAAAGGUGAUAACUCGAAUACUUUAGUCCUGACAACAGCGAUGCGCCCGGAUGUCACGGCUAAGAGGUACUCACGCGGAACUCGAGAACACGCCGAGCUUAAGUCGACGAAUUCCUAAGAACUCGUAAUAAAAAGAAAAAAAGUAUGACGAAGUCGUCGAAAAGUAGAUGCUGGAAUAUGAGUAAAAACGCGUGUUUGAUUGAUUUCUUGAUUAAUUAUUACAAGGCCCUAGGGUUUAUAUUUAUACCCUGCUCAAAGAGCUACAACCAGACACGAUUAGAAUUCGAAUUCCAAAUUACAUGGAAUCCGUAUACAAAACGAUGCAAAUAAUUAAGGAAACAACAAAACUAUCCUUCGUGACAAACCGAAACUCCUCCACAUGACAACUGGCAGCUUCCGGACUCCUCCUUUGCAUCAUCGGCAAUCCCUUUGCCAUAGUCAUCGGCAGACCUUUUUAUCCAGCCAUCGGCACCAUAUUACUGCCUGUGGACUUAGUCACAUUCAACUUCUCCCUCAUCGGCAACCAUCCUCAUCGGCAACCCGCUUUGUAAACAUCGUACUGCCACCUUAUCCUGCCAUCCUAGACACGUGCCCAAAAACGGUGUCAACACAUGCCCCCCAGUUUCGGAGUAUAAAACUAUUAAUGCUCCGAAAUUCUCUGCAGUAAUGAUGCCUUCUCCCGCAAUUAAUGCUCCUAAUCUGGUAACCGACAACCUCAAUCUGGACAACUCUGAUCCUGAUCCUCCGCAGAUUCCUCGAAAUCCCCAACUUCCUAAACGGGCAUCUUUCUCAGUCGUACAUCGGCAACAAUACCGUUACAAAGAUCUGCCGAUGCUCUGACCCGGAUAUUCGCAAAAACGAUUACUUCCCCUCUAUCCGCCCAUCGGCAAGAUGACCGUUAUAGAAUAUCGCCGAUGGACCGACCAGGAGAUCUCGCACAGUAAAAUAUCUUCAAAUAAUGACCGCUUCCCGUCAAAUCACCUGCACAAUCCCUGGAUUACCGUGCGAACAGUUACCAUAUCCACCUGAGUACCCUCGGGUUUCUCGGAUGCGGCAAAGAGAUAAGUCGGAUUUGCCCUUGCCCAUCUUGUCCUAUAAAUAGUUCCUUCUUGGGUACUCCUUCCCCAUCACACCAUUCUACUACCCAACUUUACUUUUCCAGCGGCGGCGCCAUUUACAACCUUCAAGACCUCCGACAAGCACUUCUCUUCAUCAACUCUGGUGCCCUCCAACGUCCUCUUCACGACAAGAUGGCCAUUGGCUUCGUCGUCCCUGAGGUCAGAUCUCCAUCUCAUCUUCUGUAUUUUUUUUAUUCCUGUUCAUCCGCGAUUCAUCUUACUGAAUAUUCUCCUUUUCCUUUUUCUUUGUAUUUUUAUUCCCCCAAAAUCACUAGGAGUUGUCCAAUAAAAUUGUCAUCCCCACCGAUCAACCACACCUUCAAUGUCUCGGCCCUCUAGGGGAUUCAGAUCCAACCAACCUUAUUAACGCAGAAACCAAUAGGAUCCCCUUUAGAGCUGAAAACUUUUCUUUAGAUCUGUGGAAAGACACUUUUCGCUCUUGGCCCAGCCCUACCGUAGGGUGGAAAGACUGGUUCUUGAGGGUCAGCAAUUCUUAUGAAGUCCAGUGGGGUGAAAGGAAGCUAGCCCAAUGCAUUAGGCUAUCCAUUGCCGAUAUGCACAGGAACGAGUCACUGCUGAUAGCUGCGUCCUACUUUUGGUCAGACGCCCUCAAUGCUUUUGUUUUUGGCCACGGCCCUGCUUCUCCUACCCUUGCCGAUGUAGCCAUGCUCACUGGGCUAGAUAUAUCUUCUGCCGAUAGCACCCACUUUUUUGAUACUGCCCCCAGUGCCAAAGUGGAGACUCGCGCUAUCGGCGGUUGGUCAGGGUACAUUCAGAAGUACCGCGGGAGAGGGCCUGUCACCAUAAAGGAGCAAACCACCUUUCUGAACAUGUGGCUGGACAAGUUUGUAUUCUGUGGUCGAUCGGCAGGACCGACUUCCGUCUAUCUAUCGGCAGCAGAGAGACUGGCUAACGGUGGCCAAUUUCCUCUCGGCCGAUACUUGCUUGGCGCUGUUUACCACCUUCUCCAUCAGGUAGCCCAGAAACUCCUGCUUGGCCAAUCCAUCGGCAACUUGGGAGGCCCCUGGUGGUUUAUUAAUAUGUGGCUCAAUCUGCACCUGCAUAAGCGCCUUGAUUCCAACUUGUUCUCACAGCACUUCCCAAGAGAUAUAGCCGAAAAUCUUGUGUUGGGUGAAGAGGAAUCGGCAACGCGUGCCCCCUUGAACUUUGGCGAAGCCGUCAUAGUCCUACCUGGUUCAGGGAGUAAUCCGGAUCAAAUUGGCCGAUUCUUCGAGACUCUGCAUGAGGGUUUGGCCAGGGAUGAACGACCAUGGUUGGCUUAUGAUGAACCAGAUAGCAUGCUCCCUCUGACCUUCAAUCCAUUUGAUGAAGCUCUCGAUAGGGAUAAUGAGGCGAUGAUGGCAAUUGUGACUCCCAGAGCCAUUCCAGUGAAUAUUUUCGGUAGCACAAAAACUUCUCCCCAGACUUACGAAUUUUACAAUCCAUCGGCAUUAGCUCGCCAGUUAGCUUUCGGCCAGUUGCCGAUUGCACUUCCUUAUGCCGAUGUGAUAAAACCCAGAGAAACCAUCAACAACCUUCUUGAGUGGACUCGAGUAGCCCAACUACCACCAAACGCCGAUGUAGAUGUAGAUCUGUCAGAAUGGGUUCCGGCUGCUUUUAUCACUCAGGCAUACAAGUUAUGGUGGGCAGAAUGGAAAGAGCAUCUAUUCUGCAGAUCGGCACUUUCAUACCGCAGCAUGAUUGACCCCGAAUACGAAGUUCCCGAUGACACUGUAAGUAACUCAAACCAACGUUUCAUUUUCUCACUAUUACUUCCAUCGACAGCUUACCCUUGUAUUCCUUUUGCAGGCUGACAAUAUUCCUCCAUCGGUUAGCAGGAGUGGCAAGCCGAUCGACUUGUUUCCAUCAGGCCCGAUUUCCUCAAUCGGCCACAAUGCUCCCACUCUGGCUUCCAUCGUGCAUCGGGGUGUGCGCCUCAGGAAAGUUACAACCAGGAGAACCCAGACAUCACCAACGGUAGCUGCUCCCACUCUGGCGCGGGCUUUCAAGGCAAUUUGUCAAAUCUUUAUCUUUUACGCUGACUAUCUUUAUAUCGGUUUUAUUUAUACUUAUAAACCUUUGUUCGUUAUUGCAGCAAAUCAGUGCAUCGGCAAAGGUCACACGUCAAGGUGCCGAUGCCACCCAGUCCAGCCAGCCAAAGAGGAAGGGUACCACGGGUGCUAAGACUGGAACAAAGCGCCAGAAGGUAGCAACUCCCCCUCCUCCUCCGGUAUCUCCAAUUCCGGUGGAGUCUUCUCCUUCUCCAGAAGCCCAGCCACAGCAAGCACCAUCUCCCCAACCUAUGCAGGAAGCACCACAGAUAGAAGAACCCCAACAGGAAGGAUCUCAAACAGAAGGUACAUCAGCUGACACGGGUGAACAAACAACUGGCCCGGUGGGCCCAAUUAUACCAUCGGCAGUUCUCCCGAUUCAGACAAUUGUUAUCCCUCCUCCAGGUAACAUACUUUAACAAUAUCGCUACCGAUGAACUUAUUCUCAUUUAGUCUCAUAACCUUUCUUGUCUUCUUUCAGUCGAUAUCGUCCCAUCGGCAACCUUAGCCGAUCAACCUGUAGUUCCAUCGGCAUCUUUGGCCGGUCAGCCCGCAGCUCCGUCAGCACCUCCCAGUCCAAGGCAAGAGAUCGCCUUGAAGCAAGUAAGUCACUGUUUACCGCCAGCAUUAUUUGCCGAUUCUCUAAGUAUGGGCUAAUUUUGCUUUCCCUCCCAGGAACAAGAUUCUCCCGAUAGCCUGUUCUCCUUCGCCAUCGAUUUCUCUGAAGAAGAAGGUGAAGAAGCAAGCACUUCUCAGUCGGUCGGCAUCACAUCGGCAGAGGUCAGGGUCAGGCUGGAAGAAUUGUCAGCUCUCCUUCACCAGGACACAGCGCAAUUGGUUGAUGAUUCCGACCCUACCAAGACCCUGUUCAGAACUCUCAGAGGCCAAGUCCCAGCCGAUGUUGAAGAAAUCCUGUUCCAAGCCGCUCAUCUGGAGAGUCGCCAGCUGCAGUACCAAAGAGCUUCUCGGCGGCUUGCCGAUAGAGCCGCUCAGACUCAACUCUCCGAUGAAAUGAGGAAAGAAAAGCUUUUGACCGAUGAGAAGCACAAGAACAUCGGCAUCCUGAGAUCUUCUGGAGACGCGCUAAAGCAGAAGAUAUCCGAUCUAUCGGCAAGAAAAGAGUCCCUAUUGGCGGAGCUUAAGGAAGUAGAGAACGCUCUGUCCCAAGCCCAACAGGAAGAGAGCCAAUUGCCAGAGACCAUCAGGCUUCUUGAGCGCGAUCGAAAUGCUCAUGGUCGCAAAGCACUCCAACUGAAGAAGAAGCUGAAGCCGAUAGAAGGUUCUGCUGAUGAUGACAUCAAGGAGAUAGAAGCAGCCAACCAAAUUCGGCUACGCGCUAUAUCGGCAAUCCAGACGCUGCUUAACACAUAGAGUUUCCAUCGGCAUUGUAUCUGCGCUUUCCUGCUUCCUCAGCUUUUAAUCUAGCCGAUAGGACUGUUAUCGGCGCCUAAACUUUUGAAACACCAAGUCUUGUCCCCAAGCAUUUGGAUCCAGCCGAUAGGAGUGUUAUCGGCACCUAAACUUCUAUGCAUCGACCCAUAUACUGGGGUAGUACUUCUUUAAAUAUUUGCCGUUUAAUGCUCUGGGAAAUUCAAUUCCUUCGAGGGUUUCUAGAAUGUAGGCAUUGCCAGGAGCCGAUCGACUUAUCCGAUAAGGACCCUCCCAAUUAGGAGACCACUUUCCAAACUUCGAGCUUUUUGUCCCAACUGGUAAAAUUAAUUUCCAUACCAAAUCCCCAUCGGCAAACUCUUUAGCCUUCACCUUCUUAUCGUACCAUCUAGCAAUUCUUUUCUUAUUCUCUUCUAUACUCAUUAAAGCUUUUAACCGAUGCCCUGCUAGAUCGUCCAAUUCAUCGGUCAUCAAAGUGGCAUAACCAUCGGAAGUUAAUUGAUCUUGAAAAGAUAAUCGCCUAGAUCCAGCCUUAAUUUCCCAAGGCAACACUGCAUCAUGUCCAUACACCAAUUGAUAGGGUGAUACCUUGGUCGAUCCAUGACAAGCCAUCCGAUAAGACCACAAUGCUUCAUUUAAUAAUGUAUGCCACCGCUUAGGAUUUUCUUCAAUCUUCCGUUUAAUAAGCUUGAUAAUUCCUUUGUUAGACGCUUCGGCCUGCCCAUUGGCUUGAGCAUAAUAAGGAGAAGAAUUCAACACUUUAAUUCCCAUACCGAUUGCGAAUUCAUCGAACUCCCCCGAUGUGAACAUGGUGCCCUGAUCGGUAGUAAUCGUUUGGGGAAUCCCAAAUCGGUAAAUAAUAUGCUCCUUCACAAAAUCAAUCAUAUUGGCCGAUGUGACUUUCUUCAAAGGAAUAGCUUCAACCCAUUUAGUGAAAUAGUCAGUGGCAACUAGAAUGAACUUAUGCCCUUUGCUAGAUGGUGGAUAAAUCUGGCCGAUCAGAUCGAUGGCCCAUCCCCGGAACGGCCAAGGCUUUAUUAUAGGAUUCAUAGCCGAUGCGGGUACUCUCUGGAUAUUACCAAACUUUUGACAACCUUGACAUCCCUUGAAAUAUUUAAAACAAUCUUCAAGUACGGUUGGCCAAAAAUAUCCAUUCCUUCGAAUCAUCCACUUCAUCUUAAAAGCUGACUGAUGCGCUCCACACACUCCCUCAUGAAUUUCCCCCAUCAAACUUCUGGCUUCAUCAUCACGCAAGCAUCGGAGAAGAAUUCUGUCGAUAGUUCGAUAAUACAAUCCAUUUUCAAGGAGCACAUACUUGGUUGCCUGAAAUCGAACCCGUCUUUCAACUUUUUUGGAUGGAUCUUUUAGAUAAUCAAUAAUUUCUUUCCUCCAAUCAUCGGCACCGACUACCGAUGUCGCAUUAAUCAUUGGCUGAUAUCCCGAGGCAUGCUGAGCUAACCGAUUAGCGUCUUCAUUAUGCAAUCGGGGAACAUGCUCCAAUCGGAAAUCCUUGAAUUCCUUUAACAGUUGCAUACUUCUCUCGAAAUACGUUAUGAGAACUUCACUUCGGCAUUCAUAGCUUCCGGCCAAUUGAUUUAUAACCAACAUAGAAUCCCCGAAUAUUUCAACAGCAUCAGCACGAACUUCUCUCAGCAACUCCAAUCCCUUGAUCAGAGCUUGAUACUCAGCCUGAUUAUUUGUCGAUGUGGCAACAAUCGGCAAGGAAAACUCAUACUUCCUCCCCUUAGGGGAAACUAAUACAAUGCCGAUUCCUGCCCCUCGGUCACAAGUAGAUCCAUCAAAGAAGAGCGUCCAGGGUACAAUUUCCAAGGUUUCCACUAGACCGCAAUGCUGAGUUACAAAAUCGGCCAUAAUCUGCCCUUUGACUGCCUUAGCCGAUUCGUAACGCAAAUCGAACUCCGACAGCGCUAAAAUCCAUUUACCGAUCCUACCACUCAUAAUCGGCAUAGAUAGCAUGUAUCGGACCACGUCAUCUUUGCAAACGACAGUGCAUUCGGCCGAUAACAGGUAAUGUCUCAGCUUGAUACAUGAAAAAUAUAAGCAUAAGCAUAGUUUCUCAAUGGCCGAAUACCUGGUUUCAGCAUCAAUCAACCUCCUACUCAAAUAAUAAAUUACCCUUUCUUUCCCUUCAAAUUCUUGAACUAAAGCUGAACCGAUAACCGAUCCAUCGGUAGAUAAAUACAAUCUGAAGGGCUUCCCUUGUUGAGGUGGAACUAGAACUGGAGGAUUUACUAGAUACUUCUUGAUUUCAUCCAGAGCCAACUGCUGUUCUUCUCCCCAAAUAAACUCUUGAUCGGCUUUCAAUUUAAGAAGAGGACUGAAAGCACGAAUCCUACCAGACAAAUUCGAUACAAAUCUUCUGAUAAAAUUUACCUUGCCGAUCAAGGAUUGGAGCUCGGUUUUGUUGGUAGGGGCCACUAUUUUAUUGAUGGCAUCAAUAGAUCUUCGACUAAUUUCAAUACCCCUCUGAUGUACCAUGAAACCAAGAAACUGCCCUGCCGAUACACCAAAUGCACACUUGUUGGGAUUCAUCUUCAAUCCAUGCUUCCUUGUGCACUCUAACACUUUUUGUAAAUCGGCAAGAUGCUUUGAGAAAUCUCCAGACUUAACCACCACAUCAUCAAUAUAAAUCUCUACGAGCUUGCCGAUGAACUCAUGAAAUAUAAAAUUCAUAGCCCUUUGAUAAGUAGCACCAGCAUUCUUCAACCCAAAAGUCAUGACUAUCCAUUCAAAUAGCCCAACAUGACCAGGACACCUGAAUGCGGUUUUUGGAAUAUCCUCCUCUGCCAUGAAUAUUUGAUUGUAACCUGCAUUACCAUCCAUGAAGCUGAUGACCCGAUGGCCAGCCGCAGCAUCAACCAGUAGAUCGGCGACAAGCAUUGGGUAUCCAUCCAUCGGCGUAGCUUUAUUGAGAUUCCUGAAAUCAAUGCACACCCGAAGCUUCCCGUUCUUCUUGUAAACCGGAACAACAUUGGAAAUCCAUUCGGCAUACCGACACUGCCGAAUAAACUUAGCUUCAAUAAGUUUAGUGAUUUCGGCCUUAAUAUCAGGUAGAAUGUUAGGAUUACAUCGGCGGGCUGGUUGCUGAUGUGGCCGAAAUCCAGACUUGAUGGGUAACCGAUGUUCAACAAUUGAUCGGUCUAAACCAGGCAUCUCUGUAUAGUCCCAAGCAAAGCAAUCUUUAUAUUCCUUUAACAAACUAGUCAAUUGUCGCUUACACUCAGGAUCUAAUUUAGCACUAAUAAAAGUAGGCCUAGGCUUAUCACCACACCUAUAUCUACUUCUACCAAAUCGUCGGCCGAUGUGAAUCCCUGGCCUAAUUUUCCAUCAUCGGCGAAUCUAUCCAUUAAAAAUCGUCGUCAGAACCGACUGCUUGGAUCGGUGGAAUCUCAUAAUCGGCAACUUUGAGAAAAUCUUUCUCCCAAACUUCUCCUGAAAUGCACCUGGUCCUUUCGUAAGUAUCCGCUUCUACCGAUGCGAUAACAUAAGAAGAAUCUCCUGGGACAAUCUCAAUCUUGUCACCUACCCACUGAACCAAGCACUGAUGCAUUGUAGAUGGGACACAACAAUUGGCAUGAAUCCAAUCUCUUCCCAAUAAUAAGUUGUAGGCACCUUUUCCGCUGAUCACGAAAAAAGUUGUCGGCAAGGUCUUGCUGCCGAUGGUCAACUCUGCACAUAUCGCCCCCUUGACUGGAGACACGUUUCCUUCAAAGUCUUUGAGCAUCAUAUCGGUCUUGGUCAAAUCUUGAUCCCCUUUCCCAAGCUUCCGAUAUACUGCAUACGGCAUAAUAUUAAUAGCAGCUCCACCAUCAACUAGGAUCUUGGUCAUUGGCUGCCCAUCAACCCUUCCUUUGAGGAACAGAGCUUUAAGAUGCUGCCUCUCGUCAUCGGCAGGUUUCUCAAAGAUAGCCGUCAUCGGAUCCAGAGCCAACUGAGCUAUCUGAUCAGAAAAUUCCAACUCAUCAUCACUGGCUGGUGCAAGAAACUCCAUCGGCAACAUGAAGACCAUGUUGACGCUUGCCAAUGGACCUUCCCUCUUAGUGUCUGACGGCUGCCGACUUCCAGAGUUCUCUCCCUUGUUUAGCUCUUCUUGCCUUUCACGUUGCAAUCUCCUUUUCUGUGUUUUGGUUAAUCCUCCAGGGCACCAUGGAGGAAGUGGCCUUUGCCUUGCCAUCGGGCGUCGGUUCUCCCUUGACUCCAUACGAUGCGUGUUAGCAUCCCUGCAAAAUAUGAAUUCAUCGGGAACCCGCGCAUCAGCCAUUCCCUUGAGCUCCUCUUGGUUCCUGGGAAAAUACUGGACACGGUCACUAAGUCUGUUGUGCCCACUAAAUCUGCCCCCCAGCCGGUCUUGAACUGACACCCUUCCUCUGAUCGGCCCAUUAAAUCGCCGUUCAUCAUCAUGAUAAUGCUGAUCGAUCCUAUCGUACCGAUCAUAACCGUUGCACUCAGGGCAGUCUCUGACAGUAGGAAGCUUGAUAUUUUCCUCCCAACAAUGGAUGAAGAAUGGACAAUUCCAAUGAUCCCUGUGCCGAUUCCACUCCUGUCGGCGUCUUUCUUCUUCCCGUCGAUAAUCUUCCUGCUGGCGCCGAUACCGAUCUUCCCGUUGUUGCCAUUUUUCUCGAGGCCUUCUAUGAGUUAUGACGAUACCAGAUCGAGGAAGCCUUCCUGAGCUAGUUCCUUCCUGGACCAAGCCCUUACUUCUUGCAUCGGCAGUAGUAACUUGAUGCUGAGGAUCUACCGAUGCACUCUUCUCAGCUGUCUCCGAUGUUAAGACCUUAGCCUUCCCCUUAGCAUCCAACAUGUUUGUCGGGAAAGGAUGUUGGUCUAUCUUCAUCGGCUUCUGGGCUUUGGAAUUGUCAAACUUGAUUCUCCCUGACUCUAUAGCCGAUUGCAGCUGCUGUCUGAAUACUUUGCAGUCGUUGGUGUCAUGGGACGUUGCAUUAUGCCACUUGCAAUAUCUCAUCCUCUUCAACUCUUCUGCCGAUGGGAUCACAUGGUUAGGUGACAGUUUGAUCUGACCUUCCUGAAGUAGAAAGUCAAAUAUCCUAUCAGCCUUAGCGGUGUCAAAAGCAAACUUCUCUGGUUCCUUCUGCCCAAAAGGACAAGACAUCGGCUUCUUGUUUUUUACCCACUCUGCCAAACCGAUUACUGGUUCUUCAUCAGAAUCUGAGCUUGUGGCUUCAUCAACAAACGACACUUUCUUAUUCCAUGCUCUCUUAGGCUCGAAAGACUUGAUGUCUUGAUCAGAAAUCCUCUGCACCAAAUGACUUAAACUUUCGAACUCCUGAGAGGCAUACUUAUCCCUGAUAUGUGGCAACAAACCCUGGAAAGCCAAAUCGGCUAGCUGCCGAUCAUCCAGAACCAGGCUAUAGCAUUUAUUCUUAACCUCUCGUAUCCUCUGCACAAAUCCUUCAACCGACUCAUCAUUACGUUGCCUCAACUUGACCAAGUCGGUGAUCUUCUUCUCAUGAACCCCCGAGAAGAAGUAUUUGUGGAAUUGCUUCUCCAGAUCGGCCCAAGUAAUUACUGAGUUGGGAGGUAAUGAUAUGAACCAAGUAAAGGCCGAUCCAGACAAUGAUGACGAAAAUAGACGAACCCUCAAUUCGUUCCUGUUACCAGCCUCUCCACAUUGAAUAAUGAACCUGUUGACAUGCUCCAUAGUUGACGUGUCGUCCUGUCCGGAAAACUUUGUAAAAUCCGGUACCUUGUACCGAUGUGGAAGCGGGAUCAAAUCAUACGCGGGAGGAUACGGUGUCCGAUAAGAAUAAGUGUUGACUUUGGGUUUUAUCCCAAAUUGUUCCCUCAUUACUUCAGCAAUCUUAUCGGCCCAAUACGCAUCGGCAUCUUGCCGAUGAGGCGGCUGCGGAUCUGGCACUUGGUGGCGAACCUCCACGUGUCUGUUCGGGACGUGAUCUGCAUGGAACAUUGUAUUGAUCACCUGUCCUCCAAUCUGCGGACCACCAAACUGCUGUCCACCGAUUGGCUGUCCUCCGAGUUGCUGUCCAAAAUUCAUUGGCUGGUUGGGAAUCCCCUGACCUUGGAACCCGGGAUAGACCUGCCCUUGCUGGAACCCUGUAGUCUGAUAACCCUGCUGGGGCGAUUGUGGAAAGGCUUGCUGCCCAAGCCAUCCAUUAUUAGCGUUCAUCGGCAUAGGUGCUGCCGAUGAUUGGUAAUUGGGUACCGUCGUUGAAUUGACAUACCCCGACUGGGCCAUAGGCCUCUGUUGCAUCAGCAUUGACUCUGCCGAUGCGUUGGGCAUCUGGAACAUUGAAUCUUGAGGAUUCCCAGUGUGAGGCCUUGCAGUAGUAGUUGUGGUAUACCGAGGACUCUGGUUCACCGGCGCAUUGGGAGGUGCCGAUGUCAUAGGAGUUUGUGAUGUUAUUUGUGAUGUUCCCGGCGUCAACUCUGGAGGCAUACCAUAACCCCACCAGUUGGGAGGAAGAGUCAACCCUGACAUUGCCGAUGCCAACAUAUCUGUUGUCAGUUUAUGCUGCCCAACUGAAAUUUGUGGGUUGGUUGCCAUCGGCAUAGAUAGUGCACCAGUAGUCCCCGAUGUACUUGGAGGGACGGCAGGUUGUGCUCUUGCAUUCGUCAAGGCAGCCGAUGGAGCCGUGACCUCUGGUGCCGUUGGCUGAUGAUGGGAGGGCCCCACAUAAUCUGGCGGGAUUUGUCCUUCCUUGAAAGUUCUUGCCACGGCAUUGAAAACCGUAUUAGACAGUACACCAGCUUGGUUAAUCAACGCUCGAUUGAUGGCAUUGUCAACCAUAUCUUGAAGCUUGCCAGGAUUGGCGUCAAAGGUGACCUGCCGUGGUGCCGGCAGUGCAUCUUUCUGGACCACUUCGCCACUCCUGUUUAUGCUGAAAGACCUCAGGCAUUGCUGCUUGAACUCUUCCAUGGCUUGGGCAAUAGCUUGCUUCUGCUCAUCCUUGAGGUUGGCCUCCGUCACAGGGAUGACGUUCUCUUGAUCGAGGUCAGAGAUCGACAUGUUGAUCUUGAUCUUGAAUCUGUCCCACUGGGCGUGCCAAAAGAUGUGUUGAUGCAAAACUGAUCUGCAAACACAAAGGGCUAAUACCCGAUUCAAACGUUAAGGCGUGCCAGCCGAUUUGACCUUACUAUCGGCAAAGGUGAUAACUCGAAUACUUUAGUCCUGACAACAGCGAUGCGCCCGGAUGUCACGGCUAAGAGGUACUCACGCGGAACUCGAGAACACGCCGAGCUUAAGUCGACGAAUUCCUAAGAACUCGUAAUAAAAAGAAAAAAAGUAUGACGAAGUCGUCGAAAAGUAGAUGCUGGAAUAUGAGUAAAAACGCGUGUUUGAUUGAUUUCUUGAUUAAUUAUUACAAGGCCCUAGGGUUUAUAUUUAUACCCUGCUCAAAGAGCUACAACCAGACACGAUUAGAAUUCGAAUUCCAAAUUACACGGAAUCCGUAUACAAAACGAUGCAAAUAAUUAAGGAAACAACAAAACUAUCCUUCGUGACAAACCGAAACUCCUCCACAUGACAACUGGCAGCUUCCGGACUCCUCCUUUGCAUCAUCGGCAAUCCCUUUGCCAUAGUCAUCGGCAGACCUUUUUAUCCAGCCAUCGGCACCAUAUUACUGCCUGUGGACUUAGUCACAUUCAACUUCUCCCUCAUCGGCAACCAUCCUCAUCGGCAACCCGCUUUGUAAACAUCGUACUGCCACCUUAUCCUGCCAUCCUAGACACGUGCCCAAAAACGGUGUCAACACCCUCACCAUGUUCCUCCUAGAUUCACUAAGGCUACUGCAGCCAUGUCUUCCCCUGGUGCAAACCCUCACCAUGUUCCUCCUAGAUUCACUAAGGCUAGUGCAGCCAUAUAUGCAAACCCUCAACAUAGUACUCCUAGACAGCCUAGUGCAGCCAUCUCUUCUCUUGGAGCAAACACUCAACAAAGUACUCUUAGACCCACUGCCAUUAUAUCUCAGGAACCUACUCCCACAAAUAGUGUUACCCAAGCAGCUCAUACGGACACCUCGCCAGGGGCGCGGAGUUCUAGGCAAAGCAAUGACUUGAAUGAGUCAGCUGACCACUUUGAUGCUGCUACUUCAGAGGGUAAUGUGAAUGAAGGAGAACCAGAUGCUGACUUAAUUCCAGGUAAACACUAAAUGUUACAAGCAUUGUUGUGUCCAUUUAAUAUGUACAUUUGUUAUUCCUAUAUUAACACAAUGUUAUUAUUAUUUGUCAAUGUAGCGCCCAAAAAGAUUGUCCGCAAGAAAACCAUGGGUCAUGGUUUGGAGAAGAUGCUUAAUAGGGGAAAUCGGUUGGCUAUCCACGUCGCUGAAGGGAAGAAAAGGCCAGAGGUCCCAAUUCAAGCAGCGAAGCUAGCAUCAGAAACUGGUGUGGCCCUUAGAGACAAACUACCUAUCUACAAAUCAUGGAAGAGUUAUGAUAAUGAAGCAGGGCAGGCAGAAGUAGGAAAAGUGCUUGCUAGAGUUGCGGUGAGACAAAUAUUGAACUCAUAAUAAUUUCUAGCAUUAAUCUACUACCAUAUGAUAUAAUUGUUUCUAAUAAAUCAUUUGUGUGCCUAUAGUCAAGGUUGGAUGUCGAUACUAAAAAUGAGGGGCCAAGCAAAGAUGCCUGCACAGAUAUCAUAAAGUGGGGAGUGAGGCAGAUGAGGUAUAACCUGAAAAGGAAGUAUUUCGACGAGUCACUAACCAAAGAACAGUUGUUGGCCAUCCAACCUCCACCUAAAGUGAAGAAAGAGGAUUGGACCGAGCUGGUAGAGUAUUGGUGUGACCCAAAGAAUCAGGUCAAUAACUACAUUUUCUGCUUUUGUUACUAUGCAAUGCAAACUGAUAUAUAAUGCCAACAUAGCAUGUGAAUGAAAAAUCUGUAUUGCAUUUUUGCUGUAGGAAAACUCUGCCAAGAAUAAAGCAAACCGAGCCAAUGUACAGCUUCACCAAAGGACUGGAGCUAGGUCCUAUAUAGCCCAUCGUUACAGCCUGGUAUGUAUAUUACCAUGUGCUACUGAAAUGUAAACUUACCAUGUGCUGCAAUUACUUCUGAGAUGAGCUGUUAAGUCAAGAAAUUAAUAAGUUCAAUAUCUCUAUGGUGUGAAUGAGUGUUAUUGACUAUUGGUUUCAGCAGAUACUGAACUUAUGCCAAUACGAAAGCUGUGAUAUGUCAUGAAAUGAAUAACUGCAAUAUAUCUUUGCAUUUUAUUGAGUAUCUGAUUCUGAAAAUUGCCAUCUGAUUUCUGAGAUUAGCUUUAAUGUUCAUAUUUUGUGCCCUGUGCUAAGUGAGGUAUAUACAAUAGGUGCUUAUGCUCCAUUUCUUUUACUCAAAGCAUCUAUAACACAAAAUAGUAGUACAAUUGUUUAGUACUUGGGUUUGCUUAGGCCAUGUUAAGAGUCUAAACCUGUCCAGGCAGCAUUGAUGCAUGUUCUUGUGUAUUCUUUUUUCUUAAACUGUGAGUCAUGUUUUGACUAUGUUGUAUUGCAGUUGGCAUGUAACAAUAAUACUAGGCAAAUCUUAUAUCCCAAAUUUUUUACAUGUCUCAGAGGACUAAGUACAACAACAUGGAGCCAGAUGCAGUUGAGUUCUUUGGGGAAUGUAUGAAUAGUCCCCGAAAUGGUCGCACUCCACUUGCAAAUGAAAUAUAUGUAAGUUACAUGCACUGCACUCAAGUAAAUGCCUGGUUCAACACUUUCUAUGGCCUUUUACUAAUUACAUUCAUUUUAUGCAGGAACGAAUGGUUGCAGAGAAGGAUAGAGAGCUAGAAGAAGGAGAAGCACAAAAGUCACCCUCCAAGAUUGUUGCUGAUAGUCUCAGCCAGAUCAGCCGCUCAAACACCUUCCUUCCAAACAUGGGUGUCCCAAAAACUUCCAAGACUGGUCGGUCCACAUCGAUGGCUGCACAAGCAUGCAUGCAAGCUCAGUUUGAGGAAAAACUCCAAGCUGAAAGAGAGGAAGCUGCUAGGAAGCAAGAAGAGUUGCAAGCACAACUUCAAGCUCAACAGGCUGCACUUGAAGAAAACAAAAGUUUGCUGCGUGAGACCCAAGAGGAAGUGAAGGGGAUGCAUAGCAAGUUUGAAGAGACCAAUGCGAUGCUACGAGCUCUCCUGAAACUUCAAAAAGAUUGAGGUAGGGAUGCAUACCUCAAACUGAGGAUGAUGCCUUUGCUUCAUGUUUUCCUACCUUGCUAGAACAAAUGUGUGGUUAGAACUUUGUCAGAACUAUGUCCAAUCUAUUUGCAUGCUUCAAACCUUUGUGUUGGAACCUUUGUAUGUUUGUACCUCUGUUGUGAAACUUGGAACUAUGUGCAAUCUGUUUGCAGCAGUCUGAUGGAACCAGUAGUGUGCUGGAUUUGUGUAUGACUUGUGAUGUUAUGUGAUGCAACCAGAAGUGUGCUACAAUUGUGUAUGACUUCUUAUGAUAUGUGAUGGAACCAGCAGUUGGCUGGAAUUGUGAAUGACUUCUGAUGAGAAUGUUGUGUAUGUUGGCUUGCCUAUGUAUUGUAUGAUUAUGUCAGCCAACAUGAGAGCUCAGUGUGUCGUCACUGUUUGUGGGAGGCACUUUCGUCAAAUAAAUAUUUGACAAUAUGUGAUGCCAUAAAAUCGUCAUAAAAAGUGUACAGUUACCGUAUUAAACAAGACAAAACCAAGACGUCACAUUAUCUACGGACUCAAAUAAGACGGUUUUUAGACUUAUAUAUGACGGUCCAGAGUCAUCACAAAACAUACCCAAAACAGCCCCCCACGGCCCAUUACAACUUUAUAUGACGCGUUGACUAAACAAUAUGUGACAGGAACCACCGUCAUAUAUAGUAAUAACAUGUGACACAACAACGAAACCGUCACAAAAGAUAUUGACAAUAUGUGACGGUGCACUUAAGUAUCGUCACAAGGUACAUAAUGUGACGGUCGUUAUAUGACGACCCUUAUGACGCUGCAUUUUCGUCGUAAUGCUCUUUUUAUGACCAAAUUUGUACUACACAUGACAGUUUCUUUUUGUCAUACAAAGCCAAAAUUUUUGUAGUGUGAUAACCCCCUGCAGAAACAGAUAAACAACAAAACUCAUGGAAUUCUGUCAGAUCAAACCCUAAUUCUAGGUGUUGGUUGCAUAUUGGUCCUUUCUCUUGUUUAUUUGAUAAUUAAAAUUGAUACUUAAGAACCAUCAACACGGUGUUCUGGUUAGAGAGCUGCCUAUUGAUGGAGUUAACCGAGGACUGGAGCUCUAUGAUGAUCUUGUCUAGCCUACGAACGUCCUCAUCAACAUCUGCUAUAGUCUUGCGGCGCUUAGGAGGUGUCUCGAGAGCGUUGAGGGCGUGCUUUGGUGCUGUCUUCGAAGGGAUGAAGCGAACUUUGGCUGCUCUAACCCUCUCGAAGUAAGGUCUCUCCUCCUCUGUAGUGUAGCGGAUGCUGCUGAUCUCGCCGCUCCGGUUGGUCUUGACUCCAACGACCCGCUCAUUGGGCCUGGGUGGUAGGAUCCUCGUGCCGGCUGGCACCUUGACGGUGGCCUCCUUCUUGGCUGACGGCCCCUUGAGAAGUAGGGGCCGCGGCAGUGUGGUGAGAACUGGUUGGGCAUAGAAGGAUUGGGUGGAGCUGUGCUGGCGUGAUGGCAUGGCAAAAGCUUCAUUACUUUUUAAUCACAAAAGCUAUGAAGGCCCAUGAGGACUUAUUGGAAAGCCUGUCGAGUCUAUUUUCCAAUGAAUCUAGUGGCGACCAAUUUGGACACUCCAUAUUGCCUGCAGAGCAGAAUUAGUACAGACUUCUCAGAAGGUCAACAGUCUGUCGUGACAGAAUGUUGGUACAACUUGCCAUGCAAAACUGUACCAAUCUACAACGUUUCGUGGUGCAUGGCAUACAUUUCUGGAAAGCUCUUGGAGUCUAGUUUCACAUCCAAGAAAUGGUUCACCAUUUGGACUUCCCAAUAAAAAGUUAUGGUCAGUUUAUUGGAAACUGCUCUGGAGGCCAACAGUCACGCGAAGCCAGUUCGGGAAUCCAUUCCGAGGGGACCUUUCACAUUGCCUUCCCUCAGAAACUCUAUUUCGUUUUCACACCUAUCUAGGAGGAUUGUUGCUAGUAUAAAUAUCCCCUACCUCUAAGCUAUCAGCAACCUUUGAUCAUUUGAUAAACUACAUGAUAUUAUAGCCGUGCUGCUGAGUGCCUUACUCAACCUUUGUUCUUCCUUGUUCUUCAUGGACUUGUGAAGUGAAUCCUCUGGGUUCCCCUACUUCAUGCUCUAUGGCUUCCAUUCGGCUGCGCCGUAUUGUGUGGAUUAGUUCCGGAUUGUGGUUUUGCGGUCGUUCGGAGAUCGAGUCGAAGUCUUCACGGUUUCGGUGCCUCUCUCCCCGUCGCUUGGUCGCGUCCAACCUUUGUCAGGUAUAAAGCUAGUUAUCCGCUGUUCGCAGCAAGUUAUCCUUGUUCUUUUGAUCUACUAUCGUGAAGAUCGGGCCACCCUCGUAUCGAUUAAUAUCGGUAACCUAUCAAUUACCAUAUAUGAGUUUAUCGCGACGGAGGAGACCGGGGCCGAGGGGAGACAGGGGCUAGGCGCCCGCCCUCAUCAUCAGGGCGCCCGCCCUGUGCCUGGCUCCUUUGUGGGGCCGCCUCCUCGAGCAUGCUUCUAGAUGCAAAAUUUGUUCGAAAAAUAUAUACGUGGUCCAAAAACGUCAGAUUAAAAAGGUCGGGCUCUAAUUCUCCAUGAGAAGGUAAAAAUGGAUCACGUCUAUUUCUUCUAAUUCUUUAUUGGGAAGGGAAAGUUCUAAACUACUCUAAGCACCCUUCAACUCCAAAUGGCACUUAGACCUAAUCUAGUCUUGACGAUGUCCAACAAUCCUUUGAAAACCGAAAUGAUUUCCACCAUCAAGUAGGCACGAACAUACGAGUCCAUCGAUCACCAUUACCACGACCUAACUCAAAUCAUUUGCCACAACAAAACACACGUUAGUCAUUGUAAUCAACAUUGUCAUUAAACACCAAAACUCAUUAGGGGCCUAGAUGCUUUCAUGCUCUAAUCAAUGAGUUGACAAAGAAAGAAGUGUCUUUUAAAUGGGGAGAAGCAUAAGAGAAGGCAUUUGAAGAAUUGAAAAUGAAGUUGACAACAACCCCACUUCUUGCACUUUCAAUUUUUGGUAAGACAUUUGAAAUUGAAUGUGAUGCAAGUGGUGUGGGAAUUGGUGGCAUGCUCAUGCAAAAGGAGGCUGAUUGCAUACUUGAGUGAAAAGCUAAGUGGGCCAACUCUAAAUGACUCAAUUUAUGAUAAAGAAUUAUAUGCUCUUGUUAGGAGUUUGGAAACUUGGCAACACUACCUUUUGCCUCAAGAAUUUGUGAUACAUUCAAACCAUGAAUCUUUAAAACAUAUUAAAGGUCAACUAAAACUGAAUUGAAGACAUGCAAGAUGGAGUGAAUUCAUUGAGUCUUUUCCUUAUGUUGUCAAGUACAAGAAAUGGAAGGAUAAUGUUGUAGUUGAUGCUUUGUCUCGACGUCAUACUUUACUUUCACAACUUGAUACUAAAAUUCUUGGAUUAGAAAGUAUAAAAGAAUUAUAUGCCAUUGAUUCAUAUUUUGCUGAACCAUAUUCCAAGUGUUGUGGUGGUAAGGGAUGGGAAAAAUUCCAUUUACAUGAUGGUUUUUUUGAGCUAAUAAACUCUGCAUUCUAGAUUGCUCUGUUCGCAUUUUGCUAGUGUAGGAAGCUCAUGUGGGAGGACUUAUGGGCCAUUUUGGUGCAAAGAAAACAGAACAAGUGCUGGCUGACCAUUUCUUUUGGCCUAAGAUGAGAAGAGAUGUGGAGAGGCAUGUUCUUUGCUAUGAAACCUACCACAAAGCUAAGUCCCAUUUGAACCCACAUGGUAUAUAUACUCCUCUACCUAUUCCUAGUGUACCUUGGGAAGAUAUUUCUAUGUACAUUGUUCUUGGUUUACCUCGAACUAAGAGGGGAAGGGCUUCUGUAUUUGUUGUGGUUGACAGGAUUAGCAAAAUGGCACACUUUAUUCCCUGUCAUAAGAGCGAUGAUGCUUCACACAUUGCUAAAUUUUUUUAGAGAAAUUGUGCGUCUACAUGGAGUGCCAUGUACCAUCGUGUCUGAUCAAAGACACUAAGUUUUUAAGCUACUUUUGGAAAACCUUGUGGGGAAAACUAGGAACAAGGCUGCUAUUCUCCACAACAUGUCAUCUUCAAACUGAUGGACAAACCAAAGUUGUGAACCGCACACUGUCAACAUUACUGCGAGCUGUCUUGAAGAAGAAUCUAAAAUUGUGGGAAUAAAGCUUGCCUCAUGUGGAGUUUGCAUACAACAGGGCGGUUCAUUCGACCAUAAAUUUUUGUCCAUUUAAGAUUGUCUAUGGGUUCAAACCUACUGCUCCCAUCAUUCUUUUGCCAUUGCCUAUGCAAGAAUGUGUGAACUUUGAUGCAAGCGAGCAGAAUUUAUCAAGAAGCUUCAUGAUCGAGCUAAAGCAAACAUUGAGAAGAUGACCAAGCUAUAUGAGAAGUGUGCCAGCAAGGGUCAUAGGAAGAUGUUAUUUGAACCAGGAGACUUGGCUUGGGUGCACUUACACAAGGAUCACUUUCCUAAACAUUGCAAGAGUAAGCUACAACCUCGAGCUGAUGGGCCAUUCAAAGUGCUUCGCAAGAUCAAUGACAAUGCAUAUGAAAUUGACCUCCCAAGUACAUAUGGUGUGAGUACAAGCUUCAAUGUCGCCGAUUUAUCUCCUUUCUUUGGAUUGGAAGAGUUGAGGAUGACUCCUUUUCAAGAGGGGGAGGAUGAUGAGGACAUCCCUGCUAUGCAUGCUCGUUCAAGUCCAAAUGCUACAAAUCAAGGUCCACUUACAAGAAGCCGUGCUAAGAAGCUACAAGAGCAGGUGAAUUCUUUUCUUACUAAUUGUAAUUUUUACACUUGAAUGUUAUACUACCUAAGUGCUCUACAUUGGUUGUACUUAGGAAUAUACUUGAAGCGAAGGAAGAGAAACUGAUAUAGAAUUGCGACAUUAGAAAAAUAACACGCAUGAAUGUUUGGACGUCUGAAAGUGGUUACAUGAAUGUUUGGACAUCAGAAAGAAGCAGUUAUAACUCUCAACUCCUUGAAGCUUUGGAGGCCCAUGAGGACAUUUGGAAAGCUCAUCAAGUCCACUUUCCAAUGCCACAAUCCACACCUCAUUUGGACGUCACAAUCAAGAGUUAUGUUUGGAUUAGUCAAGACUGCUUAGAAGGUUAAUAGUGUAUUGUGACAGAAUGUUAGUUCAACUUGCCGUGCAAAAUUGUACCAAUCUACAAUGUUUUGUGGUGCAGGGAAUAUGUUGCAAUAAAGCACAUAGAGUCUAGUUUCACACCCAAGAAAGGGUUCAUCAUUAGGACUUUCCAAUGAGGAGUUAUGGUCAGUUUAUUGGAAACUACUCUGGGAGGCCAACAGUCACACGAAACCACUUCGAGAAUCCAUUCCGAGGGGGCCCCUUCACACUGCCUUCCUUCAGAAACUCCAUUUUAUUUUCAUACCCACCUAGGAGGGUUGUUCCUAGUAUAAAUAUUCCCUAUCUCUAAGCUAUUAGAAAACCUUUGAUCAUUUGAUAAACUACAUGAUAUUGCAGCCGCACUGCUGAGUGCCUUACUCAACCUUUGUUCUUCCUUGUUCUUCUUGGACUUGUGAAGUGAAUCCUCUAGGUUCCCCUAGUCUGUGCUAUUUCAAUUACCAUUUAGCCACACCGUUUUGUGUGGAUUAGCUCUAGAUUAUGGUUCUAUUGUUGUUUGAUGAUUGAGUUAAAGUCUUCAUGGUUUUGGUGCCUCUCUCCUCAUCGCUUGGUCGCAUCCAACCUUUGUGAGGUAUAAAUCUAGUAAACCACUAUUCGUAGCAAGUUAUCUUAGUUCUUUCAAUCUACUAUCAUGAAGAUCGGACCACCCUCAUGCCUAUUUAUAUCGGUGUUGAUGGUCACUAUUGCUCAUUUUUAACCAUAAACUAUUGCUUGAUAUGACAUGAUAUGAACCACAAAGCAUAGUUAUAGGGGUUUAUCCUAACGAGUUGCAUGAGUUGUGUUAUGAUCACUUGUCUUGCAUGAUAUUCAAUAUUUCACCAUAUAAAAGUAUCUCAAGGGAAGGUCUGAGUACGCCAUUGUAGAGAGCUCAUCAAAAUGAUCGAGACAUACAUAUCAUUUACUAUAUUUGGAGAACAGGAGAGCAAGUCUUCGAUGGAUAUGACUUGGAAGACUCAAAGACCCUCAAACCAUCAUCAUCAGAAGACCAGGGACUAAACUAAUAAGAUUCCAUAGUUCUGUGAAAUAAUAUUUUCCAAGGAUUUAUCCAGAAGUUGGGAAAGGAAAGAAUCCAUCCACGACACAACUCAUUGUGUAAACAGAUCGGAACGUGGCACUAGAAGGACGUGGAAGACACUAGAAGGCAUAGGAACAAAGCGGAGGCUCAGUGGCUACCAUGUGGGGCCGAUCGGCCCCACAUGCUAGGCCAGCCGGUCUAGGCCCACUACUAGGUGUGUCCCCCUUCGCAUGAUGGCCUCUAACCAACCUCUACAAUGCAUCUCAACCAUUGUUUUAAGUUAGUUUGAUCUGAGGUCUGUGAUUCACCCCACUAGGCUAUAUAUAGCAGGGCCAGACCACCCUUAGGCAUCUCCUUCUGAUAAUUCAUCUCCAGAGCAAAAGCUAGGGUUUCACCCCUCAUCCAAGUAUAAGUAGAGGUCCCUCUAGAUGAUCGUCUAGUUCUAGUUUUUCUAGUUCAUCUUCUAGUUCUAGUUCUAGUUCAUCUAGUUAUAAACUAGAUAAGAGGAAGAGAGAAGAGGAGAGAUCCGAGGAGCCGGAUCUAUCGGAUCUUCCUCAACAUUAUACAUUUGCAGUAGCCGGUUCAUCUUUGGGCAAUCUCUAGGUUCUUUAAUUUUAUAAUUCUUGAGUUCUUCAUUUAAUUUUCAUAAUUUACUUUUAAGUUAUUUAAUCGAUUCCCACUUGCAUCAAGUGCUCUAGCUCUUUGAUAUGCUAAAGUAGUAAUUAAUAGGUUAAGCGUGGCGCUUAGUCUUGCAAUUACCUAGAAUUACACCCAAUCCAGUAGAUUGUUGUGGUAGCCCCAAGAUCAUGAUAGUCCUGACAUUCGACGUAUCCCACCACAUUCAGAUCGGUGUUUAUACGACCAUAGUCAGAACUUCCUAGCCCCCUUCUCAUCCCUUUUUGUGGUUUGUGUUCUGAUGUCCUAAAAUAAGUAACCCUAAAGUAAACCCUGAUUCCUAGAUUAAUCUAUAUGACUCUUAGGAAAAUUCCUCUCUCCCUACAAAAUCAUAUAUAUAGUUAUCCUUGGGCAAUCUAAACCUCAACUAGUACACUUCGUGUUCCUCGUGGAAAACCGAUACCUUGGAAUACUCCCGGGUGAAAGCUACAUCGAUAUCCAUGCACUUGCGGAUUUUUCUGUUUGUGUUUAAAAUACCCAAUAAGCUUUCUGGCAUCGUUGCUGGGGAAUGGUAGCUAUUCUAGAAUCAAACCAAGUUCAUUUGAGUUUUCUUUUUCAUUUAUCACCUUUUUAUUUUAUCAUUUUUUCCAACAAUAACCCAAAUUCCAUGCCAAUCUAUCAAUGUGCUACACCCAUGAGCACAAGCUUAGAGCAACCAGAGUCCAUGAUUCUCAUAUCUAGCUAUGAGUUGCGCCCAUGUUUGGUUGCAAUAGGUCAAAACCAACCCUUUUCCAUAGCCAAGGUCCUAUCUUCUAAUCAAGAAGGUAAUGAACCCAAUGUCCUAUCUUCCAAUCAAGAAGGUAAUGAACUUUUGGCUACACUAAGGGAAUCUUACAAUCUUCUUAUAAAGUUAGGUUUAGAUCUAGCCUCACAAGACCCUGUUCCUCUCUAAUAUUUUUAUACGGGUCUUGAUAAUAUCACCUUUGGAGGAGUUUUACUUUCUUUGUCCAUUAGUAAAGCAAGGUUUGUCCUUAUUAGUAGACAUAAUCCUUGCAGUAGCCUUCAUGAUGAACUCCUAGAGGUAAAGAAGGAAUCAUCCCCCAAACGAGGAGAGGAAGUUUCCAUAGUCACAUUACAAAUAUUUUAAUUCUAUGAUUUGGCUAUCCAUCCCAAACUAGUUGUACUCCAAACUCCUCUAAGGGAAGAAGAAAUUCUACCCUAGCCUUUUUCAAUGAUGAUUUUGGGAGGAGCGUAAACUUCCUGCUUCAUAAGAGAUAUUUUAGUGCAUAUAGUUUGAAUCUUCUCAAGAAGGGAUCUCUUAGAAAGUGUUCCAAAUCCAAUCGCCUUGAAGGAUAUUUAGGAAGAGUGAAGGAUGGCAAGUCUAGUGAUGCCAUAGUAGGAGAGCAGAACUACAUAGAAGACAAUCCUAUCCUCUUCACUUCUAAGCCCACACUAGAUGACUUCUACGAACCCACUAUUGACAGUCCUUAAGUACCAAAUAUAAUCAUCAAAUAAAUAAAGAAAAGGAUCCAAAUACAACCAACACCCAAACUUAGGGUUUUAUCUGACAGAAUUCCACGAGUUUUGGUGUUUGUCUAUUUCUGCAGGGGGUUAUCAGGAAAUAUGGAGGAAAGGCCCACAUGUCGGGUUUACAUAGAGAUAUUAACGUGCCGCGCAAUUUUCUAUCAUCUAGAAGACUCCAGAAGCCACGGGAACAAAUGGGAAGGCGAUCGGGCCCGGGGGCAGGGCGCCCGCCCUCCCCCCUAGGGCGCCCGCCCUGAGUUGGAGUCCAAUGAGGACCCGUCUCGCGGAUUACGCUCCACCGACCUAAAGGAUCAAGGAUAACCGUUCAAUCAAUGUCGGUUUGAUCCGACGGCCCAAAUUCACUUGAGGGGACUAUAUAAGCAGACCCCCUGGCCCCUGGAGGAGGAGAAGUUCAUUGUAGAGUUGAGAGGUGCCCUCGAAGGAUAACCUUUCCUCUACAUAGACAGAGCAAAAGCUAGGGUUUGGAGAUGAGAGCUCUCCUCUCAUCUCCAAACUAGAGUAGAUCUAGAUAGUAGCGAGAUGGAGAGCGAGGGAGGAUUGGAGGAGAGGCUGGCCUGUCGGUUCUUCCUCCGGUUGUACUUGGCCAUGAUCAAGUUCUAAUCAAGCUUGCUCAUGGGAUGACUCUGGUAAUCUACUUCUAUUUCAUUAUGCAAUUACUAUUCAUGUAUGUUCUGGUUCACAACUCUUUUGAGUACUUUUAAUCUAUAGGACCCUAUAGGUUAGAGUUGUAGUAUAGGUGUAAGCGUGGUGCUUAGACCUAGAUUACUUGUGGAUAUCCCCUGUCUAGCUGGAUCGUGUGGUAGGCCGCGUAGGUGACAGUUACGUUGGUCCCCUGUAGUCCACCUCCUGUUAGCAGGAUGGGUAGGGUUCAUCGGCCUAUGGAUAAGCAUCCUUUGUGGUGUAUUCUUAUCACGUGGUUCAUCCCAGACAUAGACAUACCCCUUUGAAGUAGAGAAACCAUAGUUAUCAUCUCUAUUAUCCUACCAUCGCCCAUAUACUAGAUUGCUCUACUCUCUAUUCCCAUAUUAUCACCCAUUGUUAUAUUACCUUUAAUAUUGUUCUUAUUCAAUUCUACCAUCUUUCCUAUUUACACCUACCUAUCUAUCUAGGUUAAGUUAGAGUGUAGAUCAGUUCUCCCGUUUCCCUGUGGAUAUGAUAAAACCUUUAACCGGGUAAAAGCUACAACGGUAUCCGUGCGCUUGCGGAUUUAUCUGUGUGCGUAUAAAUACCAUAGUACACUCUAGUGCCAUGCUGGGGAUGACAACCUAGUAUUCAAGUGGUGUUAGCAAGUGUCAACAAGCAUUUUUUGGCGCCGUUGCUGGGGAAACGGUUGCUGAGUUGACUACGAACUAGCUUAAUCAUUUUUCUAAAAAAUAAUAAAAAAAUACUUUUCCUUUUAUCUUUUGCCUGAUCUCUACUAUUCUUUCCUCUUAUCUAAUCCUUGAUUUCUGGUCUAUCAUGAAUGCAAACAUGUCUAUCUAUCAGUUUCAUAGACCUACGGGCACACAUCUCGAACCACCAAAAUCUUCAAAGCCUAUCAUAGCAUCUAAUUUUGAGAUAGACCCCGAAUACAUACAAUUUGUUCGAAAACAACCUUUCUCAGGAGAAGGUGAGGAAAACCCAUACACACACUUAAGAGAGUUUUAUCAAGUCUGUGACCUCCUUCGCAUUGAAGGCAUGUCCGAUGAGACCCUUAAAUGGAAGCUCUUUCCGUUCUCUUUAUCAGGAAAAGCUAGACAUUGGUACAAACUCAAAGUAGGGAGUGUUCACGGAGAUUGGAAGGAGUUAUAUAAUAGUUUUCUUUUUAAAUAUUUUCCAAUCUCCAAAGUGGUGGAACUUCGGUGUGAGAUUCUUUCUUUUAGACAACUGGAAGAAGAAUCUCUCAGCAAAUCAUGGGACCGCUUUAUUAACCUUACUCUCACUGGCCCAAAGCUUUCUAUUCCAGAAGAAGUUCUUCUAAUUCACUUUUUUGAGGGCCUUAGUAGGGAAAAUAAGAAAACCGUGAAUACAGCCUCUAGAGGAUCCUUCUAUCACCUACAUGCUAGUGAAGCUAGGGAUUUAAUUGAUUCAUCGAGUGGGAAGUUUCCUAGCAUUUAUAUCCCUAAGAAAGAGAAAGAACCAGUUCCUAGACAAGAAGAAGUUUUGAUAGCCAGAUCACAACCACUUCAAUUCCAAACUUUAGCUAUCGAUCCUAAACCAUCAAUAUCCCAAAAUUCUCCAAGGGAGGAAGGAAUUCUCACCUUAAAUCUUUCAAAUGCUGAUGGUUUAGACUUCUGGUUCCAUAAGAGACCUUCAAGCAGGGAUAAUUCAAAUCCUUGCAGUAAUGGUUCUCUUAGAAAAUGUCCUGGUUCCUAUUAUGAAGAAGUUGAGGAUGACAUAUCAAGUGAAGGAGAGCUAAAUCAUAUAGGAAAUUCUAUCUGCUCUCCUUCCAUGUUCACAAAUUCUAAAUCCAUCCUUGACCUUAGAGACCCCUCUUAUCCCUCUCCUUUUAAGUCUCAUGAUGAUCCUAGCAAUCCAUCAAGACGACCAAACCAUAGGAGUCAUGAAGACCAUAAGGAUGGCAUGUCAAGUAAUGCCAUAGAAGGAGAGCUAAGCCAUAGAGAAGAUUCUAUCAGCUCCCCUAUCUUGAUCACAAGUUCUAUAUGGCUGGAAUGUGUAGAAUGGAUGAACAAGGAAGAAGCCUUAAUGGAUUCUGACUUUGGCUCAAUUUCAAAUGGUGAGUUCUUGACUCCCUUUGAAGAUGAGAUUCAUCCAACUAUAGAAAAGGACAUAGGUGAGACCAAUCCAGGAGAAACUCCAAACAUUCAGAUUGGAGAUGAAGAUAACAUUAAUGAGCAUGGAAUUUAUUUCAUAGCCACUUCGUUUACUCCAUGCUCAUAUGUAACAUCUUCCCAAUCUAUUGGUCUCUCUAACAUCACCACAUUUGAGAUCUCCAACCCCCUCUUCUUUUCUAUUUAUAAAAACUUUAAAAGGGCGGUUGUCGAUGCAUAUGUCUAUAAUAAAUAUUGUAGAUCUCGUUGAGUUGAUCUUGAUAUAGGUCAGCGUUGGAAGGGAAACCACUCCGCCGACAUAAAUUGAUGGUUUCCCAAGGACAAGCUUAGUGUCCUAAAAUAAGCACUGAUCAGAUCGUAACAUGAGCUUUUAAUUAUUUGCAAAUUACCUUGUGUAUUGAGCAUAUAAGGAUAAUUGUAAAAAUAUUCCUUCGGGUAUUCUUGUCACUAACCUUUCCAGGAUUGGAGCAAGAAGAUCGAAUGAAUGACAAGCACAAGGUAUGUCCAACCGAUCAGCAUACAACAUUGAAUUAAAUUCAUCCAAACUUAAAUUUUACAAAAUUCAAGCUUGGGGGAGUACUUUACAUAAAAACAUCCUUUGCCAUGUUGCUAUGCUGGUUGUCCCUACCUUUGAGACAUGCUCAAUUUGUUAAAUACUAAUCACACUACUUCAUCUCCACUACCUUUGUCUAUUUACUAGCAAGUGUUGGUUUGGAAGUACUCGACAUACUUCCAUUGGCAUUUAAAUUAAGCAUGGUGCUUAGGUUAAAUAGCCUUCCUUAAUCCGAUUAGACAUGGAGUCUACUGUUGAUAUUUGGUAACGCAAUUAGAAAAUGAUCCGCAAGCGCAUGGAUAUCGGUGAGCAUUUCACCCGGGAGGUUAUCCAGAGUUAUCGUAUUUAUAUUUUUACCACUGGGAGAAAGGGUGCAUCUGACUAACCAAAUCUAGGCUACUAUCCCUUUAGGCUACAAAGAAUGUCUCUCAAUGUGAGUGAUGUAUAGAGAAGAUUGCAACCUUAGUCUCCUUCUAACCUUGGUAAGGAUGAUCUACUGUUCUAUUGGGGAGGCUCACGGAAUCUAGACAACACAAAGGAUGUUCGACCCGCACCUAUAAACCUACCCGUCCUGCUAACGAGAUGUGAUCUGCAAAGGUAACUCGGAAAUGUCACGUUCCUUGCUACUACCACGGUCCAGCUAGUCAGGGGAUAUCUAUGAGUACCCUAGCCUAAACACCACGUUUACGCUAACAAGUGAUUACUCUAAUACUCAACCGGAAGAGGAUUAAAGUAAACUCAUAAACCAAAGAACAAUAAAACAAGAACUUACUAGUAUUAGAAGUCGAAUUACUGAAGAAUCUUAGAAGCAAGCCUCGGGUUAGGAGACUUGAUCCCGCAGGUACAACUCGGAGUAGACACCGACAGGCCGGCCUUCCUCCGAUCCACACCUCCACUCUAUCUCUCUCAAUCUAGUAGAAACUAGAAGAUCUAUUUCUACCUUACAUUGGUUGCUAAGCCUAAAAAGAAAUAUUAUUUAGAGAAGAGGUUUUCCUUCGAGGGCACCCCUCAAUCUCUAUGAUAAUUUCUUGUCUCCUCCAGGGGCCAGAGGGGGUCUCCUUAUAUAGUCCUCCCCUUCUAUGUGUUUUUGGGUCGAUAGGCGAGGUGGUACUAUGUUAUUCUGGAUCCAAUAGGUCGGUGGAACGUCGUGUGCGAAGAGAGUCCGGAACGGAGUCCAGAGGUGAGCGGGCGCCCAGGUCCUCAGGGCGGGCGCCCUGGGCCUGGCCCCUUUCGGCCUCCGCUUCCUUCCCGUGGCUUCUGGAGUCUUCUAGAUGGUAGAAAAUUGCGCGGUGCGUUGAUAUCUCUAUGUAAUCCUGACAUGUGGGCCUUUCUUCCUUAUUUCCUGAUAACCCCCUGCAGAAAUAGACAAACACCAAAACUCGUGGAAUUCUGUUUAAUAAAACCCUCAGUCUAGAUGUUGAUUUCAUUUGGAUCCUUUUCUUUGUUUAUUUGAUAAUUAAAUUUGAUACUUAAGGACCGUCAACAAACUCCCCCAAGCUUACCUCUUGCUCGUCCCUGAGCAAGGAUGAACUCAAGAGUUUCUGCAGUGGUUUCAUUUCUUAGAAGUACACACGCAUUUAAGCAAGAUCUCAUCUCUGAGUUAGAAUAAACUGUUAAGACUUAAAACUUACUUACUUUACCUACACCAUAGGACUUGUAACCGUCACUUCUGUCUUGAGUGGUUAAAAGAUAGAACAGUCUAGCCAAGUGUCAUGUCUCUUAUUCUUGAUCAGCUAUAGCUCUGGGGUUUUUUUGCAGAUUUUCAAAUAAAACUCAGAAAUUCCUUGUAUGAUUCUCUCAGGUCUCUCUUUUGUGGUAUUUUUGGAUCCUUACCAAGGCAGUGAUGGUAUAUGCCUUCUCUCAAGAUAUGUAGUAUUUGUGGUAUGAAGCAUAGUGACAUUGUCUUCUCUCUCACCCUACUCUAAUAAGGCUUUAAUAUCUGGAGCUCAUAGGUGGGAGAUAAAGUAUACAUACUUACAAGACAUUUAUUGCAUAGUCAAACCAUGGAUCCAAAGAAACAAAUCAAUAAGCCAAAUCAAGAUGUGCAUGUGUGGCGAAUGAAUGGUGUAUGGUGAUGAUGGUGAUAACAAUGGUGGUGGAAGUCUAAUUCUACUUUGCUCUUUGAGGGGAUACAUACCUUCCUUGCUUUUGAAACUUUAUGAGGAGAAUGAGAUGCUCUUCUUUUUUUCUUUUCUUUCGAGGUUCUGAGCACUUGCUCCUUUUUAUUUCCUCGUAUCUUUUAUUUUCUUUUUCUCUCUUUUUUUUCAGAGCAUUCAUCUCUUGAGAUAAUAUAGCAAGUGGUAGUAACAAGAUAACUUGAGCAUUUAUUUCACAAGGGGAAACAGAAAUAUUUUUGGUUAUUCUCUCCCGGAUUAGGAGUAGAAUACUUUUGGGUGGUUUUGGAGAUGGAAAUGAGUGGAUAUAUGUGGAUGGUACUUCCGGAGUAGAAGUAGCAUGUAUGAGUGAACGUGCAAGUGAAUCUUGAUUUAACCACAUGACAAGCUCCUAAGGGUCUACACAGCUUGACCACACUCAAUGCUCAUAAGCAGUAAAUAGUAAAUGUGUGGCUCAAGGUCUAGCAAGCAUGUAUAUAUGGCUGUGGUAGGAAUUCAAACUCUCAUCAUACAGGAACUCAUCAUGCAAAAUUUUAAAGAUUUUUAAAGAUAAAAUUCUCCAGAAUUCUAGCAUCUCUAGGAACAGAUAAACAACAGCUCAACCUUCCCAUAUCGUAUCCGUUAACAACUUAGACUUCAGAUCAAGUUUUCAUCCCACAAGUUUAGGUCUAGAGAAAGCCUUAAAUUAUAACAGUUAUACCUAAACUUGAGAGAGAACUUCAAAUUUGCAAAUUAGGCAGAGCAACUAUUCAUCAUAUCCAUGCUUAAGUUUUAUUAUUAAGAUUCAGAUUAGCAUAGCCACUUUAUUAAACACACUAAGCAAAAGAUAUAUAAGCAUAAAAUCUUUAUUUGGUUUUUCAUAGUUAUGUAUUUUAAUAUUCUAACAUAAUAUAAGUAUAAAGAUAGGUAGAAAUACUUAGUGAGAUAAAUGGGGGUGCUCUCCCCCAAGAUAAAUUUUGACGUAAUUUCUCUUGAUGUAGCUAGCAGGUGGCAGAGGUGUGUUUGAAAGUCACCAGUAUUUUGACAGCGAUUAGAAUGUCCUCCGUCUGCUAGUCUUCUUGAUUCUUAAAUUCUGUGGAGCUCAAAUAGACAACAAAGCUUGUGGAACUGAUUAAGUGCUAGCAUAAAUAUCUAGCCUUUAUCAUGCUGAGACUCCUUAAUAAAUAUUACUCCCUGUUUUUAUAUUUUUGUUUUUAUAAAGCAGAAAAAUAUUUAUUUUAUUUUUAUGCCACCACAGUGAAUGUACUUAUGGGUUUUAUGCCACUCGUCUACUCACAUGGGGCUUACAGUUUUUUUUCACAUUUUUAUUUUCUUUCUAGGAUAAUACAAACAUGAUUAACUAAGUAAACUAUUUGAAAUAAUUAAAAGGGAAAGGAUAACUACCAAGUUUACCUCUUGGCAAGGCGUUCGGUGUUUUUAAGUCCUCCGAACGGGACUCUCUGUUUUCUCAGUGGUCCUGGGAUUCGCUGGAUGGCGUAGUCGGUGGUUCCGGCGGCGCCUCUUCUUCAUGUAUAACUAUCUUCUCUCUCCACACCUGACUCUGUGCUACGGUCUCCUCAGGACAGUUCUGUUCAAGUUGUAUGUCUUCAGACCUUAUCACUUCUCUUUCGUAGUCUACCCAUCCAUCCUUGAUGAUUUGCCUCCUCUGGUUGCGGUUGCGUUGUCUUCUUCUUGUCCUGACCUGCUUAGAAUCUUCAACUAUAUAGUUAGAAUCAUUAAAGUAGUGGCGUACCUUCUCAGAGGGGAAGUGCAUGUGGACUUCUCCGGUUCCAAUAUAGAUGAUGGCUUUGAUAGUGUUUGAGGAACGGUCUUUCAAGGAUGGUGGGUGGAUCAUACUCGUCUUCUCCCAUGUCAAUGAUCUGAAAGUUAUCUAGAGCUGAAUAUAUAUUGGUUGUAGGGGCAUGGUUCCAUGCAGGAGCUGAUAAGUGACUGCGGCCAUUAUGUUGACGUCAGAUCCGGUGUCGUAGAGUGUCUUCUAAAAAGAGUAUCUGUUGAUUGUGUACUCGAUGCUUGGAACACCAGGGUUGUCCUUCUUGAUCAAGAAAGGUGACUUGAGUCAACGAUCUUGACCUCCUUGAGUUGCAGUGACCCUCUUAGUUGACUUGGUCCACAUUUGCUUGUUCCUGUUCCUCCUGUUGGUCCUCUUCCUUGGUUCAUGUCGGGAUUGCUCUGAAGUUUGUGUGUAGUCUUGUUCUUGAAGGAAACUCUCCUUCUUCCCCUUGAUGUAGAGACUGAUCUUGUAGAUGACUGCUCUGGUGUUUAAGAAUGGCCUCCCUAAGAUGAUGGGUGCUCUCUCCUCACUACCAGUCUCUAUCACCACGAAGUUUGCUGGAGUGUACAAGGUACCAACUCGGACACAAAGGUUCUUCAAUAUUCCUUUUGGAAAAGUUAUCGCCUGAUCUCCAUUGUGUUUGUGCUUGUAGAUCCCGGUUCUUCACUUGAUGGAAUCUGGGAGUUGUAAAACGCCUUCACGUUUCUCAAAAUGUGUCCUGCUCAUAGAGACAAGGCAGAGAUCAAGUGCAUGGGCCCUGUUGGUGGAAAACACCAACAGAACCAAAAGUGUAUUUGUUCUUCUCUAACCUUAAGCAUAGUGAGCAAGACAAAGUCGAUGGAUCAUGAGUGUAGCAUUUAAAACAUUUGUUAGAUCAGAUGGCUCAACCUAAUGGAAAGAUAAUAUAUCUAUUUUUUAUGUUUUGUUUAUAUCUUUCAAAGAUUGAAUGUGCAAUACUUUAGCUUAUAUGAUUAGGAGUGUGGGAUCACGAUGGUAGUACUA
rnacentral:lncRNA from 1 species